GGAUAAUGGGUAAUAGAGUUAGCAAUUGGAACGUACCAAUCAAAAUUGACCAAACCAAUCCCUUCCGAUUAUUUAUUGGAACAUCAAAUUGUAUUGAAUCUAUAUUGAUUAUUUAUUCGAAACAAUAAAAAGUACUAAAUUUCUAUUGAUCAAAAUACCAAUAUCAUCCCAGUUAUCCCGAAUCUCCAAUUAUUCCAAAUGUAAAUUUAGCUCAAAUACAAUUAAUAUAAAGAAAAUUUAUAUUGUAACUUGUAUGAAAUAUUUAAUUUACAAAUCAAACUAAAAUAACAUUGAAAAGUUACAAGUUCUAACACCCAUAGAAACAAAAACAUCCAAACGUUUCAAGUGCAAUUCAAAGCAAGCAUCCAAAAAUAUAAGUAUAAAUUGACAAUAAACAAAACCAUUCAAAAGUGUUGUCUUCAACUUCAAAUUUUAACUUCAAAGGAUGUGAAACCUUCACUUUCUGAAGGCAUCAUCAACUUUGUGUAUCAAUUUAAAAAAAAAAAAGUCAUUUGUUAAUUGGCAUAUUGUGUCGUGGCACUAAUGGUGUGGACUGUGCAAUGACGUGAGAUGGUGGAAUGGCCAUCGUGUGAAAGGCUGCUUUUGGGUUUUAAUUUGAGAUUUAGGUUCGCAAAUUUCUUGAUGACUUUUAAGAAUUGUGUUCUAAUAAUAAUAAUAAUUAUUAUUAUUGUUGUUGUUGUUGUUGUUAUUGCUUAGUUGUUAUUUUAAUUAAAAUAAGAUAAUGAAUUAAAAAAAUAUAAACCAUAAGCUAUUAAUGAUUAGGUUGUAGGAGUAUAAAAGCAAGCAUUGGGUUAGGACUUUAACCAAAUUUUGAAAAGCUUUAUUUUUUAAAAUUUUAAUUAAAUUAGAAAACUAAAACAAUUUGGUACAAUUAGGAUUCUGUCAGGAUCCCGAUUGAAGUCUCCACCAAUCUUGAGUUUUAAUAAGAAUAAGUUUAGUCUCAAAUCCCUAUCUAUUUUUUUAUUUAUCAUUUUUCAAAUCGUACACGACAUCAUGUACCGUUUGGUACGGGAUUUGAAUUCCGAUUGGAAUUCGGUUUUUUCUGACAAACCUAAUUGGCAAAAGAGUUUUAAUUAGCUAUUUGAGAAUGUUACGUUAAAUAACAAAAUUAUAAUAAUAUACUAUGUAUUACUUAUGAAUAGUAAAACUCUUAAUAUUUAACUUAUUUGAGUGUAUUGGCUCAUUGAAUUAAUUAAUAUCAAUAUAAUUUAAUUAGAAUCAAAGUAUCGUAAUUGUGAAUUUUAUUCUUCUAUUCUUUUGUAGAUGUUAAUAUGGUAAACAUUACCAUCAUAAAAAGUAGUAGUCAUUGGGAAAUUUCACCACAAUUUGGGUUGAAACUUUAAUUAGUAAUCUCGAAUUGCAUUUUUUCUAUUAUUUUACAUUGAAACUCCAGCCUCCAAGUACUAAACCAAAUCAAUGGCUUAGACUAGUGAAAGAGUAGUUGGUUAAUACUUUUCUAACUUCAACUAACAAUAUCUAUUAUUUGAUUCUAUGAUUUUUUUUUUGGGAUUACUUCUAGUUCCAGUUCACGCCUUCAUGGUAAAUGAGAUGGAUGAGAUGAAGAAAUUGGGGACGAUUUUUUUAAUUAGUCUUUAUUAUUUUCAAUUUUAAUUUGAUUAAAAAAAUUAAUUUACUUACUUUUUUCUUUAUUUUGUAUUUUUAAUAAUGAUUAUAUAAAUGAAAUUUCUCCUAAUUUUAAUUUUUUAAUUAUUUACAAAUUUGAAACAUCGGACUUAUAUGUUGAAAUUUUUAACUGUUUAAAUUUGUUUUUAUUUUCUAAAAAAUAAAGACUAUAAUGUUAAUUACCAAAGAGACACAUCUUUACCGUUGAGACUGCUUUUCCAUUAAAUCGAACGCUGAAGAGCUGAAGUCACAAAAAGACAAAAGUUGUGUAUCUUGCAACCUUUGCAAGGUAGCUAGAUCCUCAUUUAGAAUACAUGUAUACAAAAUCCUUAUCCCGCGCGUUUCUUUUCGCAGGCCAUUUCUAACAAAUUGCGCUUUUAGAGCCAACAAAUUUCUUACCAGAAAAAGUAAAAAAAAAAAAGCCAAUAAAUUUCAUAUCUACAGUCAGUCUGGUUAAAAUAUAUACAUAUACAAAUAUACAGUUGAUAUCUCCCAAGGGGGCAAGCUGGAAUUAUUCUUUACGUUUUAUUUCACUCUUCCUCAAAAUCUAAUUUGAUUCCCCAUAAUUUAUCUUUGAUCUCAACUGGAUUUGUUCCAGUUUACUUUUGUAAAGAUCAAGACAUCCAGCAGUUGAGCUUGAGCAGAGUCUCUUUGCAGAAAUGGGUGGCUGUUUGAGGAAAAUCCUAGGCUUCUCAAACCCGGCAACAACCACUUGAACUCCGAGAUGCAAUUCUUGGUAAACCGUACGAGGAUGUCAAGUUACAUUACACCAUUGGGAAAGAACUGGGCAGUGGAAGAUCUGCUAUUGUUUAUCUUUGUACUGAGAAUUCAACCGGUUUGCAAUUUGCUUGCAAGUGUAUUUCUAAGAAAAAUAUCAUAGCGGCGCAUGAAGAGGAUGAUGUAAGAAGAGAGGUUGAGAUAAUGCAACAUUUGAGUGGGCAGCCUAAUAUAGUUCAAAUCAAGGCUACUUAUGAGGAUGACCAAUGUGUGCAUAUUGUUAUGGAAUUAUGUGCUGGUGGUGAGCUAUUUGAUCGAAUUAUAGCUAGGGGCCAUUAUAGUGAGAGAGAUGCAGCUUCUGUAUUCAGGGCAAUUAUGGAUAUUGUGAAUGUUUGCCACUCGAAGGGUGUUAUGCACAGGGAUCUCAAACCUGGGAAUUUCUUGUUCACCAGCAAGGAUGAGAAUGCUGUUUUGAAGGUCACUGAUUUUGGAUUAUCAGUGUUCAUUGAAGAGGGUAAAUUUCUUCGCUAUCUAUUACUUAAUACUUAUCGUUUCCAUUACGGUCACCAUAUACAUGCUUGUCUUUGAAAUCUUAUAUUUACAUACGUUCACGUGAAGCCAAGUUUCGAUGUUCAAUUAUAUCUGAUAAAUGAAUGGCAUUUCAAUUUAACUUCAAUAGUGAAUUAGACAUCUAGUACGCAGUGAGGCUUCAUGUAUUAAUUUAGAUGAAAUCAUCAGAAAGUAAUGUGAAACUCUUAGGAUCACCAUGAAAGGCAUGUUUAAUCUACCUAUUAACUUAUCCUUAUCUGAUGAUACCAUGGUGCACUCUCCAGGAAAGGAAUUCAGGGAUUCAUGUGGGAGUGUUUUCUAUGUCGCUCCUGAAGUGUUACAGCGCAAAUAUGGGAAGGAAGCAGAUAUCUGGAGCGCAGGAGUUAUACUGUAUAUUUUACUAUGUGGCGAGACUCCAUUUUGGGCAGGUGAAAAUAUUCAUUUUGCUCCCUAGAUGAUAGAGACAAAGUAAGUUGAUUGUUACUUUUCAACACGUUUAAUUUGUCCGCAUUGUUAUUGUUAUAAGCCUGGUUCUCACAUCUUUUGUGUUUACAGGACGGCAGGAUAAGCUAUGAUGAAUUUUGCGCAAUGAUGAAAAGGGGAACACAACGGUGAGGAUUCGCUUCUAGAUCUCUGGCUCAUGUUGUUACCAUGAGACACUAUAAAGUAGAUAAACAGUACGUGCCGUUCAAUGGUUUUCCAAGUACAUGAUGUUAUACUUGUCUAAACUGAACAAGGCAUCACAGUGCCGCUAGCCCUGUGGUGAAUUGUUGUCUUCAAAUUUGAAUCGAGUCCCCAUGUGGCUCAAAUUGCUACCCUUCCUAUGGUGAGUGCAGCAAUUCACCUGAGUCCAGUGGUGCCAUGCAUGAUGUCUUGUUUAGUUUAGAUAAGUAUAGCAUCAAGUUCUUGAAAUCUUGGAUCUAAUUGUACAGUACGGAUUGAGCCUACUUCACGAUUAUUUCAAAGAUAUCGAUGUAUCAUCAUUCUUUUUUUCGUGAAUAAUUUGAGCUGUGAAUAAAUUAUGCAACUUGAAAGUUGUACGGUAUCGAGUGUUUACCUGACUUAUUAUUAUGUUUGUAAAGAGAGGAGAAGAAUAAAUAUGAACAAAAUCUUUUUUAUACCUAUGCUGCUAGAAUUUUAAAAUUUUUAGAGAGAUUAACGAAGAAAGCACGAAGCAAAGCAGACAAAUAAGAAGAAUUUAUCAGAAUUACAAUCCAAUCCUCUACAUAUCAGUUUUUAAAUUUAUUUGAUUUAUAUGUGCUUUUACAGAUUUUAUUCAAUCCCAAAUGGCUUUGAUUUGCAUUGCGCAAAUUAACAUUUGGCCCCGUAUAAUUGUGUUAACAGAAUAGUAAUUGAAUGAUAAAAUUUGAAAGAGUAGAUAGUAUAGAGUAGUUGUCAGAACUCUCAACUCUCAAGUGACUGCAUGAACCUUCAAUAGAAGACAUUGAAAUUUUCUUUUUACCUAUUACCCAACAAUUGGGUACGUGAAAUUUGAAGCACCUGUUUGGUUUAUAAAUUAAUUAGUAUUUAUGAAAGUAAAGCUGCGUGUGGUGCAGGGCUUUGUGGAAACUGGAAAAACGAGGCGUGUUGAAGUAUUGUUGAAAAAUAAGGGGCCUAAUGGGGUAUUUGGCUAAAAAACAAGGGUGUGAUGCGAUAACUGAAAAUAGACUCAAAUUAAUAUUAUUUUUGGACCCUUUUGAAGCGAGGUGGAGGCCCGGACAAGACAACUGGACAAGGCAACUGGCUAAUUUAUCGAGCGCGUGAGUCAACACAGUCAAUUUUAUUUCCUUUAUACUCAAGGAAGAUUGAGAUUCUCCAGGCAGAGGCCAAGCCAACUCCGCCUGAUCUUCUUCUCUCUCGGCACCCUGUUUUCCUUUCAAAGGUAUGUUUUCAUUUUACUUUUUUUUUUUUCCUAUAGUUAGUUUGCAUUUUUAGUUUGGACUUGGAAUCAUCUUCUAUCUUAUAAUAAGCUUUGUUAACUCAGUUGUUUAGAAAUAACAAAUAAUUGUUAUCAAUGAGGAAUUUGAAGUUCUCCAAUGUUUCUAUAUGCUGUCUCUUCACCGUCUGCAACCAGUGGCGAAAUCAAGAUCUUUGAUUUGAGGGUUAUUUUGUUAUAAAUAAUAACUAACAGAGGUUACAGUAUGUUAAAGACUACUUAUAGAGGACACCUUUGUAUGAUAUGGAGGGGUCAUUUUGUGGUGAAUGACAUUUAACAGGAGCCAAAAUACAAAUAAGAUAUACACAGGUCCUGCCUUCAAUAUUUUUGCCACAAAAUUGGGAGAGGUUGAAUUCAUAAUCAUUGAUCAUUGAUGGUUAUUUUAUUUUUUUAUUUUUGAUAAGGUUCUGUUUUAGUUUUAAUUUGUAAUAACUAAUAACAAGCUUCGAUCAUAUAAUUUGAUCUCAGUCACUUAAGUCAAUAUAGAGUUGGCUCAAUCUGACCAAAAUAAAAGUCUAAUGUUAAUUCCAUAAUGUCUGGUUAUGAUUUGUUGAAGUUUAAGUGAUUUUUUAAUUUAUCUGAUUGAAUGAAUACUUAAUAUGAUACGGAGGAGUUUUGAGAUGACUGAAUUUGGUACAGAUUACAAAGAACCGACAAUGGAUCAAGAAUUACCAGCAACCAUGGACCACGAACUACUUAAUGUAUUAAGGCGAGGGGAUGAACAUCAAAUCAGGCCAAUUGCAGGUCGAAUGCAAAAUAUUUUCAGCACAACGAGUCCCCGAGGCAACACAGUGCUUCAUAUGGCUAUCAGAUUUCGAAACCAUAAAGUGAUACCGGAGAUUCUCAGGCAACAGGAUUCACUUCUCCGUAAGCACAACUUGAAGGGUGAGACUCCAUUGCAUAUAGCUGCCAGGGUUGGUGACCCCGCUAUCGUUAGUACAAUCUUGAAUUAUGUGCCGGCUAUUACAAAUGGAACAGAAUCAGAACCAGAAAGCCUUUUGAGGAUAACAGACGAUGAAGGUAACACUCCUCUGCAUAAUGCUGUAAGAAACAAACAUGAGAAUGUUGUUCGGAUGCUGGUGAAAAAAGAUAGGAUUCCUCUUGGCUAUAUUAAUAAGGCUGAGCAGACCCCACUCGCAAUCGCCAUCGAUUCAAGUUUGACUGACAUUGCAUGUUUCAUCAUCGAUCAAAGACCAGAUUCUCUUGACCACAGAUUGCCCGAAGAACUGACACUUCUCCAUAGUGCUGUCAUGAGGCAAAAUUAUGGUGAGCCCAUGAUUUUCAUUUCAUUAAAUAAAUAUCUCAGUAUAGUUUGAGAUUUAAUCUGAAAGCAAUUCUUCUGAAUUUCUUGCAAUUUAGAGAUCAUGGUGAAGAUACUUGACAAAAAUAAAGGACUCAUCAAUUUGCCUGACUGGCACCAGAGAAAUCCUCUUCAUUAUGCUGCAGCCUUAGGUAAUGUUAGAAUGGCAAAGCGCUUGUUAGAAGAAAACAAUGAACUUGCUUAUAAACGCGACCGCUAUUUUGAGACACCUCUUCACUUGGCUGCGGAGAAUGGCAAGCUAAAUGUUUUGAAAGAACUUAUCGAUGGUUACCCAGAUGCCAUUGAGAUCCUCAACAAAAAAGAUCGCAGUAUCCUCCACCUUGCAGCUGAAAAUGGAAAUAUGAAUAUAGUCUCAUUUAUUCUGAAAUCACCUGAGAUGGAAGAUUUGAUCAACUCGGCUGAUGAAGAUGGGAAUACUCCUUUGCAUCUGGCUGCAAUGAACUUCCAUAGUGACGUGGUUCACAUUCUCUGCAAACACAAGAGUGUGAACAUCAGGGCAAAGAACCACAGCGAGAAUAGAAAUACUGCUCUAGCAAUUGUUGAGUCAUCUAAAGCUGAGGGAAGGGAUAUCCAAAAGGUACAAUCACUUUCUUAAUUACUGCAAUUACUGAGGUUUGUGCUUGUUGAUACUUGUUUGGUCGGCUUAUACAAACCGAGAGGAUUGUGUUUCUUGAGAAUCCAAAAGAAAUCAUUUAUGCUAGAUUUGUAUGAUCUACCACACAAACAAGGACAUAGAAAAAAAUCAUGGAUUAUGUUCUUAGAUGAUUCGACGCCAUAUGUAAAUCAUUUAUGCUUGGCUUGCUAGAUGUUCAUUUAAUUAGAAUUCCACAUCUGUUUACUAUGUCUUUGGCACAACAAUGCCACGUGUUCAUCUAGUUUGAAAACUACCGGACAGGUUGGUGUAGCUAUCACUGGAGCAUUACCUCCGAUACAUUUCAGAAACUGGAAGAGUCCUUAGCCAAAAUUGCUGUAUCUUUGAGCAAAUUAAUUACUUGCUAAUCCUUUAAGACACUAUUUGACAUGCUCUGAUAUGCAGCACUUAACCAUAAAGGCACUGAGGGCGGCCUAUGCAAAACGAGCUCUAUAUCCAGAAGACAUUCGUGAGAAUAGGCGGUUCUACAAAGAUGAAGGUGAGAAAGGCAAAGAAAUGGCUCAAACACUCUCAGUGAUGGCGACACUUAUUGCCACAUUCACGUUCACAGCAGCCUUCACAAUUCCAGGGGGUUUCAAAAGUGAUGAUCCUGAUGCAGGCAUGGCAACUCUGCUUGGAAGAGCAAGUUUCCAAGCAUUUGUCAUCACGGAUGCCAUAGCCAUGACUUCAGCCAUGACUGCAGCUGUUACCGUAUUUUGGUCAUUUUGGAAAGGCAAAAGUGAAUCUUUUAUGGACGCACUUCCGUUGGCCAUUGGCUUCACUUGGAUUGCACUCAUAUCCAUGACACUAGCAUUUGUGACAGGUUUGUACGUAGUGUUGUCAAGCAAUUUGGCCCUGGCUAUUGUGGUUUGUGUGAUUGGUUGCUUUUUGCCCUUCGUGUUUUAUGUCUUUGCUCCUUUCUUUAUGAUCAUAUUUGAUCAAACUGAAGUCAAUCCGUUUGCAUUCAUUGUACGCUUCGUGAGGAACACUUUUUAAUUGCAAAUUUGUUACACAGAAUAACAACGAUGCUCAUUAUUAUUUGUUAUCUUGUUUUGUGAUUGAGCCACUUGUAGCUUUGCAAUCACUUCCAUUACACUCGUAUCAAUGACACUAGCAUUUUUGAGGCUUCGUGUGAGAUGGUUUUCAAAUGCUAUUGAAUCUGCUUGGGCCGCAUGAUCGAUCAAAUCCCCUUUGAUCAAGAGUUAACACAAUCAAUCAAGAUCGAACGCAAGAAACAUGAUUAAACAUAUCAAAACGAUCAAUUACACAUAACACACAAAACAGAACACAUCAGAAGCAACAAAAUUACAUGAAGAAGAAAAGAGCUUCAUGCUCUUCCCUUAUUAGAGAGAAUUUUUAACUCAAAUUUACAGAGAAUAUUACAAGCUUCAAAACAAGCCUAAAUUCACUACUUAAUUAGUCCUCAAGCAUUCAAAUGAGAUAUUGUACAGCUUAUAAACCCAGUUUGGUAACAUAGUCAACCAAAUCUGUUAGCCACGUCAGCAUCUUUUUGCAGCAUUUCCCCGCUAAAAUUGGGGAAGGCAAAUGACACCCUCAUCAGAAUUUACGAAGUGAGACUUGAAACUUUAUUAACUUGUCAAAUACAUCCCCCCUUCAGACUAUUGAAUCAUACUCAACAUCGUGAAUUAAGUUUUUUUAUUAGAUUUAUUUUUUUAAAAAAUCAAAACAUAAAAAAAAAAGAGCAAAGAACUAGAAAAUGAGACAAAAACAUUUCAAUUGUGAACACGAUGCUUGUAGUACACACGUUUACGAAACUGACACAUUCUAGAUAAUAUUUUAAUUAAUUGGAUUUAGAGACUUAUCUUUUGUUAAAUAUGUUUAUUUUAUUCAAAAUAAGGUUGUCGUAUUAAUAUGUGUGUUUUUCUACUUAUUUAUAGACAUCAACUCUAAUACAAAUAUAUAUAAUAAAUUUAUAAUUAAAUUUAUAAUUUAGUGCGAUAUCAAUUAUAUAACAAAGAUUUACACAAAUUUACAUCCACAGUUAAUGUGACAUUCUUUCCCACAAAAAAAAAAAAAGAAAAUGAAUGUGGACAUGACUUUUGGAAAUUGUUGACUACGAACUCAAUACCUCCUUUUUAAUUAUAUACGACUUUUGGUCUGGGGAGAUAUUCAGCUCAUGACCAAUAAAUAACCCAUAUGAAUAAUUUUAGUAUUUUUUAAUUUAAUUCUUUUUAAAUUUAUUAAAAUGAUAUCUAUAAAUUCAUAAACUCCUAAAAUUUUUAAUUUAGCUCCUGAUAAUCAUUUUACAUUUUUACUGAACAUACCACCAACUUUCACCCAUAAAUGAAGACAUGUAUUUUUAAAUACAUUAUUUGAAAAGAUAAAAAAAAAUAUAUGGUACAGCUCCAUAUCACCAAUGACCCAGCUGUACCACAUUGAAUUUGUACAUAUUCCCCGCAAUCAUGAUUCAUAGAUACAAUUUCUUAUGUUAAUAUUUAAUAGUGAACGAUAUAUAAAAUAUACAUCUUUUGACAGCUUCAUUUCAAUAAAUUUGUUUUUUUUUUGGGUCUUAUGUGGGUUUAUGGGCACUGACAAUAACUCUUUGGUUAGUCCGUCUCCCCUUUCCUCACUUUAAAUUGAACGAUUUGAAUUUUCCUAGCGAUUCUAGAAACAAUUUCUUAUGUUAAACUUGGCGGACUUUGAUUAUAUACUUUACGUCUUAGUUUUGGAAUAUAUUAAUGGAGCGAUUUGAUUCUAUAUAAUAUUACAAAAAUAAUAUUAUUGGCUACUGGGUGAUUGUUUAUUUUUCCAAUUGAAAUGGAGUUCAGGCCAAAAUUCUGGUUAGUUUCUCUUUGUCCUAUAACUAACAUAGCAUUUUUUUUUUCUGAAAUUUAGAUGAGUCUGCAUUUGGCUGAACUCUCUCUCUCUCUCUCUCUCUCUAUAUAUAUAUAUCUAAUUAACAUAUAUUUUUUUAAUACAUACGUUAAGUUGUUUGUUUUUUAAAAAUAAAUAAUUUAAAAUAUAAUGUUUUGACAUAAAUAAUCUCAAAAAUAUUGACAAUACUUAUAUUUUAUUAGUUAAAACAUGACAAGUUAUAAAAAAAUUAUUUGAUUAGUAUAAAAAAAUUGUUAAUGUAUACUUAACAAAACAUGAAAAUAAAAUAAAAUAAAAUAUAUAUCUAGCAUAUGUAUUUUUUAAAUUAAUAUAUGAUACUAAAUGGUGACCUAGCUUUCUUCUUGUUCUUUGUCUUCCUUUGGACUGGUCCAUUUGAUAAAGUGUGAUAAUUUAAUUUUUUUUUCUUUCGUUAUCGUUGAUUAAUUUCAAAUAAUUAUAUAUAAUAGAAGUUUACUUGCAAGACAUGAUUAGUUCACACUACCCGUUCUGCCGAUGACUUUAUUUUUGGCGACUUUAAUUUCUUUCCAGCAAACUACAUUUGAAAGCCAAAACCGCGUAGGAUUUUCAUCUCACGUCCUGCAUACUCUUAGAAAAUCAUUAUCCCGGUUUUAUUCCUUCACUUACCUUAAUCCUCUUGCGGGUUUCUAGUUUAAUUUUAAUUUUUAAAGAUCAGUACUUGAGCAAUCUCUAGCAGAAUCAAUGGGGUGUAGUGUAAGCAAAAACCAACGCGAUCCAAUUCUUGGUAAAGCUUAUGAAGAUGUUAUGUUACAUUACUUUUUCGGUAGAAUGUUGGGUAGGGGUCAAUUUGGCGUGAGUUAUUUAUGUACUGAGAAUUCAACCAACAGGCCAUAUGCUUGCAAGUCUAUUGCUAAGAAGCCUAAGAUGAGACUAGCAGAAAAUGAUAUGAUCAGAAGAGAGAUUCAGAUAAGGCUGUACUUGAGCGGGCAGCCUAACGUUGUCGAGUUUAAGAGUACUUAUGAGGAUGAGACUGCUGUGCAUGUGGUUAUGGAAUUAUGUGAAGGUGGUGAUCUGUUUGAUAGGAUUAUUGCCAAGGGUUAUAAUAGUGAGAGAGAUGCAGCCACUGUACUCAGGGCUAUUGUGAAUGCCGUGAAUGUCUGCCACUCCAUGGGCGUUAUGCACANNNNNNNNNNNNNNNNNNNNNNNNNNNNNNNNNNNNNNNNNNNNNNNNNNNNNNNNNNNNNNNNNNNNNNNNNNNNNNNNNNNNNNNNNNNNNNNNNNNNNNNNNNNNNNNNNNNNNNNNNNNNNNNNNNNNNNNNNNNNNNNNNNNNNNNNNNNNNNNNNNNNNNNNNNNNNNNNNNNNNNNNNNNNNNNNNNNNNNNNNNNNNNNNNNNNNNNNNNNNNNNNNNNNNNNNNNNNNNNNNNNNNNNNNNNNNNNNNNNNNNNNNNNNNNNNNNNNNNNNNNNNNNNNNNNNNNNNNNNNNNNNNNNNNNNNNNNNNNNNNNNNNNNNNNNNNNNNNNNNNNNNNNNNNNNNNNNNNNNNNNNNNNNNNNNNNNNNNNNNNNNNNNNNNNNNNNNNNNNNNNNNNNNNNNNNNNNNNNNNNNNNNNNNNNNNNNNNNNNNNNNNNNNNNNNNNNNNNNNNNNNNNNNNNNNNNNNNNNNNNNNNNNNNNNNNNNNNNNNNNNNNNNNNNNNNNNNNNNNNNNNNNNNNNNNNNNNNNNNNNNNNNNNNNNNNNNNNNNNNNNNNNNNNNNNNNNNNNNNNNNNNNNNNNNNNNNNNNNNNNNNNNNNNNNNNNNNNNNNNNNNNNNNNNNNNNNNNNNNNNNNNNNNNNNNNNNNNNNNNNNNNNNNNNNNNNNNNNNNNNNNNNNNNNNNNNNNNNNNNNNNNNNNNNNNNNNNNNNNNNNNNNNNNNNNNNNNNNNNNNNNNNNNNNNNNNNNNNNNNNNNNNNNNNNNNNNNNNNNNNNNNNNNNNNNNNNNNNNNNNNNNNNNNNNNNNNNNNNNNNNNNNNNNNNNNNNNNNNNNNNNNNNNNNNNNNNNNNNNNNNNNNNNNNNNNNNNNNNNNNNNNNNNNNNNNNNNNNNNNNNNNNNNNNNNNNNNNNNNNNNNNNNNNNNNNNNNNNNNNNNNNNNNNNNNNNNNNNNNNNNNNNNNNNNNNNNNNNNNNNNNNNNNNNNNNNNNNNNNNNNNNNNNNNNNNNNNNNNNNNNNNNNNNNNNNNNNNNNNNNNNNNNNNNNNNNNNNNNNNNNNNNNNNNNNNNNNNNNNNNNNNNNNNNNNNNNNNNNNNNNNNNNNNNNNNNNNNNNNNNNNNNNNNNNNNNNNNNNNNNNNNNNNNNNNNNNNNNNNNNNNNNNNNNNNNNNNNNNNNNNNNAGUUGUCGCUGGUGCACUAAAACAGAGUCCUUGAUUAAUUAAUUAGCUACAAUUUUUUAUAAUAUGCAAAUUGAUCGUUUCCUUUCCUGAACCCCUUUUUUUUUUAACUGUUUUCAAGAGUUAAGCUUAGAUGGUGAGAAGAUAUUUAAAAAAAACGAAAAAAAAGAAAUCGUUUUAUUAAUAUGAAAUCUGACGCAAUAUUAUCAUAUUACUAAUAAAAAAAUAAAAUCAACCAACACCGUAAUCUUAAGAUACAAUUUAUUUUUUAAGAUGGAUUAAAUAUCAAAUCAUUUUAUUCUAUUAUAUUUUAUUUUGUGAAAAGCCUUGAUGAAGCAAGGAAAUGUAUUAAAAUAGAAAACGGUGGUGGAACUUAUGGUGGAACUCAUAGUAGAAACUUUCUUACGACAAUAAACCCAAUGAUUUCGAAGUUGCCGGGGAGGCCUAAGAGUUCGUUUUAAGAAAAAGAGCACAAUCAACAUAGAGUCAAGUUCCACCACCCUUAAUCAUACGCCAAGUCAAUCACCAAAAAAGCAGGCAUAAAAGCAGUUUUAUUAUUCUUGUCAAUUUAUAAAUAAAUAAAUCAAAGGAAAAAAGUUUUCAAAUUAAUCAACUUAUUAAUGGCUAAAGCGUGGGUAAUUUAAAUUUUUUUAACUUAAAAUAAUGACAUAAUUUUUUUUCAUUAAAUAUAUUCAAUCCCAUGGUAGAUGAAUGAUGAUACAUAUGCCACCUUUUGGCUUUAAAUCCACAGCAUUGAAAUUUUAAUACAUCUCGAAUUUAAGCACUAAGUUUAGGUUAAGAAUUUAAGUUCAAAGAACCAUAUCUAAAUCCUCUCUCUUUUGAAUUGUCAUUUGGUCCCUUAACGUCGUUGACACAGUUGCAUUAGCCUAUAACAUCCACACACACGCACACAAAAACCCUUAAAUUUGAGGGUUAUGAGACUCUUGAUUUUAUCCGCUGGAAAGAUAAUUUUUACAAUUUUAGUCUUCCGUUGCACCAAUGGCUGAAAUCAAUUGUGGUGUGACUUACUUUUAUAUGAAGUUAACAAUUUUAAUAAUUGUAGUCUGUCGCAUGGGCAGAGCGAUCGAGCAUUUAUAUGGCAAGAUGGGGUAGAAACUUUUUCGUGUACAAUAUUAAAAAGUCAUUAUGGGUGUUGGAAUUUUUAAAAAAUGUUCUCAGUGAUUUUUUAAUUUUUUUUGAAUUAGUCCUUGUGAAACUCAAGAUUUUUACUUGAACUUGCCAACCCAUUAAUUCUAGAUCCUAAGCUACAUCCCCAGUGUCUCAGGCUAGCUAGUGAAUUGUAUUAUCUCGCAUCAAACUAAAUUAUAUAGAUGAAUUCUGAUCUUAUCUAAAAUAUUAACAUUAAUUUUAAAUCUUGACCGAUGAUCUAAUGGUACACUUCCAGGACAGGUAUAUAGAGAUAUAGUAGGGAGCGGUUUUUAUAUUGCUCCUGAGGUAUUACGGCGCAGAUAUGGGAAGGAGAUAGACAUUUGGAGCGCAGGCGUUAUCCUGUAUAUUUUACUAUCUGGUGUACCUCCAUUUUGGGCAGGUGAAAAUAUUCGUUUGGUUUGCAGCCUAUACAUGUUUAUUUCCAUUACCUUAAAUAACUAAGUAUUGCAAGUGUAAGUAUAGUCACUCUGUACUUGUGAUGAUGUGUAUAUGUACCCUGCAGAAACGAAGAAGGGCACUUACGACGCUAUAUUGCAAGGAGAAAUUGACUUUGACACUGAUCCGUGGCCAAGUAUUUCCAGCACUGCCAAGGACUUGGUACGCAGGAUGCUGACAAAGGAUCCCAAAAGGCGGAUUACUGCUGCUCAAGUUCUAGGUAGACAGCACUAGAUAAUCCUGAAGCUUGCUAUCUGUUUAGCUUUAUAGUCUAUAUAUAAGUUCAAAAUUUACUUGGUCCACUUAAUUGAGAAUUGAAUGCAUGAUAUGCAGAGCAUCCUUGGCUUAGAGAAAGUGGAGAAGCAUCAGACGACACUUCAGUUAUUUUAAGGAUGAAGCAGUUUAGGCGAAUGAACAAACUAAAGAAACUCACAAUAAAGGUCAUUUAAUUUAAUUAGUCUAACUAACAAUAUAUAUAACCCUUAAAAAUUUAGGUAACCCAUAUUGGUAGAAGAUUCGAACUCAGGUAUGAAAAUCUAUUAUUUGUUUUUGAUAUCAACAACGAUUAAUUUAUUCUUGAGUUCUGAUCAUAGUAUCUUAUAAACUAUAUGUGCAGGUCCAAUGAAUUAAUUUGUAAAUUAUAUUGUGCAUCCCUUCUGAUGAACUGAGUGGUUCUUUAUUAGGUCAUUGUGGAAUAUCUUCCCGACGAAGAAACACAAGCGCUAAAGGAAAAGUUCAUAGAGAUGGACACUGACAAAAAUGGCACUCUUAGUUACGAUGAACUGAGGGCAGGAUUAACUAAAGUUGGAUCGAUGCUUACAGAAUUUGAUGUCAAGCACUUAAUGGAAGCUGUAAAGAAUUCAUCAACUCUUGAGUUUAUUCUAUAUACCGUCUAUCAAUUGGCAUCAUUACACUCAAGUGAUAUUGUUUGCCAUAUAUAUGCUUUUUUGCAGGCUGAUAUGGAUGGAAAUGAGGCUAUUGACUACACUGAGUUUACAGCCGCUACGAUUCAAAGGCAAAAGCUAGAAAGAUCUGAGUAUCUUAGCAAAGCCUUUCAAUAUUUUGAUAAGGAUAAUAGUGGGUAAGUUUCUCACUCUAAAUUAAAUUAAUGUGAAAAAAUUAAAAAAAUGAUGACCAUUUGGCAAUUUUAAUAUCUAUAGCCUCAGAAUUCAGAAAGACCCGAUAUUGUUAUGCUUUUCUUUUAAUUAUUAUCGGAAAAGGAUGCUGAAGUUAUUUUCUGAAAGUGCAGUUAUAUCACAUUAGAUGAACUGGAUACAGCUUUUAAAGAAAAUAACAUGGGCGAUGAUGCUAAAAUUAGGGAAUUGUUGUUUGACGUUGAUAGUAAUAAAGUAAGUUGAUUUUAAUUAUGAUUUUCUGACAAAAGUAUUAAUUUCUAUGGAUUAUGUAUUAAUAUGUGGAAGCUCUCACGGGUCACGUCUUGACGAAUUUCGUGCAAUGGUGGUAGUAGUAGUAGUGGUGGUAGUAGUAGUGGUAGUAGUAGUAGUCAUAGUCGUAGUGGUCGUAGUGGUAGUAGUAGCAGUGGUCGUAGUAGUAGUGGUUGUAGUAGUGGUAGUAGUAGUGGUGGUAGUAGUAGUAGUAGUAGUAAUGGUAGUAGUAGUAGUGGUAGUAGUGGUGGUGGUGAAAGUGGUGGUGGUAGUUGUGGUAGUAGUCGUAGUAGUAGUCGUCGUAGUGUGUGUGUCUUCNNNNNNNNNNNNNNNNNNNNNNNNNNNNNNNNNNNNNNNNNNNNNNNNNNNNNNNNNNNNNNNNNNNNNNNNNNNNNNNNNNNNNNNNNNNNNNNNNNNNUUCUAGAAAUACAGAGAAAAGCAGAGGAAAAACUGUUGGGAAAAUAUGCUCUUUAAAAGCAUAUGUGUUUAUUUAAUUGUAAUAAAUAAUUUUUCUGAUUAAUAAAAUAAAUGAGGUAUUUUAUUCAAAUAUCUUAAUUGCAUUAAUAUUUGUAUUAAAGUCCAUUUAAUCAUAUUAUAUGUAUUUAUGUGAUCACCAUGUGGAUUCAUAAAAGACAUAAAUACAAGUUAUCUUAUGAUUAAAUAAAUUUAGUUCGCAGUUGAUAAAUAAAGUUGGGCACUUUAUUUAGGUAUAGACUGUAAUAAAUUCAUUGAAUGAUUUGUCUUAAUCAUGUAUGAAUUUAUUGAUGUAGUGCGACUACAUUGAACAUGAUCACAUAUGAGAUUUAAUUAACUUUGUAAUAACUGUUAGACUUAUUAAAUCUCAUAUGCAUUGAUUUUACUGUAAUCUUAAUCUUGAGUUAAUUAUGAUUUCAUGAUUGUAAUUGUUAUUCCAUUUGAGUUACCAAUGGGCACGACACAUUCUUGUGGUCAAGAUUACCCGGUAUCUUGGUGGGAGCAGUUAUGAGUAUUGGAGUUAUGGAUUAACAAUAUAGAAUUUGUACAACACAUUUCUUGAUGGGUUUUCGGCACUUGAUCAUAGAAUUCUCUGGCCAGAGUGUGUCAACAUAUUUAGUAUGUUGAAAAUGAUCAUUAGAGAAAACCAGUAAGUAUUAAGGAACAAGAUGUAAUUAAAUUGAUUGGACAGUUGAGAUAUCGAUUUAAUUAAUGAUGUGGUACAAAGGAUUGUGCAGUAAAGAAAUCAAUGUGGCUUGGGACGAAUUAUUAUUCGAGCAUACAAUUAUGGAAGUCAAUUCCAAUCUUUUAGUGGAAUAGAUUUGGAAUUAAAUAAUUGGGCUAGUUUAAUUACAUGCCUAAUUAUUGUAGCCACUAUUGUAUGUUCCCAAAUGAUUCCCGGGGUUAGCUCAUUUAAUUGACUGCACCACUACUGGAUUAAUAAGCAAGAUAACUAGCUAUUUGGGUCAAAAGCCUAAUUAUAUCAUUUAGUGGGAGGCUCCAUUUAAUUAGCUUAUGUGUAAGGGGCCUUAUGUUAUUUUACAUGGUGGGUCCCCUAUUAAAUGAAAAGUAAAGUGAGUUUUAUUUAAGGCAUUAUUUGGAGCCUAGGGUUUUCACUAAAGGGAGAUAUAAAAGGCUUAUUUUCUCAAACGAAAAAGAGCAGCCACUUUAUACAGAUCAGAGAAAAAGAUUUUUCUCUCUAUUGUUGAGAGAAAAAUUUUCUCGUGCUAGUUGCUUUGGUAGUGAUAAAGGCGCUUACACGUCAAGUGCAGAUCGAAUCUGAGUCAUAACCUGGAAGAUUAUUGGUGACAAUUCGUGAUCUAACAAGCGUGGUGGUGACGGAUCGUGAUCCAAAAGGAGUGGUAGUGGCGGAUCGUGAUCUAGGAGCCUAAAUCAUUUCAACGGAAAAAGUCAAAUCGGAUUUUCAAGGUACGAUUUCUAGAUUACUUAUAUAUUAUAUGAGAGCGAUCUUCAAAAGGUUUUAUAAAAAAUUUAAAAACCUAAUUUUUCCCCAACAAAAACAACAAGAGAAAAUGAAUCUGAAUCAUUGGAUUAAUUCGAAUGGUUUACAAGAAUCUAUUUAUACAUAUAUCUCGAAUCUUCUACAUGCUGCUUGUGUUGAGCUAACAACAUAACAACAUUCCUCCAGCUCAGCUGCCAAGUCAGCAUUCAUAACGAACUUGCUUAAUUAAAUUAACUAAGCUAAUAACUAAGCUUAACUAACUAAAUUAUCUUAACUAAUUCUAUUAUCUUAACAACCCCUCUCAAGGUCAAGGUCUAGGAAGAACAUUGAGCUUGGACCGUAGAUAAUGAAAUUGAUCAAAUGUUAAUGGUUUAGUAAGAAUAUCUGCUACCUGAUCAUAACUUGAAAAAUGAUUAAUUUGCAGCUCUUUUCUAGAUAUAUGCUCUCGAAUGAAAUGUAAAUCAAGCUCAAUGUGUUUAGUUUUAGAAUGAUACUUAGGAUUGCUAGCAAGGGCUUCUGCACUUUUGGUAUCAUAGUAGAGAACUGGAGACUGUAGUAAAGACACUUUCAAUUCUUUAAAAAGAUAAGUGAUCCACAAUACCUCAAAUGUUGUUAAAGCCAAUGCUCUGUAUUCUGAUUCAGCUGUCCUUCUAGAUACUAUAUGUUAUUUCUUAGAAGACCAUGAUAUCAAGUUAUUGCCUAAGUAAACACAAUAUCCCUCUACUGACUUCUUAUCAUCCAGAUCUGAUCCCCAAUCAGCAUCUGAGAAAGUUGUAAGAGUAAGUGAUCCAAAUGAGUAAAAUUGUAAACCAUAAUCUGAUGUAUGAUGUAGAUACAUCAGCACCCUUUUGCAAGCUUGCUAAUGAAAUACUAAUGGAUUAUAAAGAUAUUGGCUGAGUUUAUUUACUGUAAAGGAAAUUUCAGGCCUUGUUAGUGUAACAUAUUGUAAUGAGCCAACUAGACUUCUAUAUAAAGAGGAGUUUUCAAAAAUUGCACCCUUGUCUUUGACUAACUUUUCAGUUGAGCUCAUUGCGGUUGGACAGCCCUUGCAAUUUACCAUUUGAGCUUUCUUGAGCAGAUCACCAAUGUACCUAGUUUGUGAUAGGUGCAAAUCCUUCAGCAGUUGGAGUUACCUCAAGACCAAGAAAGUAAUUGAAUUCCCCAAGAUCUUUCAAGGCAAACUCUGCACCCAACUGAUGUUUAACAUUCUCUACCAAGUGAGGAUUUAAGCUAGUGAUCAAGAUAUCAUCUACAUAGAUGAGUACUACAAUGAUUUCUCUUGCCACAUGAUUAAUAAACAAUGAGGUAUCCGAUUUAGAUGUCACAAAACCCCACUGAAUUAAGGAAGCUUUCAGCCUGUCAUACUAGGCUCUUGGUGCCUGUUUCAGGUCAUAAAGUGCCUUGAUGAGUUUGCAGACAUGAGUUGGAAACUGAGAAUAAACAAAACCCUCAGGUUGAUGCAUAAAAACACAUUCUGUAAGAAUGCCACUAAGGAAGGCAUUAUUGACAUCUAGCUGCCUAAUUGUCCAGUGAUUCAUGAUAGUAAGACUCAAAAUUAUCCUGAUUGUGCAGGGCUUUACAACUGGACUAAAUGUUUUAAAAAAAUCCACACCUUGUGUCUGAUGAAACCCUUUUGCAACUAAUCUCUCUUUAUGCUUUGAUAUUCUGCCAUCAGGGUUAUAUUUAACUCUGAAUACCUAUGUGUUUCCAAUAAUCUUCCCAGCUUUUUCUGGAGGAAUAAGAACCCAGGUUUUAUUCUUUUGUAGUGCAUCAAAUUCCUCUUGCAUAGCUUGUUGCCAUGUGGGGUCUGUUAGAUCUGCUUUAACAGAUGAAGGUUCAUGUUCUUGAGUCACUGUUAAGCAUGUCUUGGGCUUAAACACACUAGAUUUUGAUAUGGUAGUCAUGGGAUGAAUAUUCUGAACUGGUGGUGCCUAUAUUGGUUGAUGAUCUUGUAUGAGUGGGGAUGAAUUUUGAGAUGAAUGUCUUGGAGAUGGAUGUGCUGAAGGUGUAUGGGAAUGACUUGAAUCAGGUCCUGUACCUGGAAAUAGGGGAAUAACAGAGGAUUGUGCAUUGUUGCUGUUUUGAAUGACUUCUGUAAUUGAAAUAUUUGAAAAGGAAACUUGAUUUGGUUGGACAAAGGAUAUUUGUGAAUCAGACUUUGUAAGAAAGAGUUCAGAAUAAGGGAAUUCUGAUUCAUUGAACUGAACAUGUCUAGCAAUGUAUGUUUUACCAGUGGAGUCAAGACAUUUAUAUCCCUUGUGUAUAAGACUAUAGCCAAUCAUUAGACAUUUUUGUGUAUGAAAAUUGAGUUUAUGUUUAUUAUAGGGUCUAAGAAGAGGAAAGCAAGAGCAACCAAAUGUUCUAAGGAACUUGUAAUCUGGUAAUCUGCCAUGGAGUUUUGAAUAAGAAGAAACAUUAUUCAACACUGGUGUUGGCAUUCUGUUAAUGAGAAAUGAAGCUGUAUGAAAUGACUCCCACUAAAAAGACAAAUGCAUUUUGGCUUGAGCAAGAAGUGUUAACCAACUUUCUAUAAUAUGCCUAUGCUUUUUCUCAACUACACCAUUUUGGUGAUGCGUGUGAUGACAACUAUGCCUAAAGUGUAUCCCUUCCGCCUCAAGUAAUUUUUUAAAACUUCUAUACUCCCCUUCCUAAUCAGACUGUAAAGACUUCAAAGAGGAACCAAGUUGUUUUUCAACUAAGGUUUUGAAAUACUUGAAUGUAUCUAAAGCUUUUGACUUAAGGGUUAAUGGAAAAAUCCAGCAGUACCUACUCUAAUCAUCUACAAAACUAAUGUAAUAUAUAUAUCCAUGUAGUGAUGGUAUAGAUGUUGGAUCCCAAAGAUCAGUAUGUACAAGUUCUAAAGGAGCUUUUGUUUUGAUGCCUGUGAAGUAGAAAGGAAGUUGAUGCAUUUUGGCAAGCAUCACAAAAAUCAGGAACAUAUAUAGGAUUAUAAAGUGCAAGGGAAGAUAAUAUGCUUUUCAAUACGUUUUUAUUAGGAUGACCAAAUAUUUGAUGUAACACAUUAGCAGACAUCAUUGUGUUGACAAUAUUUAUACGACUCUGAGGAUUACUUGUUUAAGUACAAGCUUUAUUCAAAGACAAACCAGAAAAUUUACAAGUCGACUUGUUUAAAAUAGAAAGCAUAGAACUAGGAUUAUUAUUGGUGACACAUGAACUUGAGAGAAAAUCAUCUUUGGACAACAACUUAUACAGUCCUCUUCUAGCAAUCCCUUGAGCCAGAUGCACUCACUUUUUCUUGUCCUUAAUAAAACACAUAUUGGCAACAAACUCAAUAACUAAAUUGUUAUCUUCAAGCAAUUUGGAAAUGCUAAUGAGAUUUUUAGUGAGAUGAGGUACACACAAAAUAUCUUGUAAAUGCAUAAAUGAAUCAUAGGAUGUGGGAAGACAAGUAUACCCAAUGUGUGUAAUAUGCAAACCUUGGCCAUUACCAACAUGCAGUAACUGAUUACCUGAAUAUUCCCUUCCAAGGUUCAAGUUCUGCAGAUUGUUGGUGAGAUGAUGUGUUGCCCCCCGUCAACAUACCAACCUUGGUCAGCCAUGUCACGUUCAGAAGUUGUCAGGAAAGCAGCUCUUGGUGCUAAAUUUGGAUAGGAAGCUCUUGGUCCAGGAUUCUGAUAUAAAUUAUAGCCUGAAUAUGGAUUGUAAUAGGGCACAAAUUCUUUGUUGAACAUGUUCCUGCAUUCAGCUGCAGUAUGCUUUGGCUUAAAGCAUAUUUGACAAAUUACAGCAGCUCCAUUUGGAUCUAAAGCACCUUUUCCAUUAGUGAAGCCACCAAAAUUUCCAUUGUUAGCACCAAAGUUAUUGGCAUUGUUAACAACAUAUCCACCUCUGCCUUGAUAAUUUCCAGAUUGUGCAUUAUUAUUCCAGACACCAUUCUGAUUUCCUCUUCCUUGGCCUUAUGGAAAGCCUCUGCCACCAUUAUUAUUAUUGACAUUCUUAAUCCAGUUAGCAUUAAACUGUCCUCCAAAUUUAGUAUUGGUUCUAGUUUGAGCAACAUUAGUUGUAUAGUUCAGUUUAGUUUCCUUGCUAGCACUUUACUGAUGUGCUUCUAAUCUACAUCAUGAGUCAAAAAGCAUGGAGUAGGCUUCAUUAAUAGUCAUUUUUGCAAGAUUUGCUCCACUGGAUUAUAUGGUUGACAUAGUCCAAAGAUCAUAUGUGUAAUAAAAUCCAAAGAGCUAACAGGACUUCCAGUAAUGGCUAAAUCAUCAGUUAUUGUUUUCAACUUUCCAAAGAAUUUAGUCAUAGACAUUGAACCUUUUCUAAGAUUAUUAAGUAUCAUCUUGAGAUGAACCUUUUUAGCAAAAGUUUCAUAUCCAAAUUGCUGUUCAAGACUAGUCCAGAGUUCAAGUGAAGUUUCAGACUUUACCACAAGACUGAGAAUCUCAAGAUUAAUGGAAGACAGCAUCCAGCUCAGCAACAUUUGAUCCUUCCUUUUCCAAGUAGUAAACGCUAGAUUUGUUUGAGUUUUGACUUCAGAGUUUUCAAAUUCACUUUGAAGAAAUUGAUCCAGACAUGAAUUGGAGCUAUCAAGAUGAUCUUCAAGACCAUUUGCAUGCAUUGAAGAGAGAAUAUGAGAUUUCCAGAUUGCGUAGUUCGAUCGAUCGAGCUUAAUAGGGGAAGUGAAAGUAAAUGAAGAAACAAAGAUUGCUGUGUUUGAAUUUGAGCUUAAGACGCCAUUUUUGCUUUUAGUUGAGCUGUGAUACCAUGUUAAAUUGUAAAGUGUUUGUUUGGUUUCUAAGAAAAUUAUAGAGAAAAACAGAGGAAAAACAGCAAGAGAAAAUGAAUCUGAAUCAUUGGAUUAAUUUGAAUGGUUUAUAAGAAUGUAUUUAUACAUGUAUCUCGAAUCUUUUACAUGCUGCUUGUGUUGAGCUAACAACAUAAUAACCUUCCUCUAGCUCAGCUGCCAAGUCAGCAGUCAUAACGAACUUGCUUAAUCAAAUUAACUAAGCUUAACUAACUAAACCAUCUUAACUAAUUCUGUUAUCUUAACAAUGAUCAUUUAGUUCUUAUAUUUUAAUUUAAGUAUCAAUUUAACUUUUAUAUUUUGAAAAAUAUCUUAAGAUACUCUGAUAUUAAAUAUGUUGUACUUAUGUCCUUACUUUUCUUGACUUUAUAAUAAUGAUAUCCUUGCAACAAUCUUUUGGACAUUAUUGAAAAGUAAAUUAAUAACAAAAGAUUUAGAUUAAUUUUUAUUUUACUUAUAAGGUUAGUUUGAUCAUUUUAUUUUAGUCUUAUAAGGUUAGUUUGAUCGAUUUAUUUUUAUUGAAAAGUAAAUUAAUAAUAAAAGAUUUAGAUUAAUUUUUAUUUUACUUAUAAGGUUAGUUUUAUUUUGUUUUUAGAAUGUCUCCAAGAUUAUUGUAAUGGUAUUAUUGCAAAAGUUAAGAAAAAAUAAGGGUACAUUAUAUAAUCAGCACAACAAAAUCAUUAUAGAUUGGGUUGGCACCCUCAACCCCACAGGCUUUUUCUCCUUUUAAACAGAUUUAAAGCAUGUUAGAUUGUAAAUUAGCCCUAGGCCUUUUGCUCUUUACAGCCAAGCAAGUCUUGGAUUAUCUUCUUAUAUACACAUUAUGGCUGGUGCUUGAUUUUUAUUUUUAAUUACUUCACUCAACAGAAUAAAAUUGCUGAAUUGAAUUUCAGAUCUAAAAUGGCUAAAUGCUAAUUUUAUUUUUGUACAAGAUGAUCGGACAUAAUAGAGUAAAUUUUCGUAACCAAUGAUUUUUUUAGUAAUGUUAUGUUUAUGUAGAUAAAAUAUUUAAUUAGAAUAUUCAUUGAUAUGAAAAAUAUUUAAUUAGAAUACUCACUGAUAUGACAUUUUAUAUGGAUCACUUAUUGAUUGAAUUAUAAAAAUAAAAUGUAAGUAACUAAUAAUGAAAUCAAUUAAUAUCAAAUACAUGAUGACAAUAAAUAAUUACACCCAUCACAAAAUCUAUCAAUUAAAUAAACAUAACGUUAUUAUUUUAAUUAGAUAGAAAAGGCUCUUUCUCCCCCCCCCCCCCCCCCCCCCUUAAUUUUUCUUUUGAGAAGAGUUUUUCUAAUAUAACAAAUCUUCUUGAACAUCGAAUUUUAAUUUAGGUUCUAAAUUUUUUAUAUCAAAGUUAUUAUUAAAUAACAUGCUUAUGGGACUAAAUGACAUAACCCACCACAUCAACUGAAAAUGCGGAUUGUGAGUUAAUCCCACCUAUAACAAAUAAUAGAUUAACAAUCGCUCUGAAAAGGUCAAAAAAAUUAAUUUAAUAAAUGCAAUUUGAGCGUUAAGCGCUGAAAAUUAGGGGUGGGCAAAUCGGGUUUCGGUUCGGGUUGUUCGGGUUUCGGUUUGGGUUUCAACCCGUUCGGGUUGGAGAAUUGAACCCAAUCGGGUUGAAAACGCCAACCCGAACCAAACCGAACCGAAUUUAAUUCGGUUCGGUUUGGUUUGGGUUGACAAUUCGGAUCGGAUUGGGUUGAUAAUUCGGGUUACAAUUUCGGUUCGGAUUAAUUCGGGUUAGUUCGGGUUAGAAUAAUUCGGGUUAGUUCGGGUUAGAAUGGAUUGAAACAAUUUAAUCUAAAAAACAGCAAAAAUUAAUCAAUUAAUCAAUCAAUUAAUUAACAAUCUCCAAUUUAAUUAAUAAUAACAGCAGCAGCAAACCCGCUCCAAUUUAAUCAAUAACCGUCUCCACUCUCCAAUUGUUCAAUUAUCAAUAAACCCACUCCAAUUUAACUAAUAGCAAUCUCCAUUUGUUCAAUUAUCAAUCAACAACAACAAUCCCACUUCAAAUAAUUGAAUAAUUGUCAAUCAAUUAAUUAAAAAUUUACAAUUUAAUUAAUAGCAACAAUCUUGUUGGGUUUAGCUCUUCGUUUUGGAGUGAGUUUGGGGUUUCUGUUUAUGUUUAUGUGAAGAUGUGGUGAGAAUGAAAAAAAGCUUCAGCAAGUUACAGCGUCGCCGUCGGCAAGGCAAGACAAACCUUGAUCUCGGAGGUCGGAGCAGCUACAGCGUCGGCAGAUCGAGACUAUGCUGGGCUGAGUGGGACGCGAGGUGAACGCACAGCGCAGUUGCGGCGAGGCGUGCUGGCUGACGGCGAGUGGGCUGCGAUGAACGGCUGGUGUCUAUUGGAGCUGGACGGGGCUGCUGGCUGCUGCUGUGAGUGCUGUCGUCGUGGGCUGCUGUGGCUGUUGUCUGUUGGAGCUGAAGUGCUGAACGGGGCUGCUGUGGCUGCUGCUGAAGUGCUGAUGUCGUCGGCCACAGUUCUCAGAAAGUGAGAACUGAGAAAAGGGAGCAAGGAGGGGGAGGCCGGGGCCGGGAGGGAGAUGAAGUGAGAUUUUUGUUUAGGGAUUUUUAGGGAUUUUUUUGUUUAAUUAAUGUACAUAUAUUUUUAAUUUAAAAGUUAAAUCUUAAAAAAAAAGCUUCAACCCGAACGGGUUGAAAAUUCGGUUCGGAUUCAACCCGAACCGAAAUUUAACCCGAACGGGUUGAAGCUUUGAAUCCGUUCGGGUUUCACCGGUUAAUCCAAACCGAACCGAACGCCCACCCCUACUGAAAAUGACCAAAUUACAAAUUAACAUUUACUCACUGCUAAAAUGCUAAUCAUAGCCGACCCUUUGGUUGAUUAUAUAUUAAAAGCAGUGACUAACUUGUUGGCGAAAGAAAAUCAUAAAAAAAAAAAGAUUAUUUUUCUUCUUCCAUCUAUUCCCUCUUUUUUUUAGAAAAAUAUAUUUACGCUAUUCAUGUGCACAAACAAAUUUCUCCUUAUUUUUUUUUUUCAGACAAUGAGGUCGGCAGUGAUUUUAUCAAUGGUCAUUUGUUCCGAUUCCCGUGGCAUAAGAUCGACAACUUUCCAUUGGAUUUCAAAGCAGGGAAACUCAAUCUAAAUUCUAAAGCACGAUAACAGAGAGAGAGAGAGAGAUGAGGGAAAAGUAAGAGAGACAUGAGGAAAGUAAUUUAUUAUCAUAGUAAGAUUCACGUUAGUUUAUUAGUAUUUAAAAUUAAAAAAAAAAAUAGUAAUAGCUCUCCUUCAACUUAAGUAUCUUCAAAUAAAGUUUACUCUAAUGAUUGUAAAAUGAUGUUCUGAAAGAAAAUAAAAUAUUAUUUUUAAUUCAGGUUUAUUUUUAUUUUGACGUGGUUCCCACUCAAAUAAUCAUAUUGCCCCUUCACCGAACUAUGCUAUGAUAACGUGUUGUUUUAUUGGGGGAGUGUGGACUUGAUCAAUGCGCCAAAACCAUUAAGGCAUAACCAAUAUUAACACAACUACUUAAUAAAAUAUCAUUCACGUCAACUGAGAAACCAACGUAUAGGUAUAAUGGUUGAUUUAAAGAAGGGAAAAUUAUUGGGUAUCUUAAGAGUAUUGUUCUUUUUUUCACCUACCUUUUGUCAUGUAUAUACUAAAUAAAGACUUCGAGUGUGAUGGGCGUUGGGUUCGAUUUUAUCCUACGCACAGCGGUAUUUUGGUCAAAGUCUUUUUUCAUUGAAUUGUAUCAUUUGAAGAUUUAAAAAAAGCGAGUGAUAUUUUAUCCUAUAAUUUGUGCAAACAAAUUCCACUUAAAAAAAAAUUACCACAAAAAAAAAAUCACGUCACAUGCAUAUUUUGCUAGUUUGAUUGAAAAUUAACAGUCAAAUUAAUAAAUAGCUAGCAUCUCUCCAUGUGAUUGUGGGAAUAAUUUUUUAAGAUGGAUUUCAGAUGAACUACGUCAAUGACAAGUAGUACCAAUUAAUCGCAUAUGAAUAUUUAUUUUUUGUAUAAGUCUUUUUUUUUCAGUAAAAAGAAGGUUUUAAAUUCCUCUCUUUCGGCCAAACCGAUUUGGUCUAGUCUCCUCUCCUCUGGUCUGCGCACUGCGCACUGCUACAUUGCCCUGAUAUUCUUGCUUUUGUGGUGUGUGGUUCAAGACUCUGGGAGGUAUGUUUUCAUUCAACUUAAUUUUCAAUUUCGAUUUUUUUCUUUAAGUUUUCAAUUUCGAUUUUUUUUUCUUUAAUUUUAUUUUAUUGUUAAUCUUUUAACUUCUCAGUUUCGUACACCGAUUUUAAUUAAACUUUUAGAUCAGCAAUAGUCCAUCCAAUUCCGAAGCUUCCUUGUCCAUCCCCUCUCUUAUAUUAUCCUUUUGUCUCUCUCAUUACUCUUUCCUCCCCCUUUUUCACAAACUCCUUGAAUCUUUGAACAAAUUUUCAUACUCAGUUAAUUUAAAUUCAAGUUAGACUUCAACUUGAAUCUUUCAAAAUCUAGAACAAUGUAAACGUAAUGUUUUGAGAUAACACAAAAAAUCUUUUAAAGUCUAGUAACCCAUUUUUUCACACCUAUUUAAGUCUUAUUUUCAAUAUGAUUAAAGUUGAUUGAGAAAUUUAGUGGAAUCAGCUUUGAUAGAAGGAUAUUUUUCUUGAAAACAGCAAGCUUAAUUAUUUGUUGCUUCUCUAUGUAACGCUACAUCAAUAAUCGUUGUCAUAGUUGGAUACUUACGUAUAGAGAAUCGAUAAUGGUUCAAGAACUACUCGAGGUACUGAGAAUUGAAGUUUAAUCAAGUUAUUUGUGUUUGUUUGGUUAUAGAGAAAGUGAAGGAAAGUUUAAUGAGCAUUAAGAGAAAAUAUGAGAAAAACAGAUCAAAUCUUAUUCAACAUAUUAUGAGUACAGAAAGUGAGCUUAUAUAGUAAGAUCCAGAACUUUCAACAUUUGCUCACACACAUGUAAAGAAUGAGCUGUGAUUAGCUAACUUUCCCAGCUCUAUAACAAACAUACAAACUAAAGAUAAUAGCCUUGCUCACUCAGCUGCCACAUCAGUAGAAACGUUACAAGAAUAUUCUUCACAUUUAUAUCUCUAACAUCCCCCCUCAAGCUUAAGGUCGUGAAUGGACAUUAAGCUUGCUGUGCAAAUAAGCAAACUGAUCGAAACAGAGGGGCUUAGUAAGAACAUCUGCUAAUUGUUCUGAACUUGGAACAUAAGUGAUUGAAAGCAGCUGUUGAGCAAUAUGCUCUCUGAGAAAAUGAAUAUCUAACUCAAUAUGUUUAGUAGGAGCAUGAUAUUUAGGAUUACUAGCCAAAGCUUCAACACUUUUGUUAUCAAAAUGUAGAAGAGGAAUCUGAUCAAAGGAUAUUUUAAGCUCUUGAAACAGAUAUGUAAUCCAGAGAACCUUUAAAGUAGCCAAAGCAAGAGCCAGAUACUCAGACUCAGAUGAUGAUUUGGACACAAUGGGUUGCUUCUUAGAGGACCAAGAGAUAAGAUUGGAACCCAAAAACACAUAGUAACCUCCAACAGAUCUGCGAUCAUCAGGAACUGAGCCCCAAUCAGCAUCAGAGUAGGCUAUUAAAGUUAAAGAGCCAUAGUUGAAAAAUUGAAGACCAUAAUCAGCUGUACUUUGAAGAUAUCUCAACACCCUUUUGUAGGCUUGCCAAUGAAGUAUGGUGGGAGCUGAUAAAAAAUGACUAAGCUUGUUAACUGUGAAAGCUAAGUCAGGUCUAGUUAAAAGAACAUAUUGAAGAGAGCCCACAAUGCUUCUGUAUAAAGAUGGAUUUUCAAAUGCAGCACCUUUAUCCUUGCGCAGUUUCUCAGAAGUACUCAUAGGUGUAAUACAACCUUUACUUUCUAGUAUAUUUUCCCUUUUAAAAAUAUCACCAAUAUAUUUAGUUUGAGAGAGAUGAAUACCUUGAACAGAUAGAGUAACUUCUAUACCAAGAAAAUAAUGAAAAUCCCCAGAUCCUUCAAGGCAAAACUGAAUGUAACUGCUGAAUAACAUUUCCAAUGAGCUUCGAAUUUAAGCCUGUGAUUAAAAUAUCAUCCACAUAAAUGAGAAUGAGCAGUAUAUCUUUCCCCGCAUGCUUAAUGAAUAGAGAAGUGUCAAAUUUUGAGGCUUGAAAACCCCAUUGAACCAGUGACUCCUUUAAUCUGUUAUACUAGGCUCUUGGAGCCUGUUUGAGACCAUAUAAUGCCUUGUUAAGCUUACAAACAUGAGAAAGAUAGAUGGGAUCGACAAACCCUUGUGGUUGAUGCAUGUACACGUCUUCAGCAAGUAUGCCAUUUAGAAAGGCAUUAUUCACAUCCAGCUGUUUAAUGGGCCAAUAAUGCAUGACUGCUAAGCUUAAAAUGAUCCUGACAGUACAAGGCUUGAUCACAGGGCUCAAAGUCUCAAAAAAAUCAACCUCAUAAGUUUGAUGAUAUCCCUUGGCAACCAACCGAGCUUUAUACCGAGAGAUACUUCCAUCAACAUUAUAUUUGACUCUGUAAACCCAUUUAUUUCCAACAAUUUUCCUAGCUGUUUCUGGAGGCACUAAUGACCAAGUUUGAUUUCUUUGGAGAGCUUCAAAUUCUUCUUUCAUAGCUGAGUGCCACCUAAGAUAUGCUAAGGCUGUUUUGACAUUGGAUAGUUCAAGGUAUUAAGAAACAACUAGAUAGUUUUUGGGUUUAUAGAUUCCAGUUUUAAUCUGAUAACCAUAAGAUGAGUAGAGAGUACUGGUUGAGGAGAAUUGGAAGGUCUUGAGGAUAGAUUUAGGGACUGUGAAUGAACAGAAUUUUGCAAGGAAUGAGACUCUGAUGCAGAAGACAAAGCAGGACUGGAAACUGCAGCUGAUGGCUCUUCAUUGCUACUGUUACUGAGGAUAGGUGUUUGAGGAAGAAAGAAAUGAACAGAAGAUGAAGUGGAGGUAACAGAAUGAGAGAAGAUGGUUGGCUUGUCUUUCAAAAAUAGUUCAGAAUAUGGAAAUUCCAGUUCAUUGAAGGUAACAUGCCUGGCAACAAAAACUUUACCAGUUCUAUCAAGACACUUGUAGCCCUUAUGAAUGUGACUGUAACCAAUGAAGACACAUUUUUUAUUGUGAAAAUCUAGCUUGUGAUGAUUAUAAGGUCUAAGAAGAGGAAAACAUGAAGAACCAAACACUUUAGGAAAUUUGUAAUCUGGAAGCUGAUUGUAUAGUUUCUGAAAAGGGGAGAAAUUGUUGAGAACAGGUGUUGGCAUUCUAUUAAUCAAAUAGGUGGCUGUAUGAAAAGCUUCUUACCAAAAAGAGAGAGGUAAGUGAGCUUGAGCUAAGAGUGUGAGUCCAGUUUCAACAAUAUGCCUAUACUUCAUUUUAACCACACCAUUUUGAUGAUGAGUAUGGGGCAACUGUAUCUAAAUUGAAUGCCUUCUUGUUGUAGAAAUGAUUUGAAAGCUAUAAACUCACCCCCUAUAUCAGUUUGUAGUGUUUGGAUGGAUAAAGAAAACUGUUUUUCUACAAGGGACUUGAAAUGUUUGAAGGUUUCAAAUGCCUCAGAUUUGAGUGUAAAUGGAAAUAUCCAACAAUAUCUUGUGAAACCAUCAACAAAGGAAAUAUAGUACUUGUAUCCAUCCAUGGACAACACAGAAGCUAGACCCCAUAAGUCAGCAUAUAAAAGUUGGAGAGGAGAUUUUGAUUUUAUAUCAGUGAUUGGGAAAUGGAAUUGAUGUAAUUUUCCAUAUUGACAAGCAUCACAAAAGUUAAGAGAUUGAGAAUGGAUUGAAUGCAUGGGAAGACUUUUCAUUAUUGUUUGCAAAACAUGUUUGGUUGGAUAACCAAACCUAUUGUACAACAACUACAUAGACUCACUACUUGAAGCUAAGAAACUGACAGAAUUCUCAUUAUUGGAAUUGACCAAAUUUAAACAGACAUUUGUUUGGUUAUUCAACUCUUUCAAAGAGUGUACAAUCUCUUUAUUCGAGAAAAUAGAUAACAGUGAACUAGGUUUUAAACCCAAGGCUUUAGAAUCAGGAAUAUGUGUAUCUUGAGAUAAUAGCUUAAAGAGACCAUCUUCAGUAAUCCCCUGUGCCAGCAAAGUUCCUUGCAUCUUAUCCUUAAUGAAACAAAGAUUAGAAACACAUUCAAUAGUUAUAUGAUUGUCAAAGAGAAGUUUAGACAAGCUAAUGAGAUUUUUGGUAAUUUUGGGAACACACAGAACAUUAGAAAGGUUUAACUGAUUGCCUAAGGAUGUAAAGAGACAUAUAUUGGCUAUGUAAGUGAUUCUAAGACCUUGUCCAUUACCAACUAACAGCAACUGAGAUCCAAAAUAAGGUUUACCUUUAGCUAAGUUCUCCACAUUGUUUGUAAAGUGAUGUGUUGCUCUACUAUCCAGAUACCAUCCUUGGUCAGCAACUCCUUCUGAUGUAGCCAUGAAAGCAACUCUGGAAGUUUGAUUCUGACUUGGAAAAUUUCCUUGCAUAGAAAAAUUUAGAACAAAGUUUCUAUUAAAUCUGUCUUUACAAUCAGCUGCAGUAUGAUUGUGGUUGAAGCAAAUCUGACAAACAAUACUUCCUCUGCCUCCUCCUUUUCCAGAUCCAUUAAAACCACUAGAAAAUCCACUAGAAAAUUUCCAGCAGCACCAGUAAAAUUACCUCUACCUUGAUUUCCAUUCCAGUUAUUCCAGUUAUUAUUUCAUUGUCCUCUGCCUGAAUUUUGUCCCCUUCCUAGAUUGAAACCUCCUAUGUUUGUAAAAUUUCCAUUCCAGUUAUUAAAUCUAGUUUUGUUUCCAGUGUUUCCAUUCCAGCCUCAUUGAUUGUUGUUAUUCCAGGCUCCUUGAUUAUUAAUUUUCUUUUGAUUGUUUCCAGCCUGAGCUAAGUUAGCAGCAUAGUUCUAUUUAACUUCCUUGAAGGCAUUAGAUUGAUUACUUUCUAAACGUGCCUCAUGUGUCAACAACGUUGAAUAAGCCUCAUUAAUACUCAUUUUUAGAACAUUUUCUUCAAUAUACACAACUACUAGAUAAUAAGGCUGACCUAGUCUAGAGAUGAGAUGAGUUAUAAAAUCUAAAGAACUAACAGGACUUCGAGCAAUAGCAAGCUCAUCAGUAACUGACUUCAACUUACUAAAAUAUUCUGUCAUAGUCAUAGAUCCUUUCUUCAGAUUAUUUAACAUCAUUUUUAGAUGAACUUUCUUAGCAGCAGUUUCAGAUCCAAAUUGUUGCUCUAAACUAGACCACAGUUCAUGAGAAGUUUUAGAGUUUACCACAAGACUAAGAAUUUCAACGCUGGUGGAGGAUAACAGUCAGCUCAAUAUCUUGCUUUCUCCACACAGCAAACUCAGGAUUCUCUUGUGAAGCAACAGUUGAACUUACAAAAGCAUUGAAGAUAGCAUCUGAAUUUCCUUGAGCUCUUGAGAGAAAUUGAUUUGGACAGAUUCUGGAUCCAUCAAGAAGACUUUCAAGUUCAUUUGCUUGAACUGAAGAUAGGAUUUGAGAUUUUCAAAUUAAGUAAUUUGAUCGAUCAAGUUUUAUUAGAGCUGUGAAGGUGAAGGUUGAUGCUGACGAUGAGAUGUUUGUGUUCAAGCUUGAUAACGCCAUAUGAUUAGACUGAAUCUUGGCCCUGAUACCACAUUGAACUUUAAUCAAGCUAUUUUUGUUUGUUUGGUUACAGAAAAAGUGAAGGAAAGUUUAAUGAGCAUUAAGAGAAAAAUAUGAGAAAAACAGAUCAAAUCUUAUUCAACAUAUUAUGAGUACAGAAAGUGAGCUUAUAUACUAAGAUCCAGAACCUUCUAUAUUUGCUCACACACGUGUAAAGAAUGAGCUAUGAUUAACUAACUUUCGCAGCUCUAUAACAAACUUACAAACUAACGAUAAUAGCCUUGCUCACUCAGCUACCACAUCAGUAGAAACGUUACAAGAAUAUUCUUCACAUUUAUAUCUCUAACACUGAGACAUGGGGAUGAGAAUAAAAUCAAGCAACUCGCACUUCGUCAGAAUAUUUUCAGUACCUCAACUCCCGGAGGAAACACAAUCCUGCAUAUGGUUGUCAGAUUCAGAAACCAACAAGUGAUACGGGAGAUUUUGAGGCAACAGAAUUUUAUUGGCUUGAGACUCCAUUACUCACUUCUCCGUCUGAAAAAACUUGAUGGAUGAGACUCCGCUGCAUAUUGCUGCCAGGAUUGGUGACCGCGCUAUCGUUAGUGAAAUCAUGAAAUAUGUGCCUGCAGUAAAUCAAGCGGGUUCGGCUUCAGUACUUGAAACCCUUUUUGGGAUGAGAGAUAUCGAAGGCAACACACCUCUGCAUAACGUUGUAACAAAAAAACACAAGCGUGUGAUUCGGAUUCUGGUUGAAAAGGAUAGUGCUCUAAGUAGCUAUAUUAAUAAAGCUUACCAGACCCCACUCUCAAUCGCCAUUGAUGUAAGGUUAAAUGAUAUUGCAUGUUUCAUCAUUGAUAAAAGUUCAGAGUCUCUUAACGCCACUAGAUUGCCGGAUGAACUGACACUUCUCCAUUUUUUUGUCAUGAGACAAAACUAUGGUGAGCCGACCGGUGAUUAAUUAAUUUUUCAUUUCUUUAAACAAAUGCCUUCAGUAUAUAUAGUUUGAGAUUUGUCUAAAAGCAUGCAAUUCCUGCAAUUUAUCGAUAUCAUGGUCAAGAUACUGGGAACAAACAAAGACCUUAUCAAUCGGUUAGACUGGCACCAGAGGAAUCCUCUUCAUUAUGCAGCUGCCUCAGGUAAUGUUCAAAUGGUACAACGCUUGUUAGAAGCAAGCAAACAACUUGCAUAUAAACGAGACUGCAAUGGUGCGACGCCUCUUCACUUGGCCGCAGAGAAUGGCGAACUGAAGGUCUUGAAACUGCUUAUCAACAAAUACCCAGAUGCUAUUGAGAUCCGCGACAACAGUGAUCGCAGCAUCCUCCAUGUUGCUGCUAAACAUGGAAAUUGGAAUAUCGUGUCAUUUAUUCUCAAGUCCCCUGAAAUGGAAAAUUUGAUUAACUUAAUAGAUAGAAAUGGAAAUACGUCGUUGCAUCUGGCUGCAAUGGGUUUGCAUAGUGAUGUGGUUUUCACUCUCUCCAGACAUAAGAGUGUGAACAUCAGGGCAAAAAACCGCAGCGCCAGAAACAAUACUACUCUAGAAAUUGAUGAGAUGACUAGAGCUGAUGUAACGGAGGUCCAAAAGGUACAUUCACUUUCUUUUGUACUCUUGCUGAGGCUAACAUGUACAAAUCGAGAAGCUUGCAUAAUUUCUUGAAGAAUCCUUGAUAAAACAUUUAUUUUAAAAUUGAAUUAUUUACCAACCAAACAAAAACAUGGACAAUUAAUUAAUUAUUUAAUUAGAAUUCCAUAUUUGUGUUCAGCCGAGGACAAAGCCUAAAAGACAUAAGAGUUAGUACAACUAUUUAGUGAUUUAUAUCAAGCAUUUUGAUGUGUUCUUGAUUAUCCAUCCUACUCGGGGAUCCUUCCUUUUAGCCUAACCGACUAUUCUUCUUUGGGCAAGUUUGGGCAUUUUUAUUUUGGUUUUAUAAGUGUUAGAGUGCAAUUUAUACACUAGUUUUGCAUUGUUUACUUCCUUUAAUAUCUAUGUUUUACACUUAAUAAUAGUGAUUUACUUGUGUUUUAUUUCUGUAGGUGCAAUUCUAUUGAUUGGUGCUAAAAUUGAGCUACAAGAUGAUUUUUUAGGAUGAUUAUUUUCUUGGAGAAAUUAUGAGCUUCAGAAAAACUUUGUUGAUAAGGCGUGGGCAUGUGCUGUCAACUAAGGACCUGCAAUUUUUAUUUUAACGUGUUUUGUCUUUUUGGUUAUUUUUAUAAUUUUGAAUUUAAUAUUUAGAUAAUAUUUUAGAUAUUAGUAUUUUAUUUUAAAAAGAACUCUAGAGGAGAAGAGGGAGAGAAUUGGAGGAUGGGAAUCUAUUGUCAAAAAAGAUGAAAAAAAUUGUAGAUCUAAAUUUUUCUCUUCUUUCUAUGAAGAACUAAACCUAUUAUUCUAGUUGAAGGUUAUUGAAGAUUUGAAUUUUCAUUACUGUGAGAUCUUUCUUAUGCUUUAAUUGUUUUAUUGCUUUUUGGGUAUUUGUUUAUUCUUUGAAUUAUUGCCAUGAUUAUGUUUGUUAAUUAGAUAAUUGGUCACUAUUUAAUUAUCAACUUAAUAAUCUAUUGUCAAUUAAAAGAUUCAUCGUAUGAAGAUUUUAAUGUUUGUGACAAAUAACAUACCAGUGUAUUGUGUUAUGAGAAUAAACAAUUUAAUUUAAAUGAACCAUCGUAUGCAUUUGUUGAUUAGGAUUUAGGUCUCUCUGAUUUUUCGGACUGUCAAUUGAUUAAAUUCUAUGAUCGUAUCUAGGGUUGUCUAUUGAUUAGGGAAAUAACCAAUGGUCGUACCUUGGUUAUCGAAUAACUAAGGAGUGAUUGGCUAUUAGAGGGUCUCAGUAGCUAUAACCGAUCUAUUAAUAAGUAGUAAUGAUUUAUAUUUGAAUAAAUGAUCAGUAGUCGAAUCAAGUUGAGUUAAUUCCUUCAACCAGAGCUUUCCCCAAUUUGAAUUACAAUUUUAAUUUGCAUUCUUGUUAUUUUAAUUUGAUUUUUAUUAUUGUCAACAAUCCCCCCAUUUUGCAUUUUACAUUUUAAAAAGAUUAAAAUAAUUACUGAUCUCUGUGGAUAUGACCCUGCUCAAUCACUAUACACAAUUUAUUUAGAGUAGGUAUUUAUUUUUGUUGGCUUCGACAACCAUCAAGAAGAUAUAUCGUAAUUUCUCUAAAUCUUCAAUUGUGGGGUCACUUGGUGUUCCUUCAAAACAACUACAUAUACAUUUACGUGCUCUGCUCUACUCAGCACUUGACUUUAAAAGCGCUGAAGACGGCCUACGCAAAACGAGCUUUAUCUGCAGAAGAACUCCAACAGAAAAGGCAGGUUUCUAAAGAAGAAGGUGAAAAAGGCAAAGAAAUGGCUCAAACACUCUUGGUGAUGGCAACACUGAUAGCCACAUUCCUAUUCACAGCAGCUUUCACAAUUCCAGGGGGUUUCAAAAGUGAUGGUCUCGACGAGGGCACGACAACUCUGCUUCAUAGAGCAAGUUUCCAGGCACAUUUGUGAUCACGGAUACCAUAGCCAUGACUUCAACCAUGGCUGCAGCCGCCAUUGUAUUUUGGUCGUUUUGGAGAAGCAAAACUGAAUCACUUCUGGACACACUUCCUUUGGCCAUUGGCUUCACUUGGAUUGCACUCAUAUCAAUGACACUAGUAUUUAUGACGGGUUUGUAUGCCGUGUUGUCUAAUGGUUUAACUAUCACCAUUGUGGUUUGUGCGAUUAGUAGCCUAUUGCCCUUUAUUUUUUAUGUUUUUGCUCCUUUCUUUAUGAUUGUCUUUGAUCAAACUGAAGACAAUCCAUUUGCGCUCGUUGUACGCUUCAUAAGAGAUGCUUUGUAAAAGUGUGCGUGUUACAAUAGUGUGUAAACUUGAUGCUCAUUAUUAUCAUGUUAAUCCUGAUAAACUCAUCUACUUCCAUCACUUGUCCACUUUUAGAGAAAGUAAAAUGAGUGUUUGGCAAGUAAGAAAGUUAUAGAAACUAAAGGAAAGUUUGAAGAGAAGUUCUGGAAACAAUGCUCAAGUCUGUUAUAGAUCAAAAACUAAUGAGAAUGAUUACAACCUAGCUUACAUAGUAACUCUGAUAAAUCUAACAAAUUGAUCAUAGAAAGUACUAGACUAUUCUAUACAGUAUAAGCAGGUACAUAGUUUGUCACAAUUGCAGCUGACAUGUAUAACAAAUUUUGAUAUGUCAGCAACUAAGAUUUAUUCAGCCAUUUGAUUACUCAGUGAGCUUAUGGUGCUCUGCUGUCUCUGUUUCAUGCAUGCUAACACCCCCCCUCAAGUUGCACUAUCCAGGACGAAUGUUCAACUUGGUUAUGAGAUCAUGAAAUUGUCCAUAAGUCGAAGCUUUAGUAAGUAUGAAACAACUUCUUCUUCAACUCUUGAAGUCUCCUUUAAAGUUGAGCUCUUCUCUGAUAUAGAACUAACUAGUACAUAUAGUGUUGCAUCAAACUCCACAUGCUACAAUAUCUCAUUGAUCUUGUUCUUCACCUGUUGAGAACUUGAAGCUGUAUAGAAGCUUCAUCAAAAACAACAUCUCUACCUAAAAGAUCUAAUCUAGCUAAAAGAAUUUCACCUUAUGAUCAUUUAUUUCCCUCGGCUACAGGCACACAAAUUUCUCCAAGGAGGUCCCUGCAAAUGUCCCGCCAUAAGGAUGAUUGUGCUCUGAAGCGCUUGUCUGCAUCGCCAGAACCCCAUUAUUCACUAAAAAAGUAUGGGAGAAGCAACAGACCAAUGCCAAGGUCACCUAUCCGGCGAAGUGAUCCCACUUCUAAGUAUAGGAGAGAUUAUCAUGACAUAUCUCAUUCAAAAUCCCCAUAUACAAGAGAUCGUUACAGAUAACCAAGUUAUUAUAUAUUCUUUGUUAUGUAACUGGGAGGUGUACUGGGAUCUCUCACGUAUCUGAGUAUCUGUGGAAAUUCUUAUUGUCUUUUCCUACCCCUCUUAUCCUCUUCUACCCAUCUUUUAUAUGUGCGCGAGGGUGUUAUGAUGGAAAUUCUUUCUAAAUAAAGUCAAUAGGCCUUAUUUUUUUCGAAUUAUGGAGAGGAAUAAAGAGGUGUUAGAUCACGUCACUGGUCGGAAAGAAAUCACGAGCGGAAAUCUUUCUCAAGUCAUAAUAUAUAUGCCUUUUACGAAUUGUUCAAAGAACUUGUUUUUAAUCUUUAUGAAGAAGAGAAUAAGAUAAAUCUUCUCUGUAUUUUGUUCACCUACACACACACAUUGCUUUUUCAAAUAAAUGAAAAAACUCAUAUGUUCACAACAACGAUUUUGGUGGCAUAUAUAAGUAGCAAUUGGGAAGUUGAACACAAAUCAACUUAUGAUGAGAUUCAGUUAGGAGUACAGAACUCGUAACUAAAGCAUAAUUUGACAAAGUGUAGUUGAGUCUCACCUUUUUCGACUCAGUGCACUCACGAGCAAAGUGACCCAGCUUGCUACAGUUGUAGCAUUUCACCUAGGAUUUGUCCCUUUUCUUGCCAGCACGCUUACCCCUUGGGCGUUUUUUAGCAUUUGGCUUCUUCGGAUCAGGAUCAUAUCCCUUACCCUUUUAGUUAUAUUUAUGGCCUCUCUUGCUCUUGAAGCCCGAAGGUUUGUGUGAACUUGACUUGGCCAUAAAAACACUAUCAGAAAGCUUAACUGCCUUAAGGCAAAUAGUAUUAUUUAUUGCAUUGAUUGUGCUUAGACAUAAUUAACCUCGAACAAAGCCUAUAGAAUCCCCAACCUAUGACUUUGAUACCAUAAUUGUAACACCUCAAAUCUAACACGUGCAAAGCAUGUGAUAAAGGAGGUUAAUCGCAAAUCAAAAUCCUUGCGCAAAAAUCUCAAACUAAAAUAAUUGAAAUUUUAUUCAAACAAAUCCAUGAAUCCAUAUAUUUAAUACUAAAUAUUUUCUAUCGAAGACAUAAAUAUGAUAAAAGUCUCAAAACUCCCCUAAUACAGGUUUAUAAAAUAAACAAAUGUAAAGGAAACAUAAGUUUAUCAUUCUCUUAUUCAACUAGUAAAAUGUAAAUGAAUCUUUAGCUCCAAAGAUAAGCACACCCCUUAACAAAAUACCUAAUCUUCAAAAAAUAAUUAUGAGGGUGAACCAUCAACUUAGUAAGUAAAACUAUUCCUAACACACUAGGCUUAUUGGGUGCCAAAAAUAUUGCAAGCUUUUUUUUUUUGUCAAAACGUAGAUUAUAAAUCAUAAAUUUCAUAAAACGACAUAUUACAACAAGAUGACAUAAAUUAAUAGUAAUUCACUAUAUCAAAUGCAUACGUUAUCCCCUACUACUUGGGCAGAUUUCGACUUAUUAGUCAUUGUAAUAUCUAUAAUUAGGUAUUGACUAAGUUGUUGGUCUUGCGACUAUCCACUCUUCUUCCUCGUAUUUUAUCUCCAUCCAAAAAUGGGUUUGUUUUGGGUCGGGUGUUACAUGAUAAUGUAUUGUUAGUCCAAGAGCUCGUUUAUGUGGUUCUUAAACUGGAUAUGGCAAAGGCUUAUGAUAUAAUGUCCUAGUCCUUUAUUCUUCAGAUGCUUCAGUGCUUCAAGUUUUCUGAUCAUUAGAUAUCCUUGAUCAAAUGGGUGAUUCAUAAGCAAUGGCUUUCAAUGCUGAUUAAUAGAGCCAAUCAUGGUUUCUUUUAGUCACAAAGUGGUCUUCGAUAAGGUGAUCCUCUGUCGCCUUACCUUUUUAUCAUUGUCGCUGAAUUUUUGUCUCGAGGCUUGGAAAAAUUGUAUUCUUAGUAUCCUUCACUAAGAUACAUUACGACCGUUCCUAUGUGUGUUCCCUAUUUGAGCUUCGCUGAUGAUAUUAUUCUCUUUGUGAAUGGGUGCCAAUCUAUGAUUUUUUACAUCAUUAUAAGAUUAUUUCUGGCCAACUGAUCAAUUAGUCGAAAAAUAAUUUUUAUGUCAGGGGAUAUGCUUCGGUCUCACGUAAGGUUAUAGUUUAAUCUAUUACUAUUUCCAGCCACAGUAAUUUCCUUUUACUUAUCUGGGUUGUCAAGUGUAUGUGGGAGGUGUGCGGAUUCAACACUUUGAUGAUAUGAUUCGUAAGAUCAGGGGAAAGAUUUUUGGGUGGGCCAAUCAGUUGCUCUCUUUUAAAGGUAAGUUAGUGCCCAUUCGGCAUGUGCUUUUAUCUAUGUUGCUUCAUUUUCUUCAUGUCCUUCGGUGCCAACUACGGUCAUUCAUAUCCUUGAGCAUUAUUCACUAGAUUCUUAUAGUGUGAUAUGGAUUCUCGGUGGCGCAUUCAUUAGUAUAGAUGGCAAUCUGCCUGUUUUCCAAUAGCGAAGGGUGGUCUUGGAGUUCCUUACUUUCUGAUUUGGUGAUGCUUCCGAGGUGAAGCUAUGGUGGCGGUUUUAGGACUAACACUCGCUUUGGGCUUCUUUCAUGAAAUAUAAGUAUUUUAGAGCUGAGCAUCCAAGUAUGGUUCAAUUUUGCUAUCCUAUGUCUCCUCUGUGGAGAAGAUUAUGCUCUAUUCGUUGUACUAUUGAGCUUUAUAUUCAUUGGCUAGUUAUAUUCUAUUGUUAUCAGACAUUUUUUCGAGAAGCUACAUCUGCUAAGACUAUUAGACACUUAUUUUUUGAUUACUUGAUGGUUCAAUAGAUUUCGCGGCGGUUUUACAUGAUGAAUGGUAAGAUGUAUCUCUCUUUUUUGUCUCCCCAUGCUUUGCUUAUUCACCAGCGGCAGUACUCUCAUAUAUGAUUCUAUUGCCUUUAAUGUGGACAUUGUUAUUUUGAGAGUGCUCCUGGAUCUUAGACUAGUCAGUGAUGCUUUUGGUUUCAAGCCAUCUUAACUGAGGGGUAUUUUGGAUACGCAGAUUGGGGAGGGAUUGCAAAUUAUCAUACCUCCUCGUAGACUGCCUCGAUUGGUUUCUUAGAUGAAACUGUCGCCGAGGGUGGUGAAGUUGAGUGUGGAUGGUUGUUCUAGGGGAAACCCAAGUAUGGCUGCUACUAGUGGUGUUUUGUGAGAUUAUCAAGUCAUGGUGUUAGCUAUUUUUGGUUCCUUUUUUAGGCACCGUCUGUUCUUUUUACUGAGUUGAUGGCUUUGUUAGAUGGUUUAGAUCUUGCUGCUCAACUUGGUUUUUCUGAUUUUAAGGUGGAAUCUGAUUUAGCCACUAUGGUUUCUUAGGCUAUUUCAAGUGGAUUCGUGCGGUGGGAUUUUGCUUAACUCCUUGGCCGUGUUCAGGCAUUGGCUUUUAGCCCAUCUAUUGUUAUUAGACAUGUUUUUCGAGAAGCUAUAUCUGCUACUGAUAUUGACUUUAUGGCUAACUAGGCUUAUAUUCUUUAGACUUGUCAGUGAUUUUUCAAUCCUGGAGACUUCCAACUGGUUUAUUGAGCAUUCUUCAUUUGGAUACUCUCGAGAUUUUACAUAUUCGACAUUAAUUACCUUGGCUUGGACUGGUUAGAUAUUGAUCACUAAAUCAUUUGCUUCUCUUGGGAUGUUUUGAUUUAUGUCCCCCAUUUUUAUAUUUAUUUAUUUACAAGUAGUGUCCGGCCUAACCCCCCACCAUCUUGAUGGAUUUUCAUUAAAAAAAUAAAAAUCAUAGAAGUAAAUAGUAUAACAUAUAUGCAAAAUCAAGAGGUUAGCUCAUGUCACAUAAUGUGACCUAUACUCUCGAUGACCGGGCCAAAAGCAUAAUCAGAAUUAGAAUAUUAUAUGCACACUCAAAACAAAAACCUAAUACUGGUCCAGAAUAUCUAUAUAUCCAAAGGCACCAAUGAUUGCACAUGGUGGGGCCAUCCAAAAAAAAAAAAGCCCCAUGGUGGCAUCUCGAACAAUGAUACAAUCUGGGAGUCUCGGAUUUGAUCAUUGUCCUACACACACACACACACACACACACACACACACACACACACACACGAUCAAAAUUAGAAUCAGAAUAAUUAUGGACAAUGAGCCAAAAUAUUCCAAUUAGCUUUUUCAUAUGUAAUGACUUAUACAUGGCAUUUUACAUCGUGCGUGGCACUUCGUGACGCUCUAAAUCUGGAGAGAUAGCCUUAAUAUAGUCUCAAGAGAUGGCCCCCUGUACAUUCAUAAAUAAUUUAAAUCGUACAUGGGACAAAACAUUAGUAUCAAAUUCAUAAAUGUCCAUAACAAUAAUUUAGGCUUGCAAAAUAUUUUACAGACAAAAUCAUUAAAGGUAAUCAUGUAACAAAAUAAAUUACGUAUUUAAAAGUAUUCAUAAUAUUUUGUUAAAAAAUUAAAAAUUCCUAAUAUUUUUCAGAUUUGAAAACAUAUACAUAAACUAAUUUUGUUAUGAAAAUCAAUUAAUUUUUUAAGUAGGAUAAAAACACUUAUAAUAAUAUCAAAAUAAUUAUAUAUAUCCAAUACAUUAGGAAUAAAGUUACUUAUCUUAAUAAAAAUAAUGAUAUAAAAACAUGUAUAAGCCUCUAACAGCCUCUAACACCUCCAACACCUUAAACGAGUACAAGAUAUAACUAUUAACAAUUUAUUCUAGGAACCUGCUUUUCUAAUUCAUACUUGUAUAAAUCCGAUUCCAAGAAUUUUUAACUCUUAAUCUAGAAAUUAGAAUGAUAUAAUAUUUUACAGAACUGUUCUUGACAUCUAUGAGCAUAUCUCAUAAAUGUUUCAAGAGAAUCCGACACCAAAAACAUUUUCAAUACUAUUUGUUUCUUGAUAAAUUCAAAACUGUCUCACAAUGUCUUAAUUGAAUAGUGUGGAUUUUAAGAUUUUUAUAAACUUAUACGUUAAUUAUAAAUUUAUGAAAUUAAAAUUGGAAAUACUAUACACAUAUAUUAACCUCUGUCUAAAAUUUCAAAUUUUUUCAAGUUCAUUUGGCACUACAAAUAAUUUUGUGAAUCUAGUCAUUUUGCUGGAAUCGCAGUUUUCCAGUGCAAUAGUGUCAGCUUCGAAAAUCUAUAUAAAAUUGAAAACAAAAUCAAAUCUCAUGGAACAAAAUUUAUGCAAUAAACCCUAAGUAUCUAGUUUUAAGAAAGAUAAGGUUCUUCUUAAAAUUCAUUCAUAAAAUAUAUGCUUUAUUUUGGGAUAUUCACGCGCUUUCCAGAAUUGUUCACUGUGUUUAUUGAAUAAGACCAAUAUGACUCAACAACACAUUAACGCACUAAAACAUAAAUUAAACACCUCUAAACCAUGCAUAAUGUAUGUAACAACCUAAAAUCAUGCCAACAAAACCCUAAAUAGAAUACAAUGAUAGGGAAAGCAAGUAGAGAUAGAGAGAGUAAAACUUACCAACUAUUAAGACUCUCUCUCCUAAGCAAAAGUUUGAAUCGUAAGGUAUGAGUAAAUGAGUAAUGACCAGAAAAGAGCAUAAAAGAAAACGCUGUGAAUUUAGGGUUACGGGAGAGGAAAAAGUAUAAAUUUAUAGGGAAUCUUAAGAAACCCUAUUAAAUUUGGAAAGAGUAAACCUUUUCUAAAAUUACCACAUGGAUAAUCCUUAUUAAUAAGGCAAUAAUGCAAUUUAUAAAUUUUAAUAAAACAAAUUUUCCAUAAUUUUAGAAUCAUGGAAAUUUGGCGUUACAUUUUCAUAUUUUGGAGCUCACCAUACUAUAGAAUUUGGUAUUUUUAAUACAUCACUUGUGGUUAUUAAAUAUUAGCUGUUGAAAAUUCCCAUAAUUAGUCUUCUUAUUUCAGAUGAAAGCAAUAUGGUAUGGACUGAGCUAUUUCUUUGUUGUCUGUUUAACUGUAACUCAAGCUGAAAAUUGUUUCUUCAUGUUGAAGUUUUAUCAUAAAUCAGCAAGUGCAAAGCCGCAUAAAGUUAUUACAUGACUGCAUUAUAUAGUUCCCUUAUACUUGAGCAUUACAACUAUCGAUUCUCAUUUUUCUAAUGCCUUUCUUAUUGCUAACACCAUAUCAUAUUAGCAUCUAGACUAUUUCCUGUUUCAUUAAUCGGUGAUUGAAGUCCUAUAUUUCUUUCUUUGUUUAAUAUCAGGGGAUUCUCGUGGAUUUGGAUUUCUAUCCUUGAACAGGGAUGAAGAUGCAGACGCAGCAAUCAGAACCCUAGAUGAAACUGAAUGGAAUGGUCGUAUUAUCCAUGUUGAAAAGUCAAAAUCUACUUGUUGAAGCCCCGGUUAUAAUAUUUUCACUUUGUAUCUAACUUGUUUUUUGGACAUUGGCAAAUAUUGCCUUGAAAAAUUACCCAUGAAAACAUAAGGGUAAAAUUGGAAUGAAACCUCACAUAAUUUAUUUUUAUUAAUAAAUCGUAAGAUAGACAAUCAUUAUUCAUACUUCAACUGAAUCCUUACAUAAAACAUUUGAAAUAAAGUCUCAAAAGAAAAGUCCCCAAUCCAAAAUAAAAUGUCUAACCAAAUUUAAUCUUUAAAGCAACUCCAAAGAUCCACUAAGAAAAACUAAAUAAUGAAUUAUGAAUGAUGAUGACUACGAGGCAUGAGCUACCAAAUGUUUAUGUUUUAAUGUUUUAAUGUUUUUAUGAAUGUUUUAAUGUUUUUAAUGCUUUUACAUGAAUCCACCCCUUAUGCUAAAUGAAGAUGUUGUUAUAAAAUGUUUAAAGGUAUAUGACAAAGGUUUUCAAAUAUUGUGUAUGGAUUUGCUUACCGAGUUGAUGGCUCACCCCUCAUCUCCAAUAUUUUGCAAAUUGAUUAAAGAUGUGCUAACCCGGGGAUCAUUUGGGAACAUACAAUAGUGACUAUAACAAUUAGGCAUGUAAUUAAACUAGCCUAAUUAUUUAAUUCCAAAUCUACUCCACUAAAAGAUUGGAAUUGACCUCCAUAAUUGUAUGCUCGAAUAAUAAUUUGUCCCAAGCCACAUUGAUUUCUUUACUGCACAAUCCUUUGUAUCACAUCAUUAAUUAAAUCGAUAUCUCAACUGUUCAAUCAAUUUAAUUACAUUUUGUUUCUUGAUACUUAUUGGUUUUCUCUAAUGUCAUUUUUAACAUACUAAAUAUGUUGACACACUCUGGCCAGAGAAUUCUAUGAUCAAGUGCCGAAAACUCAUCAAGAGAUGUGUUGUACAAAUUCUAUAUUGUUAAUCCAUAACUCCAAUACUCAUAAUUGCUCCCACCAAGAUACCGGGUAAUCUUGACCACAAGUAUGUGUCGUGCCCAUUGGUAACUCAAAUGAAAUAACAAUUACAAUUAUGAAAUAAUAAUUAACUCAAGAUUAAGAUUACAGUAAAAUCAAUGCCUAUGAGAUUUAAUAAGUCUGACGGUUAUUACAAAGUUAAUUAAAUCUCAUAUGUGAUCCUAUUCAAUGUAGUCGUACUACAUCAAUAAAUUCAUACAUGAUUAAGACAAAUCAUUCAAUGAAUUUAUUACAGUCUAUACCUAAAUAAAGUGCCAAACUUUAUUUAUCAACUGCGAACUAAAUUUAUUUAAUCAUAAGAUAACUUGUAUUUAUGUCUUCUGUGAAUUCACAUGGUGAUCACAUAAAUACAUAUAAUAUGAUUAAAUGGACUAUAAUAAAAAUAUUAAUGCAAUUAAAAUAUUUGAAUAAAAUACAUCAUUUAUUUUAUUAAUCAGAAAAAUUAUUUAUUACAAUUAAAUAAACACAUAUACUUUUAAAUAGUAUAUUUUCCCAACAGUAUCUUCAUCUGAAUUACACAUCCUGCAUUUUCUGUUUUGUUAUUUGUGCUUUUUCACUAUGCAUCUCAUCCUAUAAUAAAAUACCAAGGUCUCGUUUCCAUGAACAUCAUAAAUAGUUCAGCAGUCUAUUGAUUUCUAGGUGAUGAAAAGAAAUGGGUAGUGUUUUAACCAAAAUUUGACACUCAAAACCAUCAUCGAAACCAAGAGCCUGUAGCGCGUGAAGCUCAAUUGUUAAGCCCAAAACCACUAUCUAAGACUUCAGAUGCAAUUCUUGGUAAAGCUUAUGAUGAUCAUGUUAGGUUAUUCUACAAUCUUGGUAAAAAGUUAGGUAGGGGUCAAUUUGGUGUUACUUAUUUAUGUACGGAGAAUUCGACCGGCAGGCAAUUUGCUUGCAAGUCAGUUGCUAAGCGGAAACUGUGACUAAGAAUGAUAAGGAUGAUAUCAAAAGAGAGAUUCAUAUAAUGCAACAUUUGAGCGUGGGCAGCCUAGCAUUGGUGACCUAUUUGAUCGGAUUAUAGCCAAGGGGCACUAUAGUGAGAGAGCUGCGGCAUUGGUAUUUACGGAUAUUAUGAAUAACGUGAACGUCUGCCGACCUAAGGGUGUCAUGCACAUGGAUCUCAAACCUGAGAAUUUCUUGUUCACUAGCAAGGAUGAGAAUGCUUGCUUGAAGGUCAUUGAUUUUGGGUUGGCGUCAUUCUUUGAAGAGGGUAAAUUUUCUUGUACUUCACUAUGCAAUUAAUCAUUUCCCUUGAUAAUUUAAAUGUACCAAAGAAACAGUUUCAAAAUCUACGUGUAUAGCAAUCCAGAGCAAAAACGUCAGCGUAUGGAGCGUGAGGAAGCUCGCGACCUCUAUAAGUGAAACGACGCUUAGACUUGCGUUUUACUGAUAACGGUAUUAACGAAGUUGCUCGUGCCAAGCCACGUGCUCGCUUGAAGCUCGUCUGGCCUGAACACGCGGGAAGCAGCUGUGCAUUCUGGGUUCAAAGUUUGUUAUUCAUCUGUAAUAUAAAGCUGGUUCGCCAGCUCAUUUCACGCGAGAUUCGAGAGUAUUCUAGAGAGUUUUCCAGUAGAGAGAAAGUUGAUUCUUGUGAUCUUUAAACUCAUCUCUGAAUGCUUAUAAUUUUUCUUCAUGAAUCAAUCAAAACAAGCUCUGAUGUUUUCACUCGUUGGUGUAGGUCUUGAAAAAGACUGAACCACGUUAUCUCUUGCUUUCUCUGUGUUUUUGUUUCUGAUUCAUCUUUAUCUUUCGUCUUGAUUCUAUUUCUUGAGUGUUUAAGUCUGGUUAAUUGAAGGUUGAGUUGAUUCAGAUUUGAUUCUCUGCCUGUGCAACUUGUGUUGAUCUUAUUCAAGAUCUUGGGAAGAGUCUUUGGUUUGAUAAGAUUAUUAGACCAACCAAAGCUCUACACUACGUUUAGACGGCUAAGGGUGGCCCUUGAUCAUGAAUAUCAAUUUUUGAUCUUUUUAUAAAAUUUUAAAUUGUUCUAAUCUUAAUUGUAUAGAAAGUUUGUAUUUCAUGUUCGUGCAUAAACAUGGAUUGUUUAUGUUUGUGGUAUGUUUGGCAGCAUUUUGUGGCUUGUUUAGAAAAAGGCAUGUGUAAUUUAGGCAUUGACAUUCUUAAUCUGAUUAUGUCUUGGUAAAAUUUCCAGGAAAGGUAUAGAUGAAUAGACUUGGGAGUGCAGGAUUUAUAUUGUAUGUUUUACAAUCUGGUGUACCUCCAUUUUGGGCAGGUAAAAAUAUGCAUUUUGCAGUCUGCACACUAUAUGAUCUCUUUUCCCCUGUAUAUGCUUAUUUCUUUUGACUUAAAAGUAUUGGAAAUUUAAUAUAAUCACUCACUUUUGAUGAAGUAUCCUUGCAGAAACUGAGAAGGGAAUUUAUGAUGCUAUUUGGCAAGGAAAACUUGACUUUAAAAUUAAUCCUUGGCCAACUUUUUCAAGUGGUGCCAAGUAGUUGGUUCACAAGAUGCUGACAAGGAAACGAAAAAAAAAAAAUGGAUUACUGUUGCUCAAGUUCUAGGUUGAAAGCACUAGAUCCUGAAGUUAUCAGUAUUUCUUACCUAUGAUGUUUUGAUGUAUGUAUAUGUAUGUAGUCCAUUUAAUAGUACCAGUAGUAUAGAACAUUGAAAACUGUAUGAAUGAUGUAUAUGCAGAGCACCCUUGGCUUAAAGAAAGUGGAGAAGCAUCAGACAAGCCAAUCGACGGUGCUGUCAUUUUCAGGGUAAAGCAAUUUCGAGCAAUGAACAAACUAAAAAAACUAGCACUAAAGGUAAGUCUAAAGUUCAGGAUUCUUCUACAAUGCGCUUAUUUUCAUCUGCUAAUACGAGGUGUGACAAAUAAGUGAGAUGAUAAAAGAACAGAUCUUGACCACACCUUAAGUAAUAAUUGAUAUAGACAUGUCACGUUAUUCGUUAACAUGACUGUUAAGAUAUUUGAAUUGGUUAAUUACAGUUAGCUUAGCUUUCUGUUUAGUUAGUUAAGUGAAAUUGUUAGUAGUGCUGAUCGUUGCUGAUCGUUAGCUUUAAACAAACACAUUGCUCAUGUGCAGAGUGUAGAAGAUUCUAUAUAGACUCAUGUAUAAAUACUUGUAAUCCUGCUCAUUUGAGCUUAAGAUUAAUACAAUGUUUUCACUCUGUUUUCUCUCUCAUUUUCUCUGCAACCAAACAACUCUUUUAUCUUUACAUGGUAUCAGAGCCAAAUCUGUAAGCUGAAAAAUGGCCUUAGCUCAUUCUAAUCAAAACGCAGUAACCUCCAUUUCUUCAUUUACGUUCACAUCACCAAUUAAACUCGAUCGAUCGAAUUAUACAAUCUGGAAGUCUCAGAUCCUUUCUUCAGUUCGUUCUAAUGGACUUGAAGAUCUUCUUGAUGGUUCAAAGUGCUAUCCAUAUCAAUUUCUUCCUCAAGAUUCUGAAGACUCAACUGAAACUCAGAUUAAUCCAGCCUUCACCGCUUGGAAGAGGAAGGAUCAAAUGCUGCUGAGCUGGUUGAUGUCAUCUAUUAAUCUCGAGAUUCUCAGCCUUGUGGUAAAUUCUGAAACCUCUCUUGAUCUGUGGAUAAGUCUUGAGCAGCAGUUUGAAUCUGAAACAUUUGCUAAAAAGGUUCACCUAAAGAUAAUGCUUAACAAUCUGAAAAAAGGAUCAAUGUCUAUGACUGAUUUCUUUGGGAAACUAAAAUCGAUAACUGAUGAAUUAGCCAUUGCUAGAAAUCCUAUCAGCUCUUUAGAUUUCAUUACUCACCUGAUCUCUAGAUUAUGUCAACCCUACUACCCUGUAGUUGUAUACAGUGAAGCAAACCUUACUAAAAUGUCCAUCAAUGAAGCAUAUUCCAUGCUUUUCACACAUGAAGCUAGGCUGGAAGCACAUCAGUCAAGUGCUAACAAGGAGGCUAAAUUGAACUAUGCUGCUAACAUUGCUCAAACUGGAUCUAAUAAUAAAUCUGGUAAUCAAUUCAAUAAUAAUUGGAACAAAAAUGCUGGGAACAAUAAUGGAGGCAGAGGUGGCUAUGGUAGAGGUUAUACACAAGGUCAAUUGAGAGGUAAUUGGAAUAAUAAUUGGAGUGGUAAUGGUAUGCAAACUGGAAAUUAUCCAGGAAGAGGAUCAUUUCAAACUAGAAACUAUCAAGGAAGAGGUUAUGCUAGAAAUGGAGGUUAUGUUGGUGGCAAUGGCAAUGGUAACUUUGCCAGGAGUGGUGGAGGUUUUAAUAUUGGCAAGAAUUUCCUUGAUCCAAAUAUUGCCACUGUCACUUGUCAAAUCUGUUUUAAACCAAGGCAUACUGCAGCUGAGUGCAGAAACAGGUUUAAUCGAGAUUUUGCUCCCUUUUAUCCAACUUUUGGCUACAAUCCAGCUCAGUCUCAAGUACCAAGAGCAGCUUUUCUUACAACUUCUGAAGGAGAAAUGGCAGAUCAAGGCUGGUAUAUUGACAGUGGGGCAACCCACCAUCUCACCAACAAUUUGCAAAAUCUGAAUCUUGGAAAAGAGUAUUCAGGUAAUCAGUUACUGCAUGUUGGUAAUGGUCAAGGAUUAUACAUCUCACAUAUUGGAUAUACCUGUUUAUCUACAUCAUGUGGCUCAUCUUUACAUUUGCAUGAUAUCUUAUAUGUUCCUCAGCUCACCAAAAAUCUAAUUAGCAUUUCCAAAUUACUUGAGAAUACCAAUUUAAUCAUUGAAUUUGUUGCAAAUAUGUGUUUUAUUAAGGACAAGAAGAGGGAAGUGCAUCUGGCUCAAGGGAUUGCUAGAGGAAGGUUGUAUCAACUGCUAUCAAAAAAUGACUUUGUCUCAAACUCUUGUAAUCUUACCUAUGGUCCUAGUUCUAUGCUUUCUAUUUUCAAUAACUCAACUUGUAAUCAUUCUGAUUCAACUGAGAAUAAAGCUUGUAUUCCUCAGUGUCAUACAAACACUGUCAAGUCAAUAAUGUCAGCAAACUUGUUUCAUCAACGUUUUGGUCAUCCUAGCAAGCAUGUAUUAAAAUGUAUUUUGUCUUCCCUGUCACUUAACUGCAAUGUUACUAUGCCUGAUUUUCUGUGAUGCAUGUCAAUAUGGCAAAAUGCAUCGCUUCCCUUUUACUCAACAGGCAUCAACACUAAAGCUCCCCUAGAACUUAUUCAUACUGAUCUUUGGGGUCCAGCACCAUUACCUUCCUCAAAUGGUUAUAGAUAUUAUAUAAGUUUUGUGGAUGACUACAGCAGAUAUUGUUGGAUAUUCCCCUUAACUCUAAAAUCUGAAGCUCUAAACACCUUCAAAUUCUUCAAAAACUUAGUUGAAAAACAAAUUGGGUGUCCUGUCAAAGCUUUACAAUCAGAUUGGGGGGGAGAAUAUAGGAAUUUUCAACAGUUUCUUGAGGAAGAAGGGGUAGUUUUUAGGCAUAACUGUCCUCAUACACAUCAUCAAAAUGGUGUGGUAGAGAGGAAGCAUAGACACAUUGUAGAAACAGGGCUGACCUUGCUUGCUCAAGCCAAAAUAUUCUUAUCCUUUUGGUGGGAAUCCUUUCAUACUGCUUCUUUUCUUAUAAAUCGAAUGCCAACACUCAUUUUAAAUAAUCAGUCACCCUUUACCAAACUCUAUGGCAGAAAGCCUGAUUAUCACUUUCUUAGAACUUUUUGUUGCUCAUGCUACCCUUUUCCCAAGCCUUACAGUAAGCACAAAUUCAAUUUUCAUACACAAAAGUGUGUCAUGAUUGGUUACAGUCCCAUACAUAAGGGGUAUAAGUGUCUUGACUCCUCUGGGAAGAUUUAUAUUGCUAGACAUGUGACAUUUAAUGAAUCUGAGUCUCCAUACUCAGAACUUUUUCCUUCCUAUAAGCCAAAUCACAAAAUACAGUUGAGUCAGUUUCUUUCUACAAAUUUCUCUCUUCCAGCAGUCAUUGAAGAUAUAAGCAACAUACAAUCCUCUCUCAGCUCUCCAAUUCCAGGUGCAGCUCCUGAUUCAGUUCAUUCUGAAACACAAUCUGUGCAACAAUCUCCAAACACUUCAUCACAAAGCUUAGACUCCCAACCAUUAUUUGCUAAUCAGUCUACUUAGCUACAAACACAACCUUUACAACACCUGCUAUCCAAAACACCCAUUCCAUGGUCACUAGAUCAAAAGCUGGAGUGUUUAAACCCAAAACAUAUCCAGCAGCAGUCCAAGAGCUUGAGCCAUAUUCUGUAAAAGCUGCUUUAGCAGAUCCUAAGUGGAAGCAAGCUAUGCAAGAUGAAUAUGAAGCCUUGCAAAAAAAUGAAACCUGGGUUCUGGUUCCCAAGGAGUCAGUAGGAAAGAUUGUUGGCAACAAAUGGGUUUUCAGAGUCAAGUAUAAUUCAGAUGGCAGCAUAUUCAAGUAUAAAGCAAGACUAGUUGCAAAGGGGUUCCAUCAAACACAAGGUGUAGACUUCUUUGAAACCUUUAGUCCAGUUGUUAAGCAAUGCACAAUUAGAGUUAUUCUUAGCCUUGCUGUUAUGUAUAACUGGACAGUGAGACAGCUAGAUGUUAAUAAUGCGUUUCUCUAUUGCAUACUUACUGAAAAUGUCUUCAUGCAUCAACCUGAGGGCUUUGUUCAUCCUCAAUUUCCAUCACAUGUAUGUCAACUUACCAAGGCACUUUAUGGACUCAAGCAAGCACCAAGGGCCUGGUAUGAUAGAUUGAAAUCAUCUCUACUGCAGUGGGGGUUCAUUGCUUCUAAGUCUGACACCUCAUUGUUUAUUCAUCAUGUGGGAGAAGACAUUGUAGUUAUACUUAUCUAUGUGGAUGAUAUCUUAAUAACUGGUUCUAACUCUAAGUUUGUAGAAGGAGUUAUAAAUAAGUUGGGGACAGAAUUUGCAUUAAAGGAUCUCGGAGAGUUUAAUUACUUCCUUGGUCUUGAAGUUACCCCAUCAGUUGAAGGAUUGCAUCUGUCACAGACUAAGUAUAUAGGAGACUUAUUGAAGAAAGCUCAAAUGUUAGAUUGCAAAGGAUGUCAAACUCCUAUGAGCUCAACAGAGAAGCUGAUUAAGGACAAAGGAGCCAUGUUUGAAAAUCCCUCACUUUACAGAAGCUUGGUUGGUUCUCUGCAAUAUGUUACUUUAACAAGGCCUGAGAUUGCAUUUACAGUAAACAAGCUUAGUCAAUUUCUUGCUUGUCCAUCAGUCUUUCACUGGCAGGCUUGCAAAAGAGUGCUGAGAUAUUUGUAGAAUACAGCAAACUAUGGCCUGCAGUUCUACAAUUCUGGAUCUCUUAAUCUCACAACUUUCUCAGAUGCAGAUUGGGGUUCAGAUUUGGAUGAUAGAAGAUCCGUAGGAGGAUAUUGUGAUUACUUGGGAAAUAGCUUGAUUUCAUGGUCUUCAAAGAAGCAACACAUAGUUUCCAGGAGUACUGCUGAGUCUGAGUAUAGAGCUUUAACUCUAGCUGCAGCAGAGGUGCUAUGGAUUACUUACUUACUUAAAGAAUUAAAGGUUUCAUUACAGCAAACUCCAGUUAUCCACUAUGAUAACAAAAGUGCUGAAGCAUUAGCUAGUAAUCCAAAGUAUCAUUCCAGGACUAAACAUAUUGAACUUGAUCUUCAUUUCAUUAGAGAACAUAUAGCCAAAAAGGAACUUCAGGUCAGCCAUGUUCCCAGCCAUGAACAAGUUGCUGAUAUACUUACAAAACCCUUGACUUAUGAUCAAUUCAAUUAUCUGCGUUCCAAGCUCAAUGUUCUUUCUAGACCUUGAGCUUGAAGGGGGAUGUUAAGAUAUUUGAAUUGGUUAAUUACAGUUAGCUUAGCUUUCUGUUUAGUUAGUUAAGUGAAAUUGUUAGUAGUGCUGAUGUGGCAGUCCAGUUAGCUGAAUUUGUUAUGAUCGUUAGCUUUAAACAAACACAUUGCUCAUGUGCAGAGUGUAGAAGAUUCUAUAUAGACUCAUGUAUAAAUACUUGUAAUCCUGCUCAUUUGAGCUUAAGAUUAAUACAACGUUUUCACUCUGUUUUCUCUCUCAUUUUCUCUGCAACCAAACAACUCUUUUAUCUUUACAAUGACAAAGUAUAGGUAAUGUCAAAUUAGUAGAGGAUCUAAAUCAAAUAUGGAAAUCUAGAUAUGUUCAUGAGAACAUUGUAUUGUAAACAUUAUAAUAGAAUUUAUAUGACAGUUAGAAUCAUGUGGUAUAUAUUUGAUUGAAUUUCUGCAUCUACACUUCCUGAUAAAAAAUGCUUAAUUGUAGGGUGUCUAUAAAUAUAAAGUGUGUGUGUGUAUAUAUAUGAGCAAGUCCGAUGAUUCAUCUGUUUUAUUGUGCUUUUGCCUACUGACAACCUGUGCCGGGUUCAUUUCAAAUUAAUAUAUAUAUAUAGGUUGUUGAUGCGAGAUUCCGGUUCUCCUCGUUCUACGAUCAGGAUCUCUGCUCGAUCAACUUCGUCACGACCAGGAGGUCUCCUCGCCAGGCUUCUUCUCCAGAGGUCCCUGCGUACACAGAUAAGUCAGAGUACGCCGGUUGUUUUCCCGGCGUAAACCCUCCGACGCUCAAGUCAGAUAUGAAGGUUCGGGAAAAGCUUGCCACAGGUCUUAUGGCGUUUUUUGUGGUUUUCUCCCCUUUUCUCAAGAAUGCCAACCCUUUUACCUUCGUUGGCUACCUUUUUAUAGGCUUCCUCUGAAUCUCAGUCUUCCGCUCUUUUCGAGACGGUAUGGGACUCCAACUGCUGCAUUAUGGGCAAAACAUGGGAUCUAGCGUGUUACGCCACGGUUCAGGGGAAAGCGUGGCUGCCACGGCUCUGUGAGACCUUGCGUGUUACGCCACGGUUCUGGGGAAAGUGUGGCUGUCAUGGCUCUGUGAGACCUUGCGUGUUACGCCACGGUUCUGGGGAAAGUGUGGCUGUUAUGCCUAGAUUCUCGUGCUGGAGAGCACGUCUUGCCAACUGCCGUCGACCGGGUCUCCUCGCCUCUCGAUCUCUAGCCGGAAUGGCCUUAUGCCUUUUAUAGGAAUUGGCCUCGCGGACGAAAACAUCGUGGACGAGCAGGAUGUUUCUGCUCCUGUUCUUCCACGCGCCAGGCUUUAACGGAACACACCGGUUCGCAGAACUCCGCCAUCAGAUAUCUGCUCGUCAUUCCUGGUCCCUUCGACGCAUUUGUCCCAAACAGUAUCCCUCCCAAACACCGGUCCCCCAGUUUCUGGUGUUGGGUAAUGUAGUGGACCAGCAAGGAAAAAUUAACGGAGAAGGACACUGACAACAAUGGCUUACUUAUGAUGAAUUGAAAGCAGGAUUAGCUAAACCUGAAUAGAUGCUUACAAAAACCGAAGUCAGCAGUGCAUGCAAGCCGUAAGGAAUUCAUGAGCUCUGAAUUCAUCCUAUUGUCUGUCUAUUUGCAUUAUAUGCUCAGCUGAUAUUGCUGACCAUGCAUUUCUAAAGGCUGAUAUUGAUGGAAACAGGACUAUCGUUUACAUUGAAUUUAUAACUGCUACGAUGCAAAGACACAAGCUAGAAAGAUUUGAACGUCUUUAUAAAGCUUUCCAACACUUUGACAAGGAUAAUACUGGGUGAGUAUUUUUUUUAUAUACUUCUAUGAAUGUAGAAGCAUCUUUAGCAAACUUUGAUCCUCGGUUACAGACAGAACUGCAUUGAUGAAGCAAUUACUUAGUUUGUUCUUCUACAUUCUGAACGCCUGUGCAGAUAUAUCACAGUCGAUGAACUGGAAACAGCUUUUAAAGGAUAUAACAUGGGAGAUGAUGUCACGAUUGCAAUGAUCAAAGAAAUAAUGUCUGAAGUUGAUAGAGAUAAAGUAGUUAAUCUGGUUCUUGUUUUUUGAUAGUAUCAUCUAAUGACCUGUGUGCAUCCAUAUAAGCCUCGGCCUCAUGUGUCAUGUGUUAUGUGUUUAAUUAUAGGAUGGUAGGAUCAGCUACGAUGAAUUUCGAGCGAUGAUGAAAAGCGGAACCCAUCUGCAAGCAGUAUCUUCGAGACCUUUAGCUCACGUUGUUGCCAUAAGACGAAAGAUAUUCUGGCAGUGGUACCUAAAGCCGUGCUUUAUACAAAAGUAUAAAAACUUGUUUUUUUUAUGAUAAUAAAAAUUAGAAAUGAAAUACAUAAAAUGAGAGUGCGGAACCCCCACACGUUGCCUAAACACUAGACACCCCCACUUUAAAAAUUCUAUAAAUUUGAUCAUUCAUAAAUUAAUUAAUUUAAGUUAUACGUGCUUUUUUUUUCCCACUUAGAGUCAUUGGCCAUCCUUGACUCUAUAAGGUUAAUUUGUCUAUUUUACUUUUAUGAUAUAAAAUGAAUAAAAUUAUCCUAAAACAUGUGCUACUCUGCCUUAAUAUUUUAAUGAUGUAAUUAUAACUUGUAAUCUUGCAUAAUGCGAUUUUCUAAAUAUUAAUAAUGAAAUAGAUAUAUUAGUAACUUACCUUAAUUUUAAUUUUACUUGAAGGCUUCCAGUGUUCUUGGAACAGUUUUAACUUCUAACUAGCUAGCAUGAGAUUUGAUGAAGUGUUCGAGAAGUGCCAGAAAUACAAAGAAAAUGAAGCGCAAAAAUUAAUUAAUGAACCUAGAAUAAAACUUUGCAAAGAAUAAUAAUAAUAAUAGAUUAUAUUGAAUCUAACAAUCCUACUACAAUAAAGACAAAGACAAAAAGAAGUUUUGGAAGUUAUAAUAAUUUUGAGGAGAAUUUUGUCCUUUACAUAUGAUGGUAGAAUAAUCAAAUUGAUCUCAUUUGAACUCAACUCUAGCGGUCAAAAAAUUCAAGGGACCUAACUGACAAUAGGAGAAAUUAAAUGAUGAAAAUUAUGCAAAUUACUAAAGGAAUUAGAGAGUUCUUAAAUGAUUAAUUACGAAAAACUCUAAUUUGUUUGAAUUCAAAUUUUUUAAAUUAGUUUAUAGUAAAUUAUUCGAGUAAGUGGGAUGUAAUUAACCAAGAUUAGGAAUGAACAUAUACCUCCCAUUAAGUUCGUAAGAAAGACUUGUAUUUAUGUGCUUACUCUGUCAAAUGAUAGAACAGGUUGGUCUCGAAAUCUGUAGUGAUUAUAUGAAUAAGACUCAAUAAAUAAAUAAAAUUAUGACAUGCUUCCAUAAAACCAGUGGCAGAGCCUGAUGAGGUAACAGCGCAGCAUGCAGAGAUAAUUUUUUUCUCCUAAGUUAAUUCGGUACUUCGUGUCGUGGUUUCGAUUUCAGUUAUUAUUUUAAACCCAAGAUAUCGAAACUUGUUAAUAACGAAUGAUCCCAAGACCAGAUCUGGAACCCACAACUCAAAAGAAGGGCAAAAUUAUCAAACUGUACAAAAGUUUACAUGCCAGGGGUAAGGAGGUAUUUUCAAAACGUAGAGGGGCAAUGGGGUAUUGAGCCAAAUAUCAGGGGGCGUUGAGCAAUUUACUCGCAAAUUAUUAAAACAAUCCAUGCAUUAUCGUUGGGAAAUUUACACUAAUAACCAAAAAAACUUUGCUUUUUUUCAUCUUAACCCCCCAAAAAUAUUUCUAUCAACAUUAGCCAUUAAACAACAUUUGAGUCCAAAAUACCUGUCCCUCAUCUCUUCCCCAACACUCCCUUUCUCUCAUCUCUCCCAAACCGAUCCAACUCCCAUCAUCGGCGGCGACAUCAACCCUCGUCGGCGGGGGCUCCAUCUCUCACUGGCAUCCGAUCUACGAUCCACAACCUUCAACAAAACCUAGGUUAGUCAUUUUUCUUAUUUUCAUUAAUUUAAAAUGAGAUUUUAGAAUAAUAAUAGUUAUAGCUUGAGAUUGAUAAUGGUGGUGAUGAUGUUUGUGGUGGUUGGUGGUGUUUGGGAGUACUGUUUUUGAUUUUGGAGUGAUUACGCUUAAUUUGGGGGGUGGGAAGGGAGGGGGGCAAGGCGCGCGCCAGCGCCCAUCGCUGGGCAGCAGCGCGCGCCCAUGCGCGGCCUGCGGUCGCACCAAAUCUGGUGCGACAGCAAGCCUCACGCACCAGAUUGGUGCGACAGCAAGCCUCACGCACCAGAUUGGUGCGAGAGGCUUGCUGUCGCACUAGCUGUGGUGCGACAGGCGCGCGCCUGUCGCACCAGUUUUUUGGAGCGACAAGCUUGCCUGUCGCACCAAAAAAUUAGAGUUUUUUUUUUAACGAGUUAAUUUUUUAUUUCUGUAAAUAUAAUGUAAUAAUUUUAUAAAUAUUACAGAUACAUGGCGAAAUCAGAAUCACCGGAUAUUGAAGUAGGCAAGAUGUAUUUUCGUUAUGCUGAUCACUUUCCUGGUCGAAUUUCGAGCAUGUGUAUGUUAUCUUCGGUCGUAAAAGCUAUCGAGGAAAAAUUAACAAAGCGGCAGUUGAGUAUGUUCAAAAAGGAUAUAUUUGGGCAUUUCUUGGAGUGUCGAAGUUUUCCAUUUAGUGGGGUAAUUUUGCAUAAUCUUUUACUGCGUCAAGUGGCCCAUGAAGAAGAUAACCGUGAGGAUCAGUUAUGGUUUCAAAUUGGUAAGCAUUUGAUUCGCUUGUCAAUUGUCGAAUGGUGCUUGGUUACUGGACUUUCAUUUGGUGUUGAUACCAAUGAAAAAAAUGAUGAAAUGGAGCAGAGGCUACAGAAUACGUAUUUUGGUGGUGUGCAUCGUAAGAUUAAUGUGAAGCAAUUUGAUGUCGUAUUUAAGGAGUUGAAUUUCGAGGAAAUAAACGAUAUGGACGCAUUAAAGAUUGCGUUGUUUUAUUUUGCGGACAGAGUACUAAAUGCAAGAAAAAAUCACUGUCAAAUUAAUUUUGAUUGGCUUGACCAAGUUGAUGAUAUUCAGUACUUCCGAAAGCGUCCAUGGGGUCUAUUGUCGUGGGAAAUGAUUUACGAGAGUCUUGACAAUGCACUGUUCGAAAAAGACGAGAAAUUUAAGAAGACUCGGUUGAAAAAUCCAGAUCAUAAUAUUGAAAAAUACAAUCUUUACGGAUUUACGUCUGGGGUGCAGGUGCUUUUUUUUGUUUAUUAAUAAGUUUUAUAGUAUUAAAUAUUUGAUAGUUGUUUUAUUUGAUUUUUCACUUUGGUUGUUGUAGGCUUGGAUUUAUGAAGCAAUCGGAGGGUUACCAUCAACAUGGGUCGUCAAAACGAAGAGUAAGAUUCCCCGCAUUCUGCAAUGGAAGCCUAUGGCGUCUUCGAGAAUCAACUUUGCGGAGGUUUAUUCGUUCUUCAACGACGAAUCUCGUCUUGUAAGUAAUAUGUAUUACUUAUUUUUUUAACUUUACUAAAUUUAAGUUGGGUAUACUUACUUAAAUUUUUCAAUUAAAUUUAUGGCAGACGGACGUUUUACAAACUCUUGAGCCAAAUUCAAAGCAGAGUAGCAGAAAAUAUUGGCUCUCUGUGAAGGAUUACUUGCCAAGCAUUCCAGACUGGGUUCAUAAGGUCGGUAUACUGUAAGUACAAAAUUUUUUUUUAUCGAAAUUUUUGACUUUUCAUUUAGUAAUUUUAAAUGAUACUUUAUACAGCACCAACCCUCAAUCAACGCGAUGCCGUCGGUUACAAGACAAUCGGACGAGCAUGACGAUCAUGACGACAUACCAAACCCAAUACCAGAGCAGCGUCAUGACACUUUUGAGGAUGAGGUGGCUGUUGAUGACCACCCGCAGCAAACAGACAACUCUGAUGACGCAAGGGAUUCUGAGGUUAUAAAUAAUAUACGAUAUUUUUCACUUUGGUUGUUAUUAUUUUUUUAUUGUUAUUCUAAAGUUUUAUUUUUUUCUUUUGUAUUAGUCGAGGACAAAGCAGUUUAAUGAUUACGUACGACGACGGCUGGAUAAGAUUGAUCGUAACGUGUAUGAAAUAAAGUCAGAAUUAAAAGAUUUUAAAGAAACCGUUGUUGGCUUCAUCGACACAUUUUCUAAACGUCCAAAUAAGGAUUCUCCCACUGCACGCUCGUAUGCGGUAAUCUAAUUUAAAUUAAAUAAUUAUGUUCGUUUAACUUUUAAUUUGAUAAUUAUUUAAUAUGUUCUUUUUGGCGAUUGUACAGGCCCCGGAUGACUAUGGAGUGUAUACUGACGUGGGCAAUGAAAAUUUGUCUACGCCCACGUCAUUGGUUAGUUUCUACGGGGAUGUUAGUGGGGAGAGCGUGCAGGUGUUCACAGAGGUGCCUCCGGGCGUUAGUAAGUUCGGCCGCGCGUACAUACCGUCGUAUGUUUAUAACAGUCCUUACAUGAUUCCUCCGGUCAGGCGAGGACAGAACGUCCGGAGGUUACCUCGACCCCAAAUCAUGGAGCAUGCGAUUGACAUGAGUACGAGUGUGGAUGUAAAUCCACUGAGAGGAUUGGAGGACUCUAGUUUGUUUGCUGAGUUUGAUCGAUGGUUCACUGGUGAUAUCAGAGUCCGCCGGAACAUCCAGCACCCGCGGUCAUUCUUUCAAAUAAUUUUGGGGACAGCUUCGAUGGGAUGGCUAGGCGAUGAGGUAUUUAUAUUUUCCUCGUGGUGUAUACUGUUGUGGAUUUGUGUAUAAUUUUUUUUUUAAAAUCGUAAUAUUUUUGUUUCUCUACAGCAUAUUCACGAGUAUCUCCGUUUGAUUAGCGAGAAACAACGGCAGUAUCCAAAUGCCUUACUCCAACGUGUCACACAUACGGACACAUUUUUUUGGGUAACGUGCCGACAAAACUUAUAAAUACUAUUUAAUUUCUUUAAUUAUUGCCUUUAAGUUUUAUUAAUUUAUGCAUUUCUUGGUUAUCUAUGUACUAGGUGUUCUUGAAUCAGUUAUGGAAUAACGGGAAUUGUGCAGUCGAUUCAAUGGUAUUCGACGACCGCUUGAAUAGUUAUCUUUGUGGGCGACAGCACACAAUGUCAAAAUCAAUGACGGAUGUCGAUAUGGUAUGUAUUUUAUUACAUUUCACAUGUUCUAUAUUGAAAAUAUUCGAGGAGUUGUUUUUUCUUUGUUGUAUUUCAAUUUCAUAUAUAACGAACAUGUUUUUUAAUUUUUAUAUGCAGUUACUCAUCCCUGUUAACUUGGACGGCGCGCAUUGGGUACUAGCACGAGUUGACUUUCGGAAAAAUAAAGUCUGGAUUUAUGACUCAUUACUCACAUUUCGCGACGACAAAAGGUACAAGUUGAAAUUCAAGCCACUUGAAGUUAUAUUCCCUCGAUGGUUGGAAUAUGUUGGCUUCUACAAUAUACGACCUGAGUUGCGGAGUGAAGACCCGUGGAAAGUUAUCGCAGUUAAGAGCGCGCCACAACAAGAAAGAGGCACUGGCGAUUGCGGUGUUUUUGUAUUGAUGGUUACGAUGUAUUUAAUGUUCGGGCUUAGGUUGGAGUUUAACGCUAGUCAUGUCGAGUACUUUAGAAAGAAGAUUGCGGUUGAUAUAUUUAAUGACGAUAUUAUAUUGUAGACCUAUGUAGUAAUUUCAAUGUUGAAAUUUACAUUUUUUUUUAUUUCCGCACUUAAUUUUAUAUAAUUUUAAUGCCUCACAUUUUGAACUUUAAAAUAAAAUAAAGUUUUAUGAAUAAUAACAAUUUUAACCAACGAAAUACAAAAAACAAUAACAGUUUUAACCAACGUAACACAAAAACAAUAAUAGUUUUAACCAACGAAUAACACACAAAAUACAACUAACUUCGAGUCGACGCAAUAGGAUUCUUACAUCGCUUACGAUUAUGGCCAAGUUCAUGACACCGGCCGCAUCUUACAGUUCGCCGGUCAACGUCCUCGCCAGCCGAGGGUAUUCUGCGCUCUUUACGACGUCCAGGUGGCGGUGCCUCAACUGGUGGGUAUACCUGCAGCUCCUGAAUUUCAUCUGGAACUUCCCAAUCAGCCACAUCACCAACUGGCUCCACUGGUUGUGCAUAAGCCAUCGCCAACGAUUCUGUAGUGUAAAAGUCCGAGCAAAGGUUAAUAAAAUCCACCCGGUGUGUUAGACACGCCGCAAUUGCAUGAGCACACACAAGCUGAUCAAGCUGAAACACUCUGCAGGAGCAAGUUCUCUUUUGCAAGUCAACCAACCCUUCCUUAAGCCCACCGCCUAUAACUUGAAAGCGAUGCGGAGACACCGGUCGAACUAUCAUUCUUUCAGCUAUAGUUCUCCUCUCAGUGACUAUUUCAUCCGCUCAUGUUGUUAGCCGAGUAGUCAUUGAUUCAGCCACAAUUUUUCUAUCAUAAAACCAUUGCUGCAAUGUUUUCCUGAAGUGAUCAACAAGAUGAGUAACAGGAAAUUUUCGAGGUUCCCUCAUGAAAGCAUUAACACUCUCCGCGAUGUUGGUGGUAAGAAUGCUGUACCUCCUACCUUGAAACUGAGACCUUGCCCAAUUACACGUACCGACAUUAUUUUCUAGGUAAUCAGCCGCACCCGAGUGGAUCAUCCACAACCCUUCAAGUUGUCUCUUAAAUUCCUCGUGGCCAUAUGCUUUUGCUGCAUUAAUAAAGGCAGGCUCAAAUUCAUCCCAAAGAGCUUUGGACAAUCUAAAUUGUGACUUAAUGUUACCUUUGACGUGGUAAAAACAAACGCCAUGAGUUGCAUUGUGAAAUACUUUAAGAACGGCUCUCCUUAUGGCAGUGCAUCGAUCAGAGAUAAUUACCAACUCAGGUCUAUCACCAAUCACUCCAUGUAACUUCAUCAUAAACCAUUCCCAAGCAUCAUUAUUUUCUGAAUCCAUGAUUCCAAUGGCUAAGGGGAUACAAUUGAUUGUUACCAUCAAGACAUGUUGCCACGAACAUGCUUCCACGAUAUAAUCCCUUCAGAUGAGUACCAUCUACAGCAAUGACAGGUCGAAUGUACUGCAUAAACCCCUUGAUGGAAGAUCCGAGUGCUACAAAAUAGUACAAGAAAUUACCAUCUCCAUCCUGCUCGAGGUGAGUGACUGUACCCUCAUUCGCUGUAGUUAGUACGUGAGAGUAUUUAGGGAGCAAGUUGUAUGACUCUGCAGGGUUGCCGCGUACUAUUUCAAGACCAACUUCUCUCGCCCUAUAUGCCUGCUGGUAUGUUAACUGAACACCGUAUUCCUGUUGCAUAUCUGCUCUUAUGUCAUUGGGAGUAUAAAUCCUCUUAUCUUGAAUAUAUUUUUCUGCGAUAAUAUGACCGACAACCCGGCUCCUUACUUGAUGACGUCCAUCAACCAAUACCUCAUUAUGACAAGUGUGUACAUUAUCAAUUCUCUUCACCACCCAAGGAACAUGUUGCUCGUUCGAACUUCUAGUUGCUCGAAUACGCCAUUUACAUGAUUCUGAACAACAGUGAGCCUCGAAACGUGUCGUAGUAGACCGUGCAAUCUUGAAAUCAAACUUAUCUCUAAAGGCCACCUUGCGUAGUUGUAAUAUAAGCUCAUUCUUCUCAACAAAUAGCUUACCCACGCUGAUAUCAUCUGAGUCACAACUGCUAACAAAGCUUGGAGCAACCAUGUUCGAAGGUAAAGUUGGAGCAAGACUUGUAAGGGGGUCAAUUCUCCUUCUCGAUCGAACCAUAGAAGGAAUAGGUCUAUUGCCUCUGUUAUUCACAGGAGUAUUGUCUUCACACUCAUCCUCAUCCUGAAACGACGGAACAUUCGAAGGACCGGCUCCUCCAUCAUCACCAUCAUUAUUGAAACGAGUGCCCCGCCUUGUAUUAUUAGAAGGUUCUGCACAAACAUUAUCCCCCUCUGUCUCAUUAUGAAAAUCAUCAUUGUCCCGAAAAUCAUUGUUGUGAUACGGAGAAUAUUGUUGCUCCAACGACGUUGUUAUUGGAAAUACCGUUGCUCCAACAUCCUGUAACGUAACGUCAUUAUCAUCAAUGUUGUCAUAAUUGUCGUGAAUUGGAGAGUAAUAUUGCUGCAGCGAUAUUGUCCUUGGCAACACCUCUUCAUCAUUAUCGGGGCCAGACAUAUUUGCUCUAAACGAAGUUUCUGUAUCGACAUGUGGCUUAAUACCUUCGCUCGGAACUCGAGGUGAUGUGGUCACGAAUAUAGAAAUGCAUCCAAAAUUAGCUACGUCAGAUGCCAUAUGCAACACAACCCUCACCAUUUCAUCAUCACAUAUAUCCAUGGGCAUUGCACAUAUACGAUAUAAUGUGUUACUAGACCUCAAAGUUGUCUUCAUUGUGAUACUAUAGUCAUUAGGAUUUAUUUUUAACACCUCGUAUACUCUUGCCAAUAACUGAUCAAACAGGUAAUUUUUUCCAACCAAAAAAGCUCGAUUUUUACCAUUCACGUACUCCAUACAGCCAUUCUCUAAUGUCUCCCACCAACCAUCGUAACACAAUUCAAGUACAACUGAAUCCAUUAAGCCUAAAAUUAAAAAAAAAAAUUUAUUUCAGUCCUAAUUAAAAUAAUACAAUUUUAAUAAAUCUCCAAGAGUGGGUGCGACAGGCAACCUGUCGCCCGAAGCUUGGUGCGACAGGGUGCAUGUCGCACCAAGUUUUGCUGCGACAGGCAGCCUGUCGCACCAAGUUUUGCUGCGACAGGCAGCCUGUCGCCAAAUUCAGAUUCACCCGACUCAGUUCAGUAAGUUCAGAAAAUAAUUCAUACCAGUAAGUGAUGUCGAUUUGUGUUGAAUCUAGAUAGAUUAUGAUCGGAUAUCACUUUCACAGUUGUCUUUUGCGGUCGCCGUUGGCUGAUGAUUCAAGAAUGAAAAGCUGCUUUUGGUUUGGCGAGAUGGGAGAAACAAUGUUGGUUUUGUUCUGUAAAGAAGGGUAAUUUAGGAAGAAAGACUUGUGUUUGGCUAAUGUUGAUAGAAAAAAGUUGAGAGGGUUAAUUACGAAAAUAAUAAAAUAUUAAUGGUUAUUUUUGUAAAUUUCCCAUUAUCGUUUUGUUUAUGGCACCUUCCGAAGUUUGAAUGGGAUAUUAAAAAAGUGUUUUUAAUAGAGGACGGUACAAUUGCCUUCGCAGCAGUCUUCUUCUAACAAAUCUCAUUGUAAAUUUUAAAGAAUCAAUUCAAAGGCAGGAACUGUGAUGUGUAGUUGUAUACAUCUCGGGUCCUGCAUAUUCUUUGAAAUUGCAAAAGUCAAAUCCUGAGGUCCUGUCUCGCAUCCUCUGUGCUGGUGGCGGCCAGAAAUGGGUUGUAUUUUCAGCAAAGGCCAAGACGCAGACCACACAGCAGCACGCCAACUCCAUGAUGCAAUUCUUGGUAAAGCUUAUGAGGAUGUUAAGUUAGAUUAUACUAUUGGUAAAGAAUUGGGUAGGGGUGAAUUUGGUAUAACUUAUCUUUGUACUGAGAAUUCAACCGGUUUGGAAUUUGCUUGCAAGUCUAUUCCUAAAAGAAAGCUGGUAAAUGAUUAUUAUAAGGAUGAUGUAAGAAGAGAGAUUGAGGUGAUGCAAUAUUUGAGUGGGCAGCCCAACAUAGUUCAAUUCAAGGCUGCUUAUGAGGAUGAACAAUUUGUGCAUACUGUUAUGGAAUUAUGUGCUGGUGGUGAGCUAUUUGAUCGAAUUGUAGCCAGGGGCCAUUAUAGCGAGAGAUCUGCGGCUUCUGUAUUCAGGGUAAUUAUGAAUGUUGUGAAUGUUUGCCACUCUAAGGGUGUUAUGCACAGGGAUCUCAAACCUGAGAAUUUCUUGUUCACUACCGGGGAUGAGAAUGCUGUUUUGAAGGCCGCUGAUUUUGGGUUAUCAGUGUUCAUUGAAGAAAGUAAAUUUCUCUACCUUGCUUGCACAUUUUCCAUGUUUAGAUUUUACUGCAUGUAGUAGUCUUUCAUGCCUGUAGAAUUUUCCGAUACAUAUCAUUUGAGUAAGCUGUAACUCACUUAAUGUAUUGAUUUAGGUGAAAUCAUAAGAAAAUAAUACAAAACUCUUAGGAUCACCAGGAAGGCAUAUUUGAUUAAUCGAGCUAUUAAUGUAUCCUUUUUUUAUUACCGUAUGAUUCAUUUUCCAGGAAAGGCUUACGACGAAAUAGUUGGGAGUCCUUACUAUAUGGCUCCCGAAGUAUUAAAGCGAAGUUAUGGGAAGGAAGCAGACAUUUGGAGCGCAGGAGUGAUAUUGUAUAUUUUAUUGUGUGGUGUGCCUCCCUUUUGGGCAGGUGAAAAUCAAUAUUCUUUUUGCACCCUACACAAUCUCUUUUCACUUCAACAACGAUUUUGUAUUUCUUACCGUCAACUAAGAGUACAGAGUGUGACUAUGACCACUCUGAAUUUUUUGUGUGCUCUGCAGAAACGGAGCAGGGAGUUGCUCUGGCUAUAUUAAAAGGAGAAAUUGACUUCCAACGUGAUCCAUUUCCAAGUAUAUCAAGCAGUGCCAUAGAGUUGGUUCGCAGGAUGCUAACACUGGAUCCAAAAAGGCGGAUUACUGCUGCUCAAGUUCUAGGUAUAAAGCAUUGGAUCCUCAUGUUAUUAAUUUUUCUCAUUCAUUCUAUCUAUGCUGCUUUGAUUACUGCAAGUUAAAAUUUAUUGGUCUAUUUAAUAAUACAAAUGGUAUAGCUACCACUGAAAAAUGUAUAUGAUAUGCAGAGCACCCUUGGCUUAAAGAAAGUGGAGAAGCAUCAGAUAAGCCAAUUGAUACUGCUGUUAUUUUCAGGAUGAAGCAGUUUACGGCAAUGAAUAAACUAAAGAAACUUGCACUAAAGGUAAGUCUAACUGUCUAAGGCCCAUGAGUCCCUCCUAAAUGAGCUUAAACUUGAGAAAUACUUGGAUAGGAUUGAUAGAUAUAAAGAAAAGUGACAAAGCUUGUAUCUUAAGCACACGUGACAAAUAAUAUACAUGUGUCAAAAGAUUCUCCAAAUUAUAACAUGUAUGUGAAUCUAUACCUGAUGACAUUGUAUGCAUGUUCAUGACGACAUUUUAAUUCUAAAUAUUAUAACAGAAAUUUAUAUGACUGUCUAUCAUGAGUUACAUGUUUGAUUGAAAUUUUGCAUCUACGCUUCCUCGUCAACAACAUUAUAUUGUAUUGUUGUAUUUUGAAAACUUGUGCAAGCCAAUAAAAAUUUAUGUAUUCUAUUGUGUUCGCCCUACUGAUAAACCAUGUGUUCUUUAGGUCAUUGUGGAAAAUCUUCCUACUGAAGAAAUACAAAAACUAAAAGAAAAAUUUACAGAGAUGGACACUGACAACAGUGGCACUCUUACUUACAAUGAAUUGAAGGAAGGAUUAGCUAAACUUGGAUCGACACUUACAGAAUUUGAUGUCAAGCAGUACAUGCAGGCUGUAAGUAAUUCAUGAACGCUGAGUUUAUCACACUGUCUGUCUAUUUGCAUUAUACCCAGCUGAUAUUGUUGGCUCUGCAUUUCUGCAGGCUGAUAUAGAUGGAAAUGGGACCAUUGACUACAUUGAGUUUAUAACAGCUACGAUGCAAAGGCACAAGCUACAAAGAUUUGAAAAUCUUUAUAAAGCCUUUCAGUACUUUGACAAGGAUAAUAAUGGGUAAGCUUCUCAUUUUAUUUUUAUUAUUAUAGAAGCAUGUUGAGCAUUAUUUGCAUCCUCAGUUUUUUCAUGAUCUGAAUGGGGAAUAUUGAAAACCUACUCCCUCCAUUAACUGGCUUAAAUUUAAUGGGUUAUAUCUGGAGUCAAUUGACUAAUUAAUGAAGUUCUUAUUCUAAAUGGCUAUGUAGAUAUAUCACGGUAGAUGAACUCGGAAAAGCUUUCAAAGAUUAUGGCAUGGGUGAUGAUGCCACAAUUGCUACAAUUAAAGAAAUAAUGUCUGAAGUUGACAGAGACAAAGUAAGUUGAUUUUCAGUUUCAAGGGCAUUAGUAAUUUGUCUUCAUUAUUGUAAGUCAAUUCCCACGCCUUUAAUUUGUGUAUACAGGAUGGUAGAAUCAGCUAUGAUGAAUUUCGUUCAAUGAUGAAAUGCGGAACCCAACUGCGAGCAUUGUCUUCUAGAUCUCUGGCUCAUGUUGUAACCGUAAGACGCAAGGUAUUCUGGUAGGUAAACUGUGUUGUUAUUCAUCGUUUUCUGUAUAUCUUUGUAAAUUUUGUUAUUGUAGUUUUGUGAGAGUGUAUUAGAACAAUAAUAGUCAUAUACGGAAUUGCACAAAAUUACCUUCUUCCCUUUUUCUUCUUACAGUCAAAUAUAUAAAUAUUAGGAAGUGAACAAAUUUUGUGAUGCAUACAUAGGCUCUGAAUAUUGUAGGAUCAAAAGAUUUAUGCAGUAUUUCUAUUAAGAUUUGUUUCUAUGAAAUAAAAUACAGUUGAAACAAAUACAUGGAUGAGUACACAUACAGUUGAAACAAAUACAUGGAUGAGUACACGCUUUAUUCUAUGAAUCUCCUUUGAUUCAAAAAAGGAAAAUGCAGAGAGGCGAGAGAGAAGACAUUGGCAAAAAUCACCAUCAUCACAGCAGCAAACGGCCACUUAAUAAAUUAGAAAGUCUUUCUUCUCGUCACAAUAAUUAACCUUUCUUGAUUUGCCCAAUUUUGUUAAAAUGUUAAUCCUAGAGAGAGCUUCGUCACUUAGCCAUUGCAACUUGGGGGUUUUCAUUGCACUCGAAUCGCUAUUUCAGCCUCUGAGGAAGACGAAUUGGAGGACAAUGCCUGUGGGUCAGUGUGUUAACAUAAGCAAAAUUGUAAACGGCAGUGAUCCUUCAACAGCUUUGAAAACUCGCUCUUUUUAUCAAUCAAUUUCUUCAAGCUGAGACCUUGUUCAGAGAUGGAGAGGGGAACAACAAAGAGAGAAAAGGACUUGAAAAAUAAAAUAAAAAAUUGUUUGCAUUAAAUUAUUUGCAAAUCUAAGGUUAUUUUUUUAUUACUAGUGGAUAAUAUUAGGGGCAAAUAUAAUACAUUCAUCGGUCAACUAUGGUUUGACCAUAAAGAAAAAAACAAAAAACUAAUGACAUGAGGGUGGGGGGAUGACUUUUCCAAUAAUUGGACCAUAAUAAACCCCAAAAAAAACGCAUUUUUUACCAAUUAUUUUAUAUAUUAAAUGCACUUAUCUUCAUAUUAUUAAUCUGUUAGAAGAUUUUUAUUGGGAAUAUUAAUUUUUGUACUAUUUAUAAAUUUUUUUAAAAAAUAAUGAAUUAUGUGGGCUAUGUGUAUAUUUGAACGAUAUAAUUUAAUUUAUUGAUUUUUUAAAUUUAUGGGGAGAAUAAAAAUAUGAAUGGAAUCUUUGUUAUUCAUUGUUUGUGUCAUGGGGAAGGUUCAUUAUCGGGUUACACCACCAUCAUUUAUUCAAACUUCUAUCCUAUCCCACGCGUUUCUUUUUCGCUGACCAUUUCGAACAAAAGCCAAAAAAUUUCAGAAUUUCUUACCAAAAAAAAUAAAGGGCCAAUAAAUUUUAACCAUAAUGACGCAUAGUUUGAUAGAAAAAAUACAUACGCGUGCCAAUAUAUAGUUGAUAUCUCCGAAUUGGGCAAGCUGGAAUUGCUCUUUGUAUUUUAUUUUACUUUUCCUAAAAUCUCACUUGAUUCCCUAUAAUUUAUAUUUGAUCUCAAGUGGAUUUGUUCCAGUUGACAUCUGUAAAGAUCCAGACAUCCAGAGUUGAGCUUGAGCUGAGCCUCUUAUGCAGAAAUGGGUGGCUGUUUAAGCAAAAUCCCGGGCUCCUCAAAGCCAGCAGCAGCCCGACAGCAGCAACCACCUAAACUAGAUGAUGCAAUUCUUGGUAAACCGUACGAGGAUGUCAGGUUGCAUUACACCAUUGGGAAAGAACUGGGUAAGGGAGCAUUUGCUGUUACAUAUCUUUGUACUGAGAAUUCAACCGGUUUGCAAUUUGCUUGCAAGUCUAUCUCUAAGAAAAAAAUUGUAGCUGCGUAUGAAAAGGAUGAUGUAAGAAGAGAGAUUGAGAUAAUGCGACAUUUGAGUGGGCAGCCUAAUAUAGUUCAAUUUAAGGGUGCUUAUGAGGACAGGCAUUCUGUGCAUAUUGUCAUGGAGUUAUGUGCUGGUGGUGAGCUAUUUGACCGAAUUAUAGCCAAGGGCCAUUAUAGUGAGAGAGAUGCGGCUUCUGUAUUCAGGGUAAUUAUGAAUGUUGUGAAUGUUUGCCACUCUAAGGGUGUUAUGCACAGGGAUCUCAAACCUGAGAAUUUCUUGUUCACUACCAGGGAUGAGAAUGCUGUUUUGAAGGCCACUGAUUUUGGGUUAUCAGUGUUCUUUGAAGAGGGUAAAUUUCUUCACCAUAUAUAUGUUUGUAUUUGAAAUCCAUUAUAGUCACCAUAUAUAUGUUUGUAUUUGAAAUCUUAUAUUUACAUACGUUCAUGUGAACCUAAGUUUCGAUGUUCAAUUAUGUCUGAUAAAUGAAUGGCAUUUCCAUUUAAUUUCAAUAGUGAAUUAGACAUGCAGUAUGCCGUGAGGCUUCAUGUAUUACUUUAGAUGAAAUCAUCAGAAAAUAAUGUGAAACUCUUAGGAUCACCAUGAAAGGCUUGUUUAAUCUAGCUAUCAACUUAUCCUUGUCUGAUGAUACCAUGGUGCACUUUCCAGGAAAGGUAUUCAGGGAUUUAGUUGGGAGUGCUUACUAUGUUGCUCCUGAAGUGUUAUGGCGCAGAUAUGGGAAGGAAGCAGAUAUUUGGAGCGCAGGAGUUAUACUGUAUAUUUUACUAUGUGGUGUGCCUCCAUUUUGGGCAGGUGAAGAUAUUCGUGUUGCCCCCUAGAGGAUCUCUUUUCCCUUCAACACACUAUUCUUUUUCGUUACUAAUAUCCAGAAGUAUAGCAGUAAUCACUAAUCACUCACAAGUUAUGAUGUGCUCUGCAGAAACUGAGAAGGGCAUUUUUGAAGAAAUAUACAAAUGAGAAAUUGACUUUCAAACUGAUCCAUGGCCAAUUAUUUCAAGCAGUGCCAAGGAGUUGGUUCGCAGGAUGCUGACACAGGAUCCAAAAAGGCGGAUUACCGCUGCACAAGUUCUAGGUAUAAAACAUUAUAUUGUGAAGUUAUUAGUUUUUCUGGCCUAGGCUGCUUUGAUAAUUAUAAGUUAAACUUUAUUUAGUCCAUUUAAUGUUACCAAGAGUAUAAAUACCAUUGACAGCCAUAUGCAUGACAUGCAGAACACCCUUGGCUUAAAGAAAGUGGAGAAGCAUCAGACAAGCCAAUUGACACUGCUGUUCUUUUCAGGAUGAAGCAAUUUAGGGCAAUGAAUAAACUAAAGAAACUCGCACUAAAGGUAAGUCCAAGGGCCUAUGAUCCUGUCCUUCUAAAUCUUAUGGGAGUGUGAUCUUGAGUUACAUGUUUGAUUAAAUUAUUACAACUUUACUUCCUCAUCAACAUGUUUUAUUUUAGAGCUUUUAUUAUAUCUUAUGAACUAUGUGCAAGUCCAAUGAAUGAAUGCAUUUGAUUGUGCUCCCCUGGCCCUACUGAUAAACUAAUUGGAUCGUAAAUAUAAUUGUAAAGGUCAUAGUGGAAAAUCUUCCGACUGAAGAAAUACAAAUGCUCAAGGAAAAAUUUACAGAGAUGGACACUGACAAGAGUGGUGCACUUAGUUAUGGUGAACUGAAGGCAGGAUUAGCUAAACUUGGAUCGACAAUUAGAGAAGUUGAUGUCAAGCAGUACAUGCAAGCUGUAAGCAAUUCAUCAACUCUGAAUUAAUAUUUGAGUCCGUCUAUAUGCAUUAUAGUUGGCUGAUGUUGUUGGCUCCACAUUUCAGGCUGAUAUAGAUGGAAAUGGGACUAUUGACUACAUGGAAUUUAUCACUGCUACAAUGCAAAGACACAAGCUAGAAAGAUUCGAACAUCUUGACAAAGCCUUUCAAUAUUUUGAUAAGGAUAAUGAUCGGUUAGUUUCUUGAUCUAAAAUGUAAAAUUAGAAAACGACCCUUUGGCACUUUGACUGUUCUGUAUACAGCCCAAGAAAAACCUUUGUUAUGCUUUUUGUAUAACAUGAACUGAAACAUAUAUAAUAUUAUCAGAAUUUAAAACAAAAGAAAAAAUCCUUUUGUGGUGGCUUCUGUAAUUGGUUAAAAAGAAAACUUACCCCAAAAUCAAUAUCAGAAGUGAAGUUAGGGAAUUAAGUACGGCAGUUCUUUCUCAAAAUGCUGUGCAGCUAUAUCACAGUCGAUGAACUGGGAAUAGCAUUUAAAGAAUACAACAUGGGUGAUGAUGCCACAAUUAAAGAAAUAAUGUCUGAAGUUGAUAGAGACAAAGUAAGUCGAUUCUUACUUUUGAACAUGUUUAAUUUGUCCGCAUUAUUGUUGUUAUAAGCCUAGUUCUCACAUCUUUUGUGUUUAUAGGACGGCAGGAUCAGCUAUGAUGAAUUUUGUGCAAUGAUGAAAAGCGGAACACAACCGCGAGAAUUCUCUUCCAGAUCUCUAUCUCAUGUUGUAACCAUGAGACGCAAGAUUUUAUGGUAGAUAAACUGUACGUGCCAUUCAAUAGUUUUCCAAAUACAUGGUGUUAUAUUUGUCUAAACUAAACAGGGCAUUACGGUGCCACUAUCCGAGUGGUGAAUUUUUGUCUUCAAAUUUGAAUCGAGUCCCAUGCGGCUCAAAUUGCCACCCUUACUAUGGUGAGUGCAGCAAUUCCCUUAAGUCCAGUGGUGCCAUGAUGUCUUGUUUAGUUUAGAUAAGUACAACAUCAAGUUCUUGGAAUCUUGGAUCCAAUUGUACAGUAUGGAUUGAACCUACUACUCGAUUACUUCAACGAUAUCGAUGUAUCAUCAUUUUUUUUUUGUGAAUAAUUUGAGCUGUAAAUAAUUAUGCAACUUGAAUAUUGUAAGGAAUCGGGUGUUUACGUGAUUUAUUAUUAUUUUUGUAAUGAGACGAGAAGAAUAAAUAUGAACAGAAAGAGUAAGUUGUUGUUGAUAUUUAUCAGUUUUUAAAUUCAUUUAAUUAAUAUGUGCUUUUACAGAUUUUAUUCAAUCCCAAAUGGAUUUGGUUGGUAUUGUGCAAAUUAACAUUUGGCCCGUAUAAUUAUGUUAACGGAAUUGAAUGAUAAAAUUUGAAAGAAUAAAUUGUAUGGAGUAAUUAUCAGAAAUCUUAACUCUUAAGUGACUGUACGAACCUUGGAUCAAAGACAUUGAAAUUUUCUUUUUACCUAUUACCCAUCCAUUUGGUACGUGAAAUUUGAAGAACCUGUUUGGUUCAUAAAUUAAUUAGUAAUUAUGAAAGUAAAGCUGGGUGUAGUGCAGGGUUUUGUGGAAAUUCAAGGUCGUGUUGAAGUAUUGUUGAAAAAUAAGGGGCCUAGUGGGGUAUUAGUCUAAAAAACAGGGGUGUGGUGUGAUAACUGAAAACAUUAUUUUUGGACCUUUUUUUCGUGAGGAGGCCAGACAAGACAAGUGGACAACAGGACAAGUGCAACUGGCCAAUCUAAUCUAUUGAGCGGGUGGGGUUGAACGCAGCAAAGUGAGUCACCUCAGUCAAUUCUUUCCUUUGUACUUAAGAAAGAUUUGAGAUUCUCUGGGCAAAGGCCAACCCGACUCCGCCUGAUCUUCUUCUCCCUCAUCUCUCUAUUUUUAUUUUUUUUCAUUUUUCCUUUUUCUUUCCCCUCAUAGUUAGUUUGCAUUUUUAAGCAGAAGUUUGAACUUCGAAUAUUUUCAAUCUUCUAACAAGCUUUGUUAACUCAGUUGUUUGGAAAUAAUAAAUAAUUGCUAUCAAUGAGGAAUCAGAAGUUCUCCAAUGUUUCUACAUGCUGUCUCUUUGCCGCCUGCACCCAGUGGCCAAAUCAAAAUCUUUGAUUUGAUGGUUAUUUUGUUAUAAAUAGUAACUAACAGAGGGUACAGUAUAAUAAAGACUACUUUUGAGGAUAACUUUGUAUGACAUAGAGGGGUCAUUUUGGGUGAAUGACAUCUAACGGGGGCCAAAAUACAAAUAAGAUAUACACGGGCCCUGCCUUCAAUAUUUUUUUGCUAUUUUUUUAUUAAACAGGUAUCGUAAUCAGAAGCUUAUUGACAUACAAUCAGACACUUAUCGGGAUUUUUUUUUUUGUCUUUCCCUGCAGUUGUAGGACACAGUCUGAAUAUUCUUUCCUCACGUACUAUUAGUAGACACCCGACUCUGCUUUUUUUGUCUUUUGCUGUAGUUUUAGGACGAAGUCUGAAUAUUCUUUCUUCACAUACUAUUAGAGGACGCCCGACUCCCAAGCAAAGGAAUAUCAACUCCAUUCUAAGAGAUAAUCGAGUCCUAUCAAAGCUAGGACUUGAACCUAGGCACUUUCAAGUCACUCGAAGUUGAGUGGCUGGACUGUUGCCAAUGGACUAAGAGCCUAUUGGAAAAUUGGGAGAAGUUUAGUUAAUAAUCAUUGAUCAUUGAAGGUUCUGUUUUUAGUUUUAGUUUGUAAUAACAAGCUUCUAUCAUAUGAUUUGAUCUGAGUCACUUAAGUCAAUGUAGAGUUGGCUCAAUGUGACCAAAAAUAAAACUCCAAUGUUACUUACAGUUUCUGAUUAUGGUUUGUUGAAGUUUAAGUGCUUUUUUAAUUUAAGUUAUUUGAUUGAGUAAUUAAUCUGAUACUGAGGAGUUUUAUGGCAGCUGAAUUUGGUACAGAUUACAAAGGAUCGAUCAUGUAUCAAGAAUUACCAACAACCAUGGACCAUGAACUACUCAAUGUAUUAAGACGUGGGGAUGAACAUCAAAUCAGGCUACUCGUAGUUCGAAUGCAAAAGACUUUAAGCACAAUGAGUCCCCGAGGCAACAUAGUGCUUCAUAUGGCUAUCAGAUUUCAAAAACAUAAAGUGAUACGGGAGAUUCUCUGGCGACAGCAUUCACUUCUCCGGAAGAACAACUGGAAGGGAGAGACUGCAUUGUUUAUUGCUGCCAAGGCUGGUGACCCUGCUAUCGUUAGUACACUCUUGAAUUAUGUGCGGGCCAUUAAAAAUGGAACGGAAGCAGAACCAGAUAGCCUUUUAAGGAUGACAGACGAUGAAGGCAACACUUCUCUGCAUAAUGGGGUACGGGGGUAUUUUAUCAAACUGUACAAAAGUUUACAUGCCAGGGGUACGGGGGUAUUUUCAAAAGGUAAAGGGGUAAUGGGGUAUUGAGCCAAACAUGAGGCAGCAUUGAGCAAUUUACAAGCAAAUUAUUAUAAGCAACACAUAUAUUAUCGUUUUGUUUAGCAACUCGGAAGUGUUUUUAAUAAAGGACAGUAGAAUUGGCUACACAGCGGUCUUCUUCUAACAAAUCUCGUUGUAAAUUUUAAAGAAUCAAUUUAAAGGCAGAAACUAUGAUGUAUAUUUCUGUACAUCUCGGGUCCUGCUUAUUAUUUGAAAUUGCCUACCUGUGAAAGUCAAAUCCUAAGGUCCUGUCUUGCAUCCUCUGUGCUGGUGGCGGCCAGAAAUGGGUUGCAUUUUCAGCAAAGGCCAAGACGCAGACCACCCAGCAGCACGCCAACUCCAUGAUGCAAUUCUUGGUAGAACUUAUGAGGAUGUUAAGUUACAUUAUACUAUUGGCAAAGAAUUGGGUAGGGUGAAUUUGGUAUAACUUAUCUUUGUACUGAGAAUUCAACCGGCUUGCAGUUUGCUUGCAAGUCUAUUUCUAAAAGAAAAUUGGUAAAAGAUUAUGAAAAGGAUGAUGUAAGAGGAGAGGUUGAGGUAAUGCAAUAUUUGAGUGGGCAGCCUAGUAUAGUUCAAUUCAAGGCUGCUUAAGAGGAUGACCAAUUUGUGCAUAUUGUUAUGGAACUAUGUGCUGGUGGUGAGCUAUUUGAUCGAAUUGUUGCCAGGGGCCAUUAUAGUGAGAGAGCUGCGGCUUCUGUAUUGAGGGUAAUUAUGGGUGUUGUGAAUGUUUGCCACUGUAAGGGUGUUAUGCACAGGGACCUCAAACCUGAGAAUUUCUUGUUCACUAGCUGGGAUGAGAAUGCUCUUUUGAAGGCCACUGAUUUUGGGUUAUCAGUGUUCUUUGAAGAGGGUAAAUUUCUCUUCCUUCCUUGCAUAUUAUUUGUGUUCAGAUUUUAUGUAGCAGUCUCUCGUGCUAGUAGGGCUUAGGCUUCGUUGAUAUAACUUUUCAAAUAAAAUUUAUUUAAAUGAAGUUUUUAUUAGUAGACUUUCUACGAGUAGAAUUUUUACUAAAAAAUUUUAGUUAUUUAGUUAUCAAUGAAAAUUUUUAUUAAAAAUUAUAAAAUUAUCUUAAUAGGUAAGUUAUUUAAAGUUAUAUUAUGAAAUUAAUAAAAUAAGAUUAUGAAAUAAAUUAAAGAUGUUUUAGUUAAUAUUUUAAAAAAUCUUUUCAACCUUACUCUCAAAAGUUCAAAAUUUGAGUUUGUACUGGUGGAGGCAAAAUAGCUUAUGGGAUUAAUUAAGCACUUAUGGCCAUUAGAUAAGUCAUACCAAAUAGGCACUUGAUGUGUUGAUUUAAUGAUUUAGAUGAAACCAUAAGAAAAUAAUGCAAAACUCUUAGGAUCACCAUGAAGGGCAUCUUUAAUAAAUCUAGCUAUUAAUGCAUCCUUUUUUUAUUAUCCCAUGAUAUGUUUUUGCAGGAAAGGUAUACAGAGAAAUAGUUGGAAGUCCUUACUAUAUUGCUCCUGAAGUGUUACUGCAAAGUUAUGGGAAGGAAGCAGACAUUUGAAGCACAGGAGGUACAUAGUAUAUUUUACUGUGUGGUGUACCUCCCUUUUGGGCAGGUGAAAAUUAAUAUUCAUUUUGCACCCUAUUGGAUCUCUUUUCAAUUCAACAACCUAUUUGUGUUUCUUACUAUCAACUAAGAGUAUAGAGUGUAACUAAAAUCACUCUGAAUUUUUUAUGUGCUCUGCAGAAAUGGAUCAGAGAGUUGAUGCUGCUAUAUUGAAAGGAGAAAUUAACUUUCAACGUGAUCCAUUUCCGUCUGUAUCAAGCAGUGCCAUAGAGUUGGUUCACAGGAUGCUAACACAGGAUCCAAAAAGGCGGAUUAUUGCUGCUCAAGUUGUAGUUAUAAAGCAUCAGAUCCUCAUGUAAUUAAUUUUUCUUAGUUAUUCUAUCCAUGCUGCUUUGAUUACUGCAAGUUAAAAUUUAUUAGUCCAUUUAAUAAUAUGAAUGGUAUAGCUACCACUGAAAAAUGAAUAUAACAUGCAGAGCACCCUUGGCUUAAAGAAAGUGGAGAAGCGUCAGAUAAGCCCAUUGACACUGCUGUCAUUUUCAGGAUGAAGCAAAAUACGGCAAUGAAUAAACUAAAGAAACUUGCACUAAAGGUAUGUCUAAGGCCCACGAAUCCUUCCUAAAUGAGCUUAAACUUGAGAAAUACAUGAAUAGGAUUGAUAGCUAUAAAGGAAAGUGUUGAUGCGAGAUUCUGGUUGUCCUCGUUCUACGACCAGGCUCUCUGCUCGAUCAACUUCACCACGACCAGGAGGUCUCCUCGUAAGGCUUCUUCUCCAGAGGCUCCUGCGCACACAGACAAGUCAGAGUACGCCGGUUGUUUUCCCGGCGCAAACCCUCCGACGCUCAAGUCAGAUAUGAAGGUUCGGGGAACGCUUGCCACAGAUCUUAUGGCUUUUGGGUAGUUUUCUCUUCUUUAGAAUUGCUUUUAUCUUUCUUCUAAUCUCAAAAUUGCUAACCCUUUUACCUUCGUUGGCUACCUUUUUAUAAGCUUCCUCUGAAUCCCAGUUUUCCGCAGUCUACGUCUGUUAUCCUCAGUCUACGUCCGUUAUCCUCCCACCUCUCGAACGUGGAUUCCUCAUUUCCGUAGUCGUGGGUGGUUGCGUGGCCUUCGUGCCUAGAUUCUUGGGCUGGAGAGCAUGCCUCGCCAACUGUCGUUGACCGGGUCUCCUCGAAUCAACCCUCAGCGAGAAUACAGCAGGAAUGGCUUUAUGCCUCUUACAGGAAAUUGGCCUCGCAGAUGACGUGCUCGUGGAUGAGCAGGAUAUUCCUACCCCUGUUCCCCUGCUACCUGGCUCUUACAGGACAUACCUGCUCGCAGAAUUCUGCCACUAAACAUCUGCUCAUCACGUCUGGUCUCGUCGGAGUAUUUCCCUCAAACACCGGUCCCCCAGUUUCUGGUGUUGGGUAAUGUAGUGGACCAGCAGUAGAAACUUGACAGUACUUGCUCGCGUGGGAUUGGAAAAGGCUGCCAAGAGUCAUAUCGCAUUUAAUUGCGGACGAGGUGAUGUGGUAGAAAUCUGCCCCUCUAUUCAAAUUUCAAACCAACGGUUACCAGGCCCUUGGGAUUUAGUGCCGUUAAAUGCUGGCAACCCAAGAGUCCGUCCCCAUUAGGAAACCUAAAUCCUUUCAAACAGCAAAUUCAUCAUUCCCUCCGUCUCCGUCUCUGUCUCUCCAGCAAAGAAGUUCCGGCAUACAGGCCUCCAUCUCUGUCUUUCACCGACUGAAUCAUUACUUCAGGUAUUUCUUCUAUCUCCUUGGUCUCGGAUAGUUGUAGAUAAUUUCUCUUCUCUUUUGUUCGGGUAGUAGUUGGUGGUGGUGUUGUGGUUAGAGUUUAGGGAAUGUCGAGAGGUAAAGAGAAGGUUAUUGAGGUUGACGACGAUGAGUUGGACUUCCUGCCUAGUCUGCUCACUGAUCCUGCUUUUGACCCCGGGAUCCCCUUAGAGCCCAUUAGAUCUGGUGUCGGCACUAGCGCUAGGAGGAUGUCUCCCCAAACAACCUCUUUGAGCAGAAAUAGUGAUAAAGAGGGGUCUUCUGGCUCGGAAAACACCCUGAGUGAGGGCCGAGGAGAUGAUUCUGGCGAGGUGUCCUCAUCAGGAGCGUCGCGACCAGAAGGGCGGAGUACAAUAGGAGGUAAAGCCCUAUCGCGGGAUUACGCUAUUGAUUACAUGACAUGUAUGACCACAUUCAACGAGCUGGAUGACCUCCGGCUCAGGUAUAGCAUUCCUGGUGAAAUUCCUCUCAAAAUCUGAGGAAAGAAUGAUACACCUAGCCGGCCUCCUAGGGGAUACGUUACCCUGUUUCUGGAAAGCUUUAAGUUUGGGCUAAGGUGUCCCUUAUAACCCUACUUUGCCCGUAUACUUAACGGGCUGAAUCUGGCUCCUGGUCAGCUGAACCCAAACGGUUGGAGAGUACUUUCUGGUUUGUUCAUAUUGUGGGACAGAUGUUGCCAAAGCGAGCCCACAGUUGAUGAGGUGAAGCACCUGUACCAGCUAAAAAACAGCCCCAAAGAUGCCGGCUGGUACUACUUUCAAUCUAGUACCAAAACCAGGAGACCCAUAACCGACCUCCCUGCUGGUGGUGGUGGGAAUUGGAAGAGGAAAUUCUUUUUUGCUGGGGGUCCUUGGGGUCAAGUUGCACAAAUAAACGGGAAGGAUUAUCGCGUCCCACCCCGUUUCACGGUCCCAGGUUGCCUACUCGCUUUAGAUGUCUUGUAUCCGUAAUUGUUCUCGCUUUGUUGGUUUGUCUCUAACCAAGUGUCUGUUUGUGUUGUAGUUUCUUGGGGUGUUCAUUUCUCACUCAAACCUGACCAGCUCAAACGGGUCGAGGCUGUGCUAGCCAAUUCCUGCUCGAGCCAAGAGCUGAUAACUACAUACAACUUGCUCGAGUCUCGCUUGAUACUCCCUGGUCAUAAGAUGGAGGACGCUGUGAUUGGGGCUCUGAACAGGAAACGUUCUCGACCUCAAACCACGAAGAGGGACCAGAAUAAGGACGCCCCUACUGCAAAGCGGGCCAACAUCCUACAGUAGGUCUCUCCCUUGAAGACUUUACCUCCUGCUCCUGCCAAAGUCGGGGAAACUAGUGGAGGAGCAGCCACCGAUCCUGCUUCUUCUUUUCCUCCUGUCGAGCCUCGAUCUCGCUUACCCGACAGCCGAGCAGAACACUUGGUCCCCUAUCUCAAUGAGUUAUCUAAAUUCGUGAGCAAGAAGGACCUGGAGGACUUUGAUGGCUGCACUCUGGGCGAGCUGGUGAGAGCCAUGCAGUAUAGCGCUUUCCAUCUCAGCUGCAUGACCACCUACUAUAAGGCCAAGGUCGGCCGUUAUGACAGGAAGAUGAAGGAGGACAUUCAGUUAGCGAUGACCAGAGCUGACGGCGCCGAGAAGAAAGUAGGAGCGCUGAAUGUCGAGAACCUGAAGCUGAUAGAGCAAGAAUCUCUUGCUCAAGCGAAAGCCAUUACCCUCGAAGAGGAGCUGACCAAGGUCAAGGAGGAUCUUCAAAGGCAGAAGGCUAUGUAUGAGGCUCAGCUCGAAUCUCUCUGUGAUUCCCACCGGGUUCAGGUCGAGAACUUAGAGAAGGAGGCUGACAACCAGUACGACCAGGGACUUCGGCAUUCCUAUCGUUGCAUCAUGGCCGUCCUCGGGAAGCAACACCCUGAUCUCAAGAUGGAUGACUUUGCAGCUGGUGUUGCUCAACAUAUGGACGAUGAGGCGGCCAAGGAAGACGCUGAAGGGGUAGAGCCGAUCGUGAUUGAGGAGGAAAACUCUCCUCCUCGUGUAGUACCUGCUGAUGUUGGCGAGGCGAGCACCCCCCCGGACGCAACUGGUGAUACCCUCCCUGCACCUGAGGAGGUUCAGCCAACCGAUGCUGCUCGGCUUACUGAUCUACCAUCUUCUUGAUAUAUUUCUUGUAUUGUAAUGAACAAUGUUUGUGAAGAUUAUCUCCUCUGUUAAUUAUUAACAAAUUAAUAAAGAUAUUUUUGAUUACUUUCUUGUGUUGUAAUCAUGAGUUAUUUUUCGUUUGAGAAUCUGCUCGUCUUUGUCUGGGCGAGCAGGUUCUGGCUUGGCACACGGUUUUGCCACAUGCCUUUGAAAAUUCUUCAAUGCUUGGGAUUCUGCUCGCCUUCGCGUGGUCGAGCAGAUCCUGGCAUGCUUGGCUUCUGGUCUCGCCAUAAGACAGGCUUUGAGACUUGGUGAGCCUUCGCAUGCCUUAGGAAUUUUUUCGAAUGCUUUGGAGUCUGCUCGCCUUCUCGUGGUCGAGUAGAUCCUGGCAUGCUUGGCUUCUGUCUCGCCAUAAAACAGGCUUUGAGACUUGAUGAGCCUUUGCAUGCAUUUGAUUCUUCAAGGAUUGGGAUUCUGCUCGCCUUCUCGUGGUCGAGCAGAUCCUGGCACGCUUGGCUUCUGUCUCGCCAUAAAACAGGCUUUGAGACUUUGGUGAGCCUUUGCAUGCCUUUGAUUCUUCAAGGAUUGGGAUUCUGCUCGCCUUCUCGUGGUCGAGCAGAUCCUGGCACGCUUGGCUUCUGUCUCGCCAUAAAACAGGCUUUGAGACUUUGGUGAGCCUUUGCAUGCCUUUGAUUCUUCAAGGAUUGGGAUUCUGCUCGCCUUCUCGUGGUCGAGCAGAUCCUGGCACGCUUGGCUUCUGUCUCGCCAUAAAACAGGCUUUGAGACUUUGAUGAGCCUUUGCAUGCCUUUGAUUCUUCAAGGAUUGGGAUUCUGCUCGCCUUCUCGUGGUCGAGCAGAUCCUAGCACGCUUGGCUUCUGUCUCGCCAUAAAACAGGCUUUGAGACUUUGAUGAGCCUUUGCAUGCCUUUGAAAUUUUUUCGAAUGCUUUGGAGUCUGCUCGCCUUCACGUGGUCGAGCAGAUCCUGGCAUGCUUGGCUUCUGUCUCGCCAUAAAACAGGCUUUGAGACUUGACGAGCCUUUGCAUGCCUCAGAAAUUUUUUUGAAUGCUUUGGAGUCUGCUCGCCUUCACGUGGUCGAGCAGAUCCUGGCAUGCUUGGCUUCUGUCUCGCCAUAAAACAGGCUUUGAGACUUGGUGAGCCUUUGCAUGCCUUAGUGAUUUCUUCGAUGCUUGAGGAUUCUGCUCGCCUUCGCGUGGUCGAGCAGAUCCUGGCAUGCUUGGCUUCUGUCUCGCCAUAAAACAGGCUUUGAGACUUGAUGAGCCUUUGCAUGCCUUGGAUAAUUUCUUCAAAGCUUGGGAUUCUGCUAGCCUUCUCGUGGCCGAGCAGAUCCUGACAUGCUUGGCUUCUGUCUCGCCAUAACCAGGCUUUGAGACUUGACGAGCCUUUGCAUGCCUUAGAUGAUUUCUUCAAAGCUUAGGAUUCUGCUAGCCUUCUCGUGGCCGAGCAGAUCCUGGCAUGCUUGGCUUCUGUCUCGCCACAAAACAAGCUUUGAGACUUGGUGAGCCUUUGCAUGCCUUAGGUAAUUUCUUCACAGCUUGGGAUUCUGCUAGUCUUCUCGUGGCCGAGCAGAUCCUGGCAUGCUUGGCUUCUGUCUCGCCAUAAACAGGCUUUGAGACUUGGUGAGCCUUUGCAUGCCUUAGGUAAUUUCUUCACAGCUUAGGAUUCUGCUAGCCUUCUCGUGACCAAGCAGAUCCUGGCAUGCUUGGCUUCUGUCUCGCCAUAAACAGGCUUUGAGACUUGACGAACCUUUGCAUGCCUUAGAUGAUUUCUUCAAAGCUUGGGAUUCUGCUAGCCUUCUCGUGGCCGAGCAGAUCCUGGCAUGCUUGGCUUCUGUCUCGCCAUAAAACAGGCUUUGAGACUUGGUAAGCCUUUGCAUGCCUUAGUGAUUUCUUCGAUGCUUGAGGAUUAUGCUCGCCUUCACGUGGUCGAGCAGAUCCUGGCAUGCUUGGCUUCUGUCUCGCCAUAAACAGGCUUUGAGACUUGGUGAGCCUUUGCAUGCCUUAGAAAUUUUUUCGAUUCCCAGUGACUGAAUUUCCUCGACAUUCUAUCAAAUGCAGGAUUCAACUUACAUGGAAUUAUUUUUUCAUAAAAUAUAAAAAUAAAAGAUAAAGAUCACGAGCAGAAAUUGCUUUAAAAUGUGAACAAGUCUUACUGGAAGUAUUUUCGGAGGUGUGCUGCGUUCCAUGGGCGUUUCACCUCGUGGCCGUCCGUGCGAACCAGCUUGUAAGCUCCGGGUCCCACCAUCUGCUUGACUCUAUAUGGCCCUUCUAGUUUUCUACUCGGGUAUCGAGGGAUGUUAUCUGCAUUGCUUCCCUUGCUGCCGACGAGUAGCAGCUUCUUGCGAUCCUCUGGUCUCCUCGUACCACUCUAACUACCCCAUUCACCCGGUACUUCAGAGCCAGAUAAUGGUUGGACAGCACUGUUUCCUCUGCAUUCGCCACCCCGUCGUCCUCGUCAAAAAUCUGCCUUGCCGGGGACUGCUCUUCCUCUCUAUGGAAUUCUCCCUGCAGGGGUAUAUUACCUCUCUCACCACCAAGUCUCCCGGUGGUUUGACUUCUCCUCGUGCUACCGGGAUCUGGUGCCACUCCACCUCCUCUCACCCUUUCUUCCUGGGUUACCCUUCGUUCGCUCCGCAGCUCAUGCAGAAUGGUUGUCAAGGACUCCAUCUGCUUUUCCAUCCGUUCCAUCCGGUCGAACAUGGCUUUUUCCCAUGCUUCACUGGCUAUCUCCCUUAGUGUCACGGAAUCGUUAAGCCUCAUAUCACCCCCUUGUGCACUACUUCCUCCUGCCUCCAUUGCUUUUCAGUUACUUCCCCUCACUUCUUGCUAUCAACAGAAGCUUUUUGCUCAACUCCCCACAGACGGCGCCAAAAUGUUGAUGCGAGAUUCUGGUUGUCCUCGUUCUACGACCAGGCUCUCUGCUCGAUCAACUUCACCACGACCAGGAGGUCUCCUCGUAAGGCUUCUUCUCCAGAGGCUCCUGCGCACACAGACAAGUCAGAGUACGCCGGUUGUUUUCCCGGCGCAAACCCUCCGACGCUCAAGUCAGAUAUGAAGGUUCGGGGAACGCUUGCCACAGAUCUUAUGGCUUUUGGGUAGUUUUCUCUUCUUUAGAAUUGCUUUUAUCUUUCUUCUAAUCUCAAAAUUGCUAACCCUUUUACCUUCGUUGGCUACCUUUUUAUAAGCUUCCUCUGAAUCCCAGUUUUCCGCAGUCUACGUCCGUUAUCCUCCCACCUCUCGAACGUGGAUUCCCCAUUUCCGUAGUCGUGGGUGGUUGCGUGGCCUUCGUGCCUAGAUUCUCGGGCUGGAGAGCAUGCCUCGCCAACUGUCGUUGACCGGGUCUCCUCGAAUCAACCCUCAGCGAGAAUACAGCAGGAAUGGCUUUAUGCCUCUUAUAGGAAAUUGGCCUCGCAGAUGACGUGCUCGUGGAUGAGCAGGAUAUUCCUGCCCCUGUUCCCCUGCUACCUGGCUCUUACAGGACAUACCUGCUCGCAGAAUUCUGCCACUAAACAUCUGCUCAUCACGUCUGGUCUCGUCGGAGUAUUUCCCUCAAACAGAAAGUGAUAAAGCUUAUAUCUCAAGCACACAUGACAAAUAAUAUACACAUGUCAAAAGAUUCUCCAAAUUAUAAUGUAUGUGAAUCUAUACAUGAUGACAUUGUUCACAUAUUCAUGAUGACAUUUUAAUUCUAAACAUUAUAACAGAAAUUUAUAUGACUGAAAAUCAUGAGUUACAUGUUUGAUUGAAAUUUUGCAUCUACACUUCCUCAUCAACAAGGUUUAACUGUAUUGUUGUAUUUUGAAAACUUGUGCAAGCCAAUAAAAAUUUAUGCGUUCUUUAGGUCAUUUUGGAAAAUCUUCCUACCUAAGAAAUAUAAAAGCUAAAGGAAAAAUUUACAGAGAUGGACACUGACAACAAUGGCACUCUUACGAUGAAUUGAGGGAAGGAUCAACUAAACUUGGGUCGACGCUUACAGGAUUUAAUGCCAAGCAGUACAUGCAAGCUAUAAGUAACUCAUGAACUCUGAGUUUAUCACUUUAUCCCACUGUCUGUCUAUUUGCAUUAUACCCAGCUGAUAUAUUUGGCUCUGCAUUUUCUUCAGGCUGAUAUAGAUGGAAAUGGGACUAUUGACUACAUUGAGUUGGUUGGACCAAAACCAGCAAGAAACCGAUUUUAAUUCCCCAAGACCCACUCAAUCAAUAUUUAAUCUAUGAAUGGUUGAUAACCAACACGAGCUUGACGAUGAUACUGAUAUGAUAAUCAAGAAACACAGAAACCAAGCCAACGAUAAACGGAAACAAUCACACACAUAAACACAAGAGGAUUAUAGACCUACAUCCACUGUGAAAAGGAAAACAAGCUUUCACUGAUUUGGCUUUUCAAGAUACAAAUACUGUAGAGAAACUGUCACAUUCUCGAUCUAGCCACAUAACAAAUCAUGAGGCUUAAUAUACAGCAAAAGAUUGCUCUAGAAACAGCCCCCAGAAGCCAGCACAUCGUUACUGGGUCUGUUUGUAACGAACCCAGAAAUUUCCUGCUCUUUUUAACAGCUUUACCAGCCGUUUAAAACAGCCACUGGACACGUGUUACAAUUUCGUCAGAAACGCUGCCUCCACCUGCCGUUUGGAGCAAGUAAUUCACGUGUUUCAUCACAUGCCCAACUUAUUCAACCGGCUGACUGAGUAGACUCGUCAUACAGCUUCCUAAUUCGAUAUAACCGACAUGUCAUCUAUAUCUAGAUUAACAAUAUGACACGUCGCACGCGGCCACAACCUCGGAUUUGUGCCUCAUUUCUCAAUAGAGUUAUAACAGCUACGAUGCAAAGGCACAGGCUAGAAAGAUGUGAAAUUCUUUACAAAGCCUUGCAGUACUUUGACAAGGCUAGUAACGGGUAAGCUUCUCAUUUUAUUUUUAUUACUGUAGAAGCAUGUUGACUAGUAUUUGGAUCCUCAGGUUUAUCAUGAUUUGAAGGGAAAAUGACAUUCAACCCCCCAACGUUUAGGAAAAGGGACAAAAAAACUCCUCAACGUUUCAAAAAAGACUUAUAACCCCCUUUCCGUUAACAAACACCGUUUGUUUUAAUAGUAAAUUUAUUUUUUUUAAUUACUAUUAUACCCUUAUAAUAAAUAUAAAUUAAUAUAUUGAUUUGAGACAUGUCACAAUUAAUAAUUUUUUUAAAACUAAAAAUUGAGAUACAAUUACAUUUUUUCCCAAAUUAUUUGCUAUAAAUUAUACCUUUCUAAUGAUCAAACCUUUCAUAUGUGAUUAUUACUAAUAAAACGAAAUUUGAUUAAACCCUUUUUUCUUUGAGAAAUCAAAACCAUUACACUAGAUUGACUUGACGGCGACACUUAUAGUGAGAGAUAAAGUUCCACGUGUUCUUUGGAAGAAGUUUUGGUUAGUAUCCAUGUUCAUCGUACUGCAGUUGCUAAUUUUCUUUUUUCUUUUUUUGUAAUUUUUUAUUAUAAAAAUAAAUAUAAAUGAUUUCAUUAUCAUGAAAAGAAUCUAUGUUCAAACAUUGAACCAGAAUUAUACGGCUUUUUUUUGGGCUUCUUGGUAUAUAAGUUUUGGAUUUUUGGGGUUUUGGGUAUGUAGGUGGCUGGGUUGUUUUUUAUUUGUCCUGAUACUUCGUUUUGGUGCUGAAAAUUAAUGAUUUUUUUAUUAGUUUAUUUUGGUUUGAGAUGAGUGCUAGUGAAUUAGUUAAUAUUUAUUGUACAUUUGAUUAAGGAAUCGAGAGUUUUUUUUAAAAAAAAACCAUACUUUAUUGAUUUGGUCAAAACUUAAAAGAACGAUUCCAACCCACGCUAGCUAGAUGACAGUUGUUAAUUGUGAUAUAUCUCAAAUUAAUAUAUUAAUUUAUUUAUUAUAAGGGUAUAACGUAUAAUAGUAAUUAAAAAUAAAAAAUAAAUUUACUUUUAAAACAAACGGUGUUUGUUAAUGGAAAGGGGAUUAUAAGUUCUUUUUGAAACGAUGAGGGGUUUUUUAUCCCUUUUUUUAAAUGUUGGGGGGUUGAAUGUCCUUUUCCCUGAUUUGAAUGAGGGAUAUUAAAAACAUACGCCCUUCAUUAACUUGCUUAAAUUGAAUGGGUUAUAUCUAGAGUCAAUUGACGAAUUAAUGAAGUUCUUAUUCUAAAUGGCUAUGUAGAUAUAUCAGGUAGAUAAACUUGGAAAAGCUUUUUAAGAUUAUGGCAUGGGUCAUGAUGCCACAAUUGCCACAAUUAAAGAAAUAAUGUCUGAAGAUGACAGAGACAAAGUGAGUUGAUUUAUAUUUUUGGAGGGCAUUAGUCAUUUGUCUGCAUUAUUGCAAGCCAAUUCCCACACCUUUAAUUUGUGUUUACAGGAUGGUAGAAUCAGCUAUGAUGAAUUUCGUCCAAUGAUGAAAUGUGGAACCUAACUGUGAGCAUUGUCUUCUAGAUCUCUAGACACAAGGCAUUCUGCUAGGCUGUGUUGUUAUUCAACGUUUUAUGCAUAUGUUUUUGUAAAUUUUGUUAUUGAAGUUUUGUGAGUGUAAAAGAACAAUAAUAGCCAUAAGCAGAAUUGUACAAAAUUACCUUCUUCCCUUUUAGUUAGUAUAAAUAAGUAUUUUUAGUAGCUUUUACACACGGGGAAUUUGAUUUUCAACAAUAUUUUCAAUUUUUAAAUAUUUAUGUAAAUAUUUAAAUUAGUUAAUUCUCAAUAUUUUGUGGAAUAAACGAGUUAACCCUUAAAUUUAUAGAAUUUUUUAAAAUGUGAAUAUAUAUAUAUUUUUUAUUUUAAUAUUCUCUAAAAUCAAUAAAAUAUUAGAAUCUUAAACUUCCGAUACACCUUCUUUUCAUGACAACGAUUAAGCUUGCUUGAUUUGCCUAAAAUGUUAAAUGCUAAGUUGCGUGUUGUCGUUGCAUUCGAAUACGCCACUUAAGCUUAUGAGGAAGACGAAUUAGAGGAUAAUGUCAAGUCAGUCAAUAUGCUGACAUAAGCAAAACUGUAAACGGCAAUGAUUCUUCAACGACUUUGAAAACUUCCCUCUUUUUGUCAAUCAAUUUCUUCAAGUUUAGGCUUCGUUCAGAGAUGGAGAGGAGACCAGCAAAGAGAGAAAAAGAUUAGGAAAAAAAAAACUAAAUUGUUUGUAUUAAAUUAUUUGCAAGUUUAAGGUUGCUUUUGUCUUUUUUCUGUAAUAAUAGAUAAUAUUAGGGGCAAAUACAAUACAUUCAUCAGUCAACUAUGGUUUGACCAUAUAAAUAAAACAAAAAGCCAAUGACAUGAGGGUGGAGUGGUGACUUUUCCAAUAAUUGGGGUGCAAUAAAAGAAAAAUAUAUGUAUUUUUACAAAUUAUUUUAAAUAUUAAAUACAAUUAUCUUCAUAUUAUUAAUCUGUUAAAAAAUUUUCAUUGGUAAUAUUAAUUUUUGUAUUAAUUAUAAAAUUUUCUUAAAAUAAUGAAUUAUGUAGGCUACGUGUAUAUUUGAGACUUUAAAGUGUAAUGCAACUUCUGAAAAUUGAAACUUAAAAGAUAUUAUUUAAUUUAUUAUUUUUUUUAAUUUAUGGAGAGAAUUAAAAAAAAUGAACGGAAUCUUUUGUUAUUCAUUGCUUGUGCCCUGGGGAAGGUUCCAAAAUUCCAAUUUUUAUAACCCCCUUUUGGAUCCAGCUGCCUUCCAACCGUUGCAAGGUACUACAACUUUUCUUCUGAAAAAGAAAAAGUACCACAACUUUUGUCUUUUUUGUGUGUUAAUUUUGAUUUGGCCCCUUGCUUUCCCUUUUAUUUUCCAUUUAUUUAUAACUGCAAUUUUAUUUAACUCUACUCCAUAGGUGGCCCAAUUUUUUCUAUUUUCAAUCAUAAUCAACAAAAGUCAACUUGACAUCAUUUAUUGCAAAAAUUGAAGAACCCUAACCUUAAUCUUAAACCUGUUUUGGCGAAAUCCCAUAUCAAUUAAAAUUAAAACAUAUAAUUCAAAAAAAAUAUAUGAAUUGAUGGUGACAAAAUAAAUUUAUCAAAAAAAACCACUAAUAGGUAUCUAAAACGUGAUGUUCUUGGUGAAAGUAUAUAUGAUGUAAUUUACUAAGGAAUUGGUACUGAGGUAAAAUCCUAUUUCUUUUUCAAAAUUGAUUGAAUUUUUUCUUAAUUGACCUUUUAAUUUGUAAUCUCUCUCUCUCUCUCUCUCUCUAUAUAUAUAUAAGAAUAUAAGAUUAUUUGCUAAAUUAUUUUUGUUUAUGGAUAGUGGGUAAUAGAGUUAGCAAUUAGGAUGUACUAAUUGAGAUUGACCAUUACCAAGCCCUUUCGAUUGUUUGAUUGGAAUAUAAAAUUGUACUGAAUCUAUACUUAUUAUUUCAUCAGGACAAAAAAAGUAUUGAAUUCCUACUGGUCGAAAUACAAGUAUCGUCUCAACUAUCCCGAAUUUCUAAAUAUUCCAAGUGUAAAUUAGCUCAAAUACAAUUAAUAUAAAGAAAUUUUAUGUAGUCACUUGUAUCAAAUAUUUAAUUUACAAAUCAAGCUGAAAAAAAAAAUUAGAAAGUUACAAGUUCUGUCACCAACAAAAACAAAAACAUCCAAAAGUUUCAAGGACAAAUCAAAACAAACAUCCAAAAGUAUAAGAAUAAGUUGACAAUAAACGAAACCAUUCAAAAGUGUUGUCUUCAACUUUAAAUUUUAACUUCAAAGGACAUGAAACCUUCAUUUUCUCAAGGCAUCGUCAACUUUGUGCAUCAACUGGAAAAAAAAAAAAAAAAGGUCAUUUGUUAAUUGAUACGUUAUGUCAUGGCACUAGUGGUGUGGAUUAUGCAGUGAUGUGAGAUGGUGGAAUGACCAUCGUGUGAAAGGCUACUUUUGGGUUUCAAUUUGAGAAUUAGGUUGCAAAUUUCUUGAUGGCUUUUGAGAAUUGUGUUGUUGUUGUCGUUAUUUUGCUUAAUUUUUAUUUAAUAAAAAUAGGUUAAUGAAUUUAAAAAAAAUAAACCAUAAGCUAUUAAUGAUUAGGCUGUAGGAGUAUAAAAGCAAGCAUUGGGCUUGUCCUUUAGCCAAAUUUUGACUGGUUUUAUUUUUAAAACUUUAAUUAAAUUAGAAAUUAAAACAAUUUGAUACAAUUAGGAUUCCGUAGGGAUCCCCGAUCGAAUUCUUGACUAGUCUUGAGUUUUAAUAAGAAUAAAUUUAGUCUCAAAUCCCUCUCUAUUUUAUCAUUUCUCAAAUCAUAUACCAUAUCAUGUACUGUUUGGUACGUGAUUUGGGAUUCCAAUUGGAAUUCAGUUUUGUCUACCAAACUUAAUUGACAAGAGAGUUUUAAUUAGUUGUUUGAGAAUGUUAUGUUAAUUCACAAAGUUAUAAUAAUCUACAAUGUAUUACUUUGGAAUAGUAAAUCUCCUAGUAUUUAGCUUAUUUGGGUGCAUAGAUUCAUUAAAUUAAUUAAUAUCAAUAUAAUUUAAUUAGAAUUGAUGCAUCGUAAUUGCAAAAUUUAUUCUUCUAUUCUUUUGCAAAUGUUAACGUGGUAAACAUUACCAUCAUAAAAGGAGUAGUAAUUGGGAAAUCUCACCACAAUUUGGGUCGAAAAUUAAAUUAGCAAUCUGAAAUUGCAUUUUUCUAUGAUUUUACGUUGAAGCUCCAGCCUUCAGGUACUAAACCAAAUCAAUGGCUUAGGCUAGUGAAAUAGUAGUUUGUUAAUACUUUCUUAACUUGAACUAAUUAUAUCUAUUAUUUGAUUCUAUGAUUCUUUUUUUUUCUUUUUUCUGUUUUAGAUUACUUUUAGUUCCAGUUCAUGGUACAUGAGAUGGAUGAGAUGAAGAAAUUGGGGAUGAUUUUUUAAUUAACUUUUAUUAUUUUAAAUUUUAAUUUUAAGUUCAUUCAAAAAAAUUAAAAUUACUUUUUCUUAUUUAUUAUUUAUUUUUAAUUCAUUCAAAAAAAUUAAAAUUACUUUUUCUUAUUUAUUAUUUAUUUUUAAUAAUGAAAAUGUAAAUGAAAUUUCUCCUAAUUUUAAUUAUCUAAUUAUUUACAAAUUUGAAACAAUACUGACUUAUAUGUUAAAAGUAUUAACUCUUCAAAUUUUUAAAAUUUUCUAAAAUAGAGGGACUAUAAUGUUAAUUACCAAAUAGACACAUCCUUACCGUUGGCACUUGACACUGCUACAAAAAGACAAAAGUGGGGUUCCUCCCGGCAACCCCUGCAAGGUAGCUAGAUCCUCAUUUAGAAUACACUUAUACAAACUGCUUGUCCCGCGCGUUUGUUUUCGCAGACCAUUUCUAACAAAUUGCUUUUAGAGCCAAUAAAUUUCUUACCAGAAAAAGAAAAAAAGCCAAUAAAUUUCAUAUAUACAGUCAGUGUGGUUAAAAGAUAUUAUAUACACAUAUAAAUAUACAGCUGAUGUCUCCCAACUGGGCAAGCUGGAAUUAUUCUUUAUGUUUUAUUUCACUCUUCCUUAAAUUCUCAUUUGAUUCCCUAUAAUUCAUCUUUUAUCUCAACUGGAUUUGUUCCAGUUUACUUUUGUAAAGAUCCAGGCAUCCAGCAGUUGAGCUUGAGCAGAGUCUCUUUGCAGAAAUGGGUGGCUGUUUAAGGAAAAUUCUAUGCUGCUUAAAGCCAGCGGCAGCCCCACAGCAGCAACCACGUGAAGUACGUGAUGCAAACCCAGCAGCAGCCCCACAGCAGCAACCGCCUGAGGUACGUGAUGCAAACCCAGCAGCAGCCCCACAGCAGCAACCACCUGAAGUACGUGAUGCAAACCCAGCAGCAGCCCCACAGCAGCAACCACCUGAAGUACGUGAUGCAAACCCAGCAGCAGCCCCACAGCAGCAACCACCUGAAGUACGUGAUGCAAUUCUAGGUAAACCGUACGAGGAUGUCAAGUUACAUUACACCAUUGGGAAAGAAUUGGGCAGCGGAUCAUCUGCUACUAUAUAUCUUUGUACUGAGAAUUCAACCGGUUUGCAAUUUGCUUGCAAGUCUAUUUCUAAGAAAAAAAUAAUAGCGGCGCAUGAAAGGGACGAUGUAAGAAGAGAGGUUGAGAUAAUGCGACAUUUGAGUGGGCAGCCUAAUAUAGUUCAAUUCAAGGCUGCUUAUGAGGAUGACAAAUGUGUGCAUAUUGUUAUGGAGUAUUGUGCUGGUGGUGAGCUGUUUGAUCGAAUUAUAGCUAGGGGCCAUUAUAGUGAGAGAGAUGCAGCUUCUGUAUUCAGGGUAAUUAUGACUGUUGCGAAUGUUUGCCACUCGAAGGGUGUUAUGCAUAGGGAUCUCAAACCUGAGAAUUUCUUGUUCACCAGCAAGGAUGAGAAUGCUGUUUUGAAGGCCAUUGAUUUUGGGUUAUCAGUGUUCAUUGAAGAGGGUAAAUUUCUUCGCUAUAUAUUACUUAAUACUUAUCGUUUCCAUUAUAGUCACCAUAUAUAUGUUUGUCUUUCAAAUCUUACAUUUACAUACGUUCACGUGAAGCUAGGUUUCGAUGUUCAAUUAUAUCUGAUAAACGAAUGGCAUUCCAAUUUAAUUUCAAUAGAGAAUUAGACAUUUAGUAUGCAGUGAGGCUUCAUGUAUUACUUUAGAUAAAAUCAUCAGAAAAUAUUGUGAAACUCUUAGGAUCACCAUGAAAGGCAUGUUUAAUCUAGCUAUUAAGUUAUCCUUAUCUGAUGAUACCAUGGUGCACUCUCCAGGAAAGGAAUUCAGGGAUGUCUGUGGGAGUGCUUUCUAUGUUGCUCCUGAAGUGUUACGGCGCAGAUAUGGGAAGGAAGCAGAUAUCUGGAGCGCAGGGGUUAUACUGUAUAUUUUACUAUGUGGUGUGCCUCCAUUUUGGGCAGGUGAAGAUGUUCAUUUUGCCCCCUAGAGGAUCUCUUUUCGCGUCAACACACUAUACACGUUUGUUACUAUUAUCCAGAAGUACAGCAGUAACUAAUCACUCACAAGUUAUGAUGUGCUCUGCAGACACUGACGAGGGCAUUUUUGAAGAAAUACGCAAAGGAGAAAUUGACUUUCAAAUUGAUCCAUGGCCAGUUAUUUCAAGCAGUGCCAAGGAGUUGGUUCGCAGGAUGCUGACACAGGAUCCAAAAAAGCGGAUUACUGCUGCACAAGUUCUAGGUAUAAAACAUUAGAUUGUGAAUUUAUUUAGUCCAUUUUACCAAGAGUGUACCACCAUUGAGAGCCGUAUGUAUGAUAUGCAGAGCACCCUUGGCUUAAAGAAAGUGGAGAAGCAUCAGACAAGCCAAUUGACACUGCUGUUCUUUUCAGGAUGAAGCAAUUUAUGGCAAUGAAUAAACUAAAGAAACUCGCACUAAAGGUAAGUCUAAGGGCCGCCUCUGAUCCUGCCCUUCUGAAUCUUAUCGGAGUGUGGUCAUGAUUUGCAUGUUUGAUUAAAUUUUUACAACUCUCAUCAGCAUGUUUUAUUUCAAAGCUUUAGUAUAUCUUAUAAACUAAGUGCAAGUCCAAUGAAUGUAUGCAUAGGAUUGUGCUCCCCCAGCCCUAUCGGUAAACUAAUUUGAUCAUAAACAUAAUUGUAAAGGUCAUUGUGGAAAAUCUUCCAACUGAAGAAAUACAAAAGCUCAAGCAAAAAUUUACAGAGAUGGACACUGACAAGAGUGGUACACUUAGUUACGAUGAACUGAAGGCAGGAUUAGCUAAACUUGGAUCGACGCUUAGAGAAGUUGAUGUCAAGCAGUACAUGCAAGCUGUAAGCAAUUCAUCAACUCCGAAUUAAUAUUUUAGUCUGUCUGUUUGCAUUAUCUUGGCUGAUGUUUUUGGCUCCACAUUUCAGGCUGAUAUAGAUGGAAACGGGACUAUUGACUACAUUGAAUUUAUCACGGCUACAAUGCAAAGACACAAGCUAGAAAGAUUCGAACAUCUUGACAAAGCCUUUCAGUAUUUUGAUAAGGACAAUGAUCGGUUAGUUUCUCGUUCUAAAAUGUAAAAUUAAAGAACGACCCUUUGGCACUUUGAAUGUGCUGUAUACAGCCCAAUGAAAGCCUUUUUCAUGCUUUUUGGAUAAUAUGUACCGAAACAUAAAUAAUAUUAUCAAAAUUUAAUUUAAAAAAAUAAGAAAAACAUCUUUUUGUGGUGGCUUUUAUAAUUGCUUAAAAAGAAAACUCACCACUAAAUCAAUAUCAGAAGUCAUUGAAUUGAUUACUGCAGUUCUUUCUGAAAAUGCGUGUGCAGCUAUAUCACAGUCGAUGAACUGGAAACAGCAUUUAAAGAGUACAACAUGGGUGAUGAUGCCACAAUUAAAGAAAUAAUGUCUGAAGUCGAUAGAGACAAAGUAAGUUGAUUAUGACUUUUCAACACGUUUAAUUUGUCCGCAUUGUUAUUGUUAUAAGCAUGGUUCUCACAUCUUUUGUGUUUACAGGACGGUAGGAUCAGCUAUGAUGAAUUUUGCGCAAUGAUGAAAAGGGGAACACAACGGCGAGGAUUCGCUUCUAGAUCUCUGGCUCAUGUUGUUACCAUGAGACACAAGAAGUAGAUAAACUGUACGUGCCAUUCAAUAGUUUCCAAGAACAUGAUGUUAUACUUGUCUAAACUAAACAAGGCAUCACGGUGCCGCUAGCCCUGUGGUGAAUUGUUGUCUUCAGAUUCUAAGCGAGUCCCCAUGCGGCUCAAAUUGCUACCCUUACUAUGGUGAGUGCAGCAAUUCACUUGAGUCCAGUGGUGCCAUGAUAUCUUGUUUAGUUUAGAUAAGUAUAACAUCGAGUUCUUGGAAUCUUGGAUCCAAUUGUAUAGUACGGAUUGAACCUACUUCACGAUUAUUUCGACGAUAUCGACAUAUCAUCAUUCCUUUUUUUUUGUGAAUAAUUUGACCUGUAAAUAAAUUAUGCAACUUGAAAGUUGUACGGUAUCGAGUGUUUACCUGACUUAUUAUUAUGUUUGGAAAGAGAGGAGAAGAAUAAAUAUGAACAAAAUCUUUUUUAUACCUAUGCUACCAGAAAUUUAAAAUUUUUAGAGAGACUAACGAAGAAAGCACGAAGCAAAGCGGACAAAUAAGAAGAAUUUAUCAGCCUAGUGGUUAGAAUCCAAGCCUCACAAUUGUGAGGUCAUGACUUCGAAUCCCCACAACGCAUUAUGAGAGUUAAUUUUCUUCCUCAAUUUGAGUGAAGGCAGCCCUCCCUUUUUUUAAAUGUGAGUGGAGUAGACGUCCCUCGGAUAUUAAAGAGGGUUAAAAUUUAGAAUGUGCUGCUCAAGGUUAAAAUCUGUACUGUACUAUAUUGUCUGAUUGUAAACAUUAAUAUCCUAAUCUCAUUAAAUAUGAGUUAUAAUCUGAGCAUUAGUCUCAUAUAAUUAAAUUUUUUUUAAUCAAAAUAACAAUCCAAUCAUCUACAUAUCAGUAAAUUGUUGUUGGUAUUUAUCAAUCUCUGAAUUCAUUUAAUUUAUUCAACCCCAUAUGGAUUUGAUUCGUAUCGUGCAAAAUAACAUUUGACCCGGUAUAAUUGUGUUAACCGAAAAGUAAUUGAACGAUAAAAUUUGUGGAAAAACAAGGCGAAUUGAAAUAUUGUUUCAAAAUAAGGGCCCUAAUGGAGUAUUAUGCUAAAAAGCAGGGGUAUGUGAUAACUGAAAAUGGACUCAAAUUAAUAUUAUUUUUGGACAUUUUUUAGUGAGGUGGCGGCCCAUACAAUGCAACUGGGUAGAGAUGGUAAAAAUACCCGUCCGGUCCGGACCCGGACCGUACCCGGGUGUUGCGGGCCUGGUAAUACUCGGUCCGGAUAUGAAGCCGGGUCGGUCUUGGGCACUUGAUAAACCCGGAAUCCGGAUUUUAUUAAAAAAAUUAUAAAAUAUAUAUUAUUUUAAAUAUUUUAUAUUUAUUUGACUCAUUUAUUAUAUAUAUAUAUAAUUUUAAACACUUAAAGUUUAUAUUUUCAUGUCAAAUUUUAUUGAAAUAAAUUUAAAACUUAUAAAAUUACCAAAAAAUAAAAAAUAUAUACACAUAAAAUAUUAAAAAAUAUAAAAUUUGGAUACCUGGAUUAAAACUCGGCCCAGACCCGGGCCCGGACCGGUUACAUCCGGGCAGGGUCCGGUCAUGGCAAUACCCGGACCCGGCCCGGGAUUUUGCCAUCUCUACAACUGGGCAAGUGCAACUGGCUAAUAUUUCGACCGGGUGGCGUUGUACGCGGCAAAGUGAGUCAACUCAGUCAAUUCUUUUCCGUUUUACUUAAGCAAGAUUUGAGAUUUCCCGGGCAAAGGCUAACCCGACUGCGCCUGAUCUUCUUCUCCCUCAGCACUCUAUAUUCCUUUCAAAGGUGUGUUUUCAUUCUACUUUUUUUUUUCAUAGUUAGUUUGCAUUUUUAAAGAGUAAGUUUGAACUUGGAAUCAUUUUCAAUCUUCUAAUAAGCUUUGUUAACUACUUAGUUCAGUCGUUUAGAAAUAACAAAUAAUUGAUAUCAAUGAUGAGAAAACAUUGUGCAGAUUAUUAAAACUCUAAAGAGGGAUAUAGACAAAUAGUUCAUGUAGGCAGCACAAUGAAUCAGCAAAAUCAUUCCAUAGCCCGCCAUGGAGCUGUGGAAUUAAAAAUAAAUUAUUAAUGAUCAUCUCAAUGAUAAAAUUAGAUUAUAAAAACAUGUAUUAUUAUUUACCAUUGGUCAUAGUACCCCUUCAAUGGUAACCACUUAAAAAAAAAGUUAAAAAAAAAACUCAUGGACUGUAUUGGCAUAUAUGAACAAAAGGCUGUCCAGUCAAACUCUGUAGCAGUACCCCUUUUAUAAUUAUGCGUUCACAUUGAAAAAAAAUCCCAGCAGACAAAACCUUAUAAAUGUGAUGGGUUUGAUUUGAAAAGGCUGCCAGAAAAAAUAAUAUAAUUAGAAAAUGGCAAAUUCACUAAUCAUUACGCAAUAAAGGCCUAAAAUUACGGUUGCUUCCUUCGGGCAUUCGACCUCAUUAACCUAUCAACGCAAGUACGCAACUCACGAAAUUUCUUAUAUCAUUCACAGUAAAUAAUAUUUAUUAAAUAUUUUAGUAUUGUAUCUUUUAAGUUAUAACUGUCUAAUUUAAAUCUUAAAUACACUCUUAAUUUAUUUUUAUUUUUUAAUUUAAGGGGAGAAUAAAAAUAUGAACGGAAUCUUUUGUUAUUCAUUGCUUGUGACAUGGGGAAGGUUCCAAAAUUCCAAAUCUUACAAUCGGGUUACGCCGGCAUCACUCAUUGCAUCCAGCUGCCUUACAACAAUUGUAAGGUACCAUGACUUUGGUCUUUUUGUGUGGUAAUUUUCAUUUGAUCCAUUACUUUCCUUUUUAUUUUUUAUUUAUUUAUAACUGUAAUUUUUUAUUUUCCUCUUUCAUUUUCCCCUCUGCUUCAUAGGUGGCCCCUUUCUUUUUAUUUUCAAAUCAUUAAUCAACAAAAGCCAACUUUGACAUCAUUUAUUGCAGAAAUUGAAGAACCGUAACCUUAAUCUAAAACCCAUUUUGGAGAAAAAUCAUAUCAUCUAAAAUUGAAACAUAUAAUUUAAAAUAUAUAUAUGAGUUGAGAGUGGCAUAAGUAAAUUUAUCAGAGAAAGUCACUAAUAGGUACCUGAAAUGUGAUGUUCUUGGUAAUAUUACAUACAAUGUAGUCUACAAAGGCAUUGAUACUGAGUUAAAAUCUAAUUUUUUUUUUUAAAUUGAUUGAAUUUUUUCUUAAUUGACCAUUUAAUUUGUAAUAUAUAUUAUUUUUGUUUAUGGAUAGUGGGUAAUAGAGUUAACAAUUGGAACGUACCAAUCGAGAUUGACCAACCAAUCCCUUCCGAUUAUUUAUUGGAAUAUAAAAUUGUAUUGAAUCUAUAUUGAUUAUUUAUUCGAAACAAAAAAAGUACUAAAUUCCUACUUAUCAAAAUGCCAAUGUCAUCCCAAUUAUCCUGAAUCUUCGAUUAUUCCAAAUGUAAAUUAGCUCAAAUACAAUUAAUAUAAAUAAAUUUUAUGUUGUAACUUGUAUGAAAUAUUUAAUUAACAAAUCAAACUAAAACAACAUUGAAAAGUUACAAGUUCUAACACCCACAUAAACAAAAACAUAAAAAAGUUCAAGGGCAAUUCAAAGCAAGCAUCUAAAAAUAUAAGCAUAAAUUGACAAUAAACAAAACCAUUCAAAAGUGUUGUCUUCAACUUCAAAUUUUAACUUCAAAGGACGUGAAACCUUCACUUUCUCAAGGCAUCAUCAACUUUGUGUAUCAAUUGAAAAAAAAAAUCAUUUGUUAAUUGGCAUGCUGUGUCGUGGCACUAAUGGUGCGGAUUGUGCAAUGACAUGAGAUGGUGGAAUGGCCAUCGUGUGAAAAGUUGCUUUUGGGUUUCAAUUUGAAAUUUAAGUUCGCAAAUUUCUAGAUGACUUUUAAGAAUUGCGUUCUAAUUAUUAUUAUUAUUAUCAUUAUUAUUGUUAUUGUUGUUGUUAUUGCUUAAUUGUUAUUUUAAUUAAAAUAUGUUAAUGAAUUAAAAAAAUAUAAGCCAUAAGCUAUUAAUGAUUAGGUUGUAGGAGUAUAAAAGCAAGCAUUGGAUUUGGGCUUUAACCAAAUUUUGAAAAGUUUUAUUUUUUAA
rnacentral:lncRNA from 1 species